CCUCUCAAUAGCUUCAGUAAAGAGCUCUAGUUCUUCAAAUUUUCCAUGUGUAUCAUAAAUGUCAUCCAUAAUGGAUGUUAUAGCGGUAACUUUGCAUGAUGUCCUCCUAGCAAAGGAAUACUGAGGCUGAAAGUAGACAGACAUACUCCAGCAGAAGUAGACCUCAACCAAUCUGUCUCUUGCGAAAGGUAGCUUGUUUGGCACGUCCAAGUCCUUCCACCACCUGAGUUACAAAAAUAAGUAUUUAUUAGUAGCUAGAGGUGGAGAAUUCAACUCUUUAGUAAGUGAUGUAUAUGGAUGAAUAAGGAAUUAAUUUACCUUGUGAUUUCGCUUAGUUCUUUCUGAUGGACUCGUUGCAGUCGGUUGAAAUCCAACUUGGCGAACGUUAGGAGAGUUUCAUUUGGUGAUUCUCUUAGUUCCUCGUAGACAGACAAGUAAUACCUUGCUUCAACCCUUGGUAAACCCUUUCGGAGCUGCUGAUUUAAGGCAUGGGUUACUGUUUUUGCAAGUGGGGGGCUUAGACGGUAUAUAGUCAACUCAAGCUGCGUGGUUGUGAAGGUUAGUGCCUCAUCUAGUAUCUCCUCUCCAUGUAUUCUAAGGUGUGUGGCUUCAUACAAGCUUAGUAGUCCUACAACAUCAUCAACGAGUGUUUCCUUGAAUUUUCCAUCACCGUCCUUGAAUUUGUUGAAUAAGUCUGCAUGACCAACAAAAUGGAAAAUUCAGAACCUCAAAAAGCAUUUAGAUAAAAAGAACAAAAUAUAUCACCAGAUCACCAUCCGAGAGUACUUACCGCAUGAAACGUUAUAACCUUGUUGUCUAAGCAGUCGAAAAUGAAGAGCAGUGGUGUACAGGUCAUCCAAAUCAUAUGAGUUCUCGUGAAUUUUCUGUAAAAUUUCUUCAAUCUCAUUUCCAAAAUGGUAGGACACACCUAAGCGCUGAAUGUCAUCAAUCAAGUUCAGCUUUUGUGAAACAUUUUCAACUGAAGUCAUUAGCAUCCUUCUCACUUCUUCCUUCAGUUCUUGUACAUGUUGUUCAAGUUCAACAUCCACUUCCUCCAUAGCAUCACGUUGAUUUAAGAAAAAAGAAAACGCAUAACCUUUACAAUAUGUUUGAUACCAAAAGAUAUAGACUACAAUUAAUAUAAGAUGAUUAUAAGUUUGGUAACACAUUAGAAAACGCAUAACCUUUAUGAUGUCAAUUUCUAAUUGUAAACAUUGAGAAAAGAGAGGCAGCUAGCCUGAAAUAGUUAUUGCAUAUCAGUUUUCAUGACUUUAAGAACUUGUUUUUCCCAAAAAAAAAAAAAAAAAUUGUGUGUGAAUUUAACUUUGGUAGUUAGAUUCGCAACAUGCUUGCCACGUGAAGGAAGGGAAAGUUAGAUAAAAUGAUUUCGAAUCAGUAGCAUUUUAAAUGAUUAAAGUACUCUUUGGUUUUUUUCCUCGUUUAAAAUUACAAAUUUAAUUUUCAUAAUAAUAUAGUGUUCAAAAUAUAUAAUAGUUUAUUGUAGUAAGAAAGAAGUCUUACCAAAGAAGCAUAGGACAGAAAAUGGUCACCCCAAAUGCUGGGAGAAAAAGUGGCUGAAGGCUUAGGAUCAAAAGUGUCAUUUGGGCUUGAAGAUUGAGAUAGUGGAACUUCCAGAGAAGACAUAUUUCAAAAGAUUUCAAACUUGAAGCGAACUAGCCAAGUGUUAUUGCUUUUGUAUCAAGUGCUGGUGUGAGUUCAGGAGCUCAUUAGCUUUGCUAUUUAUAGUAUCGCUGACUAUCUACCCCGCACCCACUGGAGAAAAAAAAUAUCUACAGAAAUUUUACUGGUCGGUCAUCUUGGCUUUUUAAACAUUUUUUAUUACAUAAAUUCUUAUCUUUAUUUUUUUAACAAAUAGAAUAAUUUAUAUUAAAUUAAAUUAAAUUACAAAAAAAAAUAUAUAUAUAUAUUCGAACACAAAACCACAUGAACGAAUAUUUUUAACCAAUUGAACCACAAAUUAUUUACACAUAAAUUCUUAACUUAUGCUCUUCCCAAAUCUGAUCUUUAAUUUGUGGGUCCCCCACUCAACAAAUUAAUAAUAAUUUGUCUCCCUUCCCACUCAACAAAUUGGUUUUUUGUUUUUUAUUUUUUAUUUUUUCAGUGAGUAAACCAACGCGCACCGACUAAGGUCAGUUUGAUGAGCGGUUCCUAUAAUUCUUGGACAUCGGUUAACCGAACCGACUCGUGGUUACUUUUGUAUGUUUUAAUCAGAAUAGAUGGUGGUGUAUUUGUGGUCUCGUUUUAAGUGUCUAAUUAAUAGAAAUCAGGGCUAGGUUCGGUUGGCAAACCGUGCCAAAUUCCUUGUGUCACCUACCAGCCACAUAUACAUGAUUACUGAAAAUCAGUUACUGCUAGCCAACCAUCUUCUUACGGUUGCCAAAAAUUGAUUCAACCAAAAUUAUUGGCUGGUUCGGUUGGUAAAUGGCACAACCAGUGGUUUCCACUUCUUCCUCGCUAUCUUCCAGUUCCAAGGGCUUAAUUUGAUUUUCAGAUUGGGGUGCUUGUUCGGUUGCAUUGUGUGGUUCAUUUUAGGUUAAUCCAUGUUGUGCACUAGCGGUUGAUUGGCUAAACUCCAUCAUCCUAAACAUAAGCAAUGCAUAUACAUUCAAAAUCAUAUAUAUGUAUGUGUAUGUAUAGUAUUAGUAAUCAUCAUGCUAUCAAUUUUGUUAACAAUAUUUUCUAUAUUUAUUAUGGCAUGAAUCAUAUACAUAUACAUAUAUUUUUUAAACCCUAAAACUAAGGAGUCAUUUAUUUUCUAAACCCUAAAACUGAGGAGUCAAGUAUGUAAAAAAUACCUAAAAUAUCUAAAUAGGAAUAUAUAUAUAUAUGUAUGUAUGGCAUACUGCCGGGAUACAAAAUCAAUUACCAAAAUCAUGCCAUUAAUUUUCGGUUCGGUAAAAUGCCAAAACUAUAUCAUACCAUCAUGAGCCGCCCAGUAUGGUUCGGUCGAUAAAUUAGUUUAUGGCAAAAUUUCCCACCCCUAGAUAUCACUUUUAACCAAAAAAAUAUAUAUAUAUCAGAGUAGAGAUAAGAUUCCCCUUUCCUUUCACUCACUCGCACUCAACUCUCAGACCGUCGAAACCCUGUCGUUGAAAUUUUUUUACAAUGGUCCCAUUCGUUUCUACUUUUGGGUUUGAUUUCACCUGCGUUUUAUUCUUUCACCUGCUAUUAUGAUUUUUUUAGUGGUCCCAUUUGUUUCUUCUUUUGGGUUUGAUUUCAUAUGCAUUUCUAUUCUUUCAUCUGCUUUGGUGGUUUUUUUUUACAGUCGACCCAUUUCUUUGAUUUUUUUUUUCUUAGUUGUCUAGAUUCGUUGACAAUGAUUAAUGUAUUUGAUUAAUCAUUAAAAGUUGAUAAUGUUGUAUUUGAUUAAUCACUAAUAGUUGUUAGUGUUUGGGUAAUUAAUUAACAUUGGGCUGAAAAAUAUUAAAAGCCCAAGCAUGCAAGGGCUUUUUGAAUUUGGGUUAGUUGAAGCACAGGCCCAAGACAGAAUUAAAUAUUAUUUCUUGGCAGCCAAUAGACAGCAAGUCUACGAUGGAAGUGGUAAGGAACAAAUGACAGCUCACCUUCCGUUAAAAUUAAUUACUCUUAGAUGUCAUUUGUAAGGAACAAAUGACAGCUCACCUGCAAUCCACUUAUAGGCCCUAUGUCAUAAAUCUAUGUCCUUGAUUUUGUGCGUGAUUUAAAAGGGAUUGAAGGUAACCAGUCAGCUGACGUUGCCUCUCCUUACUCCAUUACAUCACUGACCUUGAACUGCGUGGCCAAAACAUUUUCUGACAAAAGUGGACGCGGAGAAAAUGGUAGAGUUAGUGAUGGAGAAUUCGCAGUUGGAGACCACGGAGGGCCCGCAGAUUUUGUCGUGUAUGAUGAUAGCAAAAUCACCUUAUUGGCCUGAUGUCAUGAAAGUUGAACGAAUAUACGUAAGAGUCGUGUUCUUCUAANUGUCAUAUGAACUUGUGCAUAUUUUUCAAUUUGUCGUAUAAACUAAAAUUUUAAGCAAUUUGUCAUACUAACUUUCUGAAAUUAUCAAUUUAUCAUCUCACCUAACUCCGUUAAGUUUUUCAUAAAAAAUAAGUCAUGUGCCUCGCUUUCUAAAAUCAUCAAUUUAUCAUCUCACCUAACCCCGGUAAGUGUUUCAUAAAAAAUAAGUCAUGUGCGAGGCAUAUGACUUGUAUUCAAUGUUAUUUCUAUCAUUUAAGAUCUUUUUAUUAAAACUCUUAAAUUUUGGGUUCGAGAGUAUUCAUGCGGAUCGUUGUGCUCGAGUAUAUGCAUCUACAUUUCCAUUUCUAGCACCAAACAUCAACUCGUUUCUUAUAUUACAGAGCCCAUAUAAAAAGAUUUUAUGAUAUGCUAAACUGAACACUGUAGAAUUGUUUUAAUUGAAUGCAACAUAAUAGAAGGAAGUGAGAUGUUAAAAUGGUAGAAAUAACUCUGAAGACAAGUCAUGUGCGAGGCAUAUAACUUAUUUUGGAUGGAAAACAGAGUUAAGGUGAGAUGACAAAUUGAUAAUUUCGGAAAGUUGACAUGAUAAAUUGCUUAAACUUUUAGUUUAUAUGACAAAUUAAAAAAUGGGUACAAGUUCAUAUGACAUUUUAAAAAAAUUUCCCUUAAAACUCAAAAUGGGUACAAGUCCUUCCGACUCGAGGUUGUCGGUUUGCUCUGGCGCUGGUGCCCGAUGAUGAAAGUAACCAAUCUCCAAAAAUUAACAAAAAAAAUUUCAGUCAAUAAGGAAAGAAAUUUAGAACAAUAAUCCAACCCAUCAUUUGCUUCAAUUUGAUUUUUGAAUUCGAACAACUAGAGGUCGGCACGGUCUAAUUCAGUUCGGUCCAUUUUUUAAUCCAAAAUCGAAGAACACCAGUUCAGUUAAGUUUAGUUCAAUUUUACUUAAAUCUAUUAAUGAAACCAAGCAGUGCGGUUUCGGUUUAGUUUGACCGGUUAUUCAUUGUAAACCGAAUUAUAUAUAAACUUUUUUAUUAGCACUCCAUAUUAAAAUUUAAUAUUAGAUGACUUAUAUACCCUACAACCAAGCCAAAUGUAGAAGAUGUAUAACACUGAUGCAUGUAAAGAGCAUUGUUAUGUAUCAUUGGUGCAACACAGUAUGUUACACAGCGUAUAAUUUGCCUUUUUGAUUAAUUGAAAACGGGACGAAAAACGGAAGUGCACAAGGAAGGAGGAGAAAAAAGGUUGGGUGGGGUGUGAGGAUAUUAAGGGAAAGUGUGUGGCUAUAUUAUGAUAAAUUUUAAUUGUAAAAGCAAUUGUGUGAUGUACUGUAUGCUUAACAAUAUGUAGGAUGUUAAUAUAACAAGCUUUAUAUAUACUAACCUUUUUGCACGUACUUAUGCACUUGCAAAAUGCCUUUUUACAUCACGACGCGUUACUCACGGCUUACGAAUUUCUCUUUUCCUUUUUACAUUUGGUCACUCAUAAAGACAUUCUUAUAAUUAUUUUUAAUUUGUAACCUACAUUAUGAAAGGUAUCAAAUUAAUAAACCAAGAAAUCAAGAAUGUCUUUAUGCGUGGAGUCAAGUAUUAACUGGAGAUACAGAAGCAAAUCAAAUUAAUUUAUAUAGGUCACAAAUGCUAUUCAUUAUGUAAAAUUAAAUUAUUGCUCCUAUCAUUUGUGUCCAUUCUUGAUUUGUUGAUAUCCACUUCAAAUUUCCGUCGUAUUCCUACACAAACCAAAAAAAAAAAAAAAGAACACAAUAAUUUUUUUGACAAAAGAAAAAAUAACAUGAGGAAACAAUAUAUGCAAUAACAGUGACUUGCAUAUUAAUAUCAGUGCAGAGAGAGCUAUAUAUUCUUCUGUACCGAGAGAAGAGUAAUUUAAAAGACAAAAAUUCUCUUGCCCACCCCUAAAAACUAAGGGUGCGUUUGUUGCGCCGGACUGUCUCGGACUGGACUAGCUGCCGGGACUAAGCUGGACUGGCUUAGACUGGACUAAGCUGGACUAACUUAGUGAAGCGUUUGGUGUAAUGUCGGACUAAGAAGCAGGAUAAGAAAAACAGUACUGUUCACCAGAUUUGUGUUUGCUUAGACUAGGACCACAAAUUUUUGCCAUUGUGUAAUAGAGUAAUGCUACAAAUCUCAUGAUAUGGGUUAAUUGGAGCAUAUUUUUGCCAUGUAUAUUAUGAAUCUUAAAAAAAAUUGACAAUUGUUUUGUUUUUAUUACCUGCUAAUAGAAUUGGGUUUAAUUUGCAAAUGUAGCUUGGUUUAAACUCUAUCACCCAACAGAAGAAAAAAUAAAUGCCCAAUACAUGCAACUUCAACAAAUACAAGUACAUAAGAAGAUCUCCAUAAUUUAGAAAAUCCUAGUUAACAUUAGUUAACAUUAGCCAAAAUAGAUCUCCAUAAUUUACAAAAUGGCUAGUUAACAUAAGCCAAAAUACUAGUGCAAAGCUAAGUUAUAAGCCAUAACAUAAGAUUGUAUGAUUAAUAAAAUACAUCCAUGUUAACAUUAGCCAAAAUCCUCAUCCGCUUGCGUUGUCGUUUAAAAGCCUUUGGACGAACACUUUCUUGAGUUCCGGUUUGAUUGCCCUGAACACUCCCACAUUUUUUGGUUUAUCCAAAAUAAGAGACAAUGCAUCAAUUUGAUCCAUAGGAGAGAGGCCCAUUGCUUCAAGUUCAUUAGCUAUGUCAGUAUGAUCUGCAGUACCUUGAACUAAAGCUUCAGUUACCAUUUGCAUCCUUUUCCCACUUUCAACAUAAAAAUCUUUCAGUCCACUGAUAAUUGCCUCGGUUUCAUCACUUGAACUUCCCACAGCUCUUUUCCUCUUUCUCUGGCUAUUUUCAGAUGGGGUGCUUUGUUGGCUUUGUUGGUUCAUUGAAGAAACAAAAUUUUCACCUCCAAUAUCAUUUUCACCAACAUGAUCAUGACUUUGUUCCUCCACCAUUUGAGCAGGGGUUUCGGCUACAUUACCCGUAGCCCGAUCUUUUCCAAAUAUAUAUGCAAAUCUAUCAAACAGUGGAAAAGGUUUGCUUCUCCAUCCAUUGGCUUCUUUAUUUCUCUAAGAUUAUAUCAACAUAGCAAAACUAAAAUUUAGCAUGCGUAACAAAUAUAGCAGCAAUAAUAUAACUAAUGUAUAAAUAAAAUAGGAUAUGAACCUGCACAUAAGUUUGCCAUGAGUCAUCACUGUCAACUUCAACGCACUUUUUGACAUCAUUCCAUGCAAAUCCACUUGUGUUUAUCAUGUCAACGACCAUACUAUAUGUUUUUUCCAUUUCUUCAACUUGGACUCAAUAUGUGGAUUUACCUUUAUAUUUGAAUGAGGACAUAAAACAUUGACAGCUUUUGCUAUUUCAACCAAAGUACCUUGUUUGAAAGCACCGGUGUCACACCGUUGCUUCCGAGCAACAAAAUCCUCAAGAACUCCUAGUAAUGCUUCUUCCUCAAAUGCUUCCCAUUUACGCCUUCUUCCUUUUGGCUCUUGAGUAGCAUUCAAAAUAUUUUCGUUAUCCAUACCUAAACAAAAAAAUAUUUGAAUGAAGGAAAAUACCAUACAAAUAAUCAAUUUGCAUAAUAUCCAAUCAACUUGCAUAAUAUCCAAUCAACUUGCAUAAUAUCCAAUUAAUUUGCAUACCAUCCAAUCAUUGUGCUAAUAUCUAACAAAUGCAUGAUAAAAAGGAAUACUAAAAUAAAAUGUUAUCAUUAACACAUAUAGCUAGUUCGAUUGCUGGUUCCUAAUUGCUCUCCACUCGUUAUACAUUUCCUGAGCCAUGUCAUUCCUCUUUGCAGUCCACUGGUCAGAUGUUUGAACACUACCAACAUAUUCACCUUCUUCUGUAUUUUGUCCAUCUUCUAUUAUUGGCAAAUUCUCCAUUGGAUCUACAGACAUCUCUUGCCUAAUAAGAUUGUGUAGUAGGCAACAAGCGGUAAUUAUUCGACCUUGUGUCCUUAUCAGAUAGAAAGAUGGACUCCUUAGUAUCGACCACCUUCCUUUUAGCAAGCCAAAACAGUGUUCAAUUACAUUCCUUGCCUUAGAAUGCUUCAUGUUAAAAUAUUCUUCCUUAUUAGAAGGUGUUCGUCCCUCCCAUUCAGAUAAAUGAUAAGGUAUUCCUCUAUAGGGUGCAAGGAAUCCUUCACCAUUUGUAUAACCACCAUCUACAAGGUAAUAAUAACCUAAUGAAAAAAAAAAAAAAACAGACCUUAUUAGUGUUUUGUAGUUGACAAACAGAACUAGACCUAACUUAGAAAGUUGAGACUAAGUAAUAGUCUUACCCGCUGGUACCUUAAAACCAUUAGGCCUAGUAAUUGCAUCAUGUAGCACUCUAGAGUCUGAUGCGGAACCCUCCCACCCCGGAAACACAUAUAUGAACUGCAUAUCUCCUGAACACACACCUAACACAUUAGUUGCGACUCGACCCUUUCUUGUUCGGUAUCUUGGUUUGUCAAUUUCAGGUACAUGCACAUCAAUGUGUGUUCCAUCCAAUGCUCCCAAGCAAUUCUUAAAAAAAAAAAAAAAAAAGUUUUUGUUAAUUUAUACAAAGGGAAUGAAGAGUUAAAGCUUAGGGAAAAUGAAAAAAAAUUCUCAUCAUACCUUAAAACAUCGCCACCUAGGAUCUGUAGAAUCAAUAGGCACAGGCUGAGGGACUUUUAGUAGGAUACCUUGUAAUCGUAAAAUUCCUUGCAAUACGCUAUUGAAAUACCUACUUAUAGUCUCUCCCGACCUAUAAAAUCUACCGCCAAUACUACGAUUCUUAGUAUGAUGUGCUAGUAUUUGUAAAGUCAUACACACCUGCUCCUCUACAGACACCAAACCAUCAGUUUUUACCCUCCCAUCUUGACGAAGUAAGUCACAUAAUAAGGCAAAAGUCCUUCUAUCCAUUCUCAAUUCGUUGACACAUUCAAUAUCAGUAUUCCCUAUUAUACCAUUCAGAUAACACAAACUAAUCUCUCGUCUAACAAGUGAACGAUUAGUCAAAGUGGGUCGUUCAACAUGUCUCUGUUUGGCCCUUAGCAUCAUCACCACAAGAAUCGUACAAAUGCAAAUUGUCUCUAAAUGAGACAUCUCUAACAAUAAGAUCAAUAAAAGCUUCCUUCGAUCCAUAUCUAUCCAAACAAAAAAAAAAGGAAAAUUAAAUAAGGACAUUAUAUAUGUAAUAUUUACUGUUAUUAAGGGUGAUGAAAAUGAAGUGAUUAUGAUUCGAAAUGAACUAGAUCAAAAUAAACGCUAUACAAAGAAUUCUGAAACAAGUAACUGCAUUAACAGCCCAAAAAAUAAACAGCCAAGUCACAAUUAAUGUUGGAUCAACAAAAAGAAAAAAACCAGUCAAGUCACAAUUGCUAGGCAUUGCAUGUUAAAAUGGAAAUUAAAUGACACCUGUGAAGCGGUAGUCUCAGCCUUAUCCUUCCGUUUAUGCUCCUCUUCUCUGCAACUAACAACCACAGAAUAUUGCAGUUCAGCAUACAAAACAUUCACAUUGUAAUAUCAUGGUUAUAAACUAAAUAGACACACACACUUAUUAUAGAGCACACACACACACACUUCCAGUGCAGUACACAAACACAUACACAUAGUACACACACACACACACAUACACAGAAAUUAGAUACACACACACACAGGCAGUACACAAACACACACACACACAGAAAUUAAACACACACACACAGUACACACACACACAUACACAGAAAUUAGACACACACACACAGUACACAAACACACACACACAGAAAUUACACACACACACAUACACAGAAAUUAGACACACACACACAGACACAGACACAAACACACUCACACUCACACUCACACACAAACACAGUCACACACACACACACACGGAGACAGAGUGCAACACACUCAUACACUCACACACACACUCCGUUUUUACACUCACACACACACACUCACACUCACACUCACACACAAACACAGUCACACACACACACACACACACGGGGACAGUGCAACACACUCUUAUCCUCACACACACACUCCGUUUUUAUACUCACACACACACACACAUAUUACAUACACACACACACACAUAUUACACUUACACACACACACACACACACGGCACAAUACACAACACACACUACACAAACACACACACACACAUAUUACAUACACACACUACACAAACACACACACACACAUAUUACAUACACACACACACACACACACACACACAUAUUACACUUACACACACACACACACGGCCACAAUACACAAUACACACACACACUACACAAACACACACACACACACAAUACACACACACACUACACUAACACACACACACACACACAAUACACACACACACACACACACACACAAUACACACACACACACACACACACGGCCACACACACAAUACACACACACACUACACAAACACACACACACACAUAUUACAUACACACACACACAUAUUACAUACACACACACACACAUAUUACACUUACACACACACACACACGACCACAAUACACAAUGCACACACACACUACACAAACACACACACACACACACAAUACACACACAAUACACACACACACUACACACACAAUACACACACACACACACACACACACACACACACACAAUACACACACACACUACACAAACACACACACACACACAUAUUACAUACACACACUACACAAACACACACACACACACAUAUUACAUACACACACUACACAAACACACACACACACAUAUUACAUACACACACUACACAAACACACACACACACAUAUUACAUACACACACACACACAUAUUACACUUACACACACACACACAUUGCCACAAUACACAAUACACACACACACUACACAAACACACACACACACAUAAUACACACACUACACUAACACACACACAAACACACAAUACACACACACACUACACAAACACACACACACACACAAUACACACACACACACACACACACACACACACAACACACACAAACACACACACACACACACAAUACACACACACACACACAAACACACACACACACACAAUACACACACACACACACACACACACACGGACACAAUACACAAACACACACACACCCACACACACAAUACACACACACACACUACACAAACACACACACACACACACAUAUUACAUACACACACACACACAUAUUACACUUACACACACACACACACAGCCACAAUACACAACACACACACACACACACACACUACACAAACACACACACACACACACAAUACACACACACACUACACAAACACACACACACACACACAGAGUAUACACACACAGAUUACAUACACACACAUAUUACACUUACACACACAGAUUACACACACACACACACACAGAGUAUACACAAACAGAGAUUACACGAGUAUACACACACACACAGACAAACCAGAGUACACACAGACAUAGUAUACACACACACGCACACACACACAGACACACACAGAGAUUACACACACAGAUUCUAAUCUCAAUUUGACCUAAAAAUUGAUUUUGAAGUUUACCAGAAAAGUUGAAAUACGAAAACCCCAAAUUCUAAUCUCAAUUUGAACUAAAAAUAUGAAAACCCCAAAUUCUAAUCUCAAUUCGACGAAAUCAAUCGAAGAUUUGAAGCUUACCAGACUGUCUCCGACCAGAUGAGGGCGAGAAGACGCAGAGAUGAGGGUGAGGAGGAGGACGACGAGGAAGCAGGGCAAGGUCGACGACGAGCGACGAGCAGGACGAGGGACGUUGGGGAUCCUCGCAGAGAUGAGGACGAGCAGGACGUUGGGGAUCCUCGCGGUUUUCUCUCCGGGCUUACGAGUCCGCCCAAAAUUGGGGUUCUUCGUUAAGAACUCGUAAGGAGGCGUGUAAUCCGAGCGAGUCCCACCUAAGCCCAUUAAAGCUAAUCCGGUUGCACAUCAAACACAGGACUAUAGUCUAGUCCAGUCCAAGCCUUGCUAAUCCUGUCAAACAAACGUGCCCUAAAGGUGUCAAACGGUCCAGGUGUCAUAUGGGCCUAAGCCGUUCUUGGACCAUGCCACUAAACAAGCGGCUAAACAAACUUUAGUUAUUUUAUAUUAUCAGAAAAAAUUAUUUGAAUCUAGUUUAAAACCUAAUAUCACAAUUAUUUAGUCUUAUUAGUUCCAAAAUGUAUGUUUUACUUGAAAAAUAAUGAAUAAAUAUAUUAAUAUUUAGUUAUGUAUUAGUUUAAAUGGGAUAGUCAUCAUAAUAGCCCCACGUCAUGGGCCGUGCUUGGCCAUGAUGAAUCACGGCCGGGCCAACCUAUUGGACCUAAACCUUAGGACCGACCUAGCCACUCAUUGCUAAUCAUGCCAUGUAGUGCCUUAUCUAAAUGAGCUUGUGUCGUGCCUAUUUUAAUAAGGCACGGCCAUUGACAUAGUUCAUUGUUGCGGUUUCCCUUUCUGUUCUUAUUAUCUCACAAACAUACUAUUUCAUUCACCGUCCGUAAUUUUCCAUUUUACAAUGGGAAAGGGGGGUUGCAGUUGUGUGUGGAGGAUUUCUAUCGGGGUCCUAUGUGUUUAAUUAGUCAUUUAUGAUUUAUGAAUGUUAAAGUUUCCUCCUGUAUAAUGAAUUUGUAUUAUCUUCCUGGUUUCUCAACUUAUAUGUGAUUGUAUGGGAGACAAAAAUGGAUCUUGUAAAGAAGUCGUUGAUGUCCUCAAAAAAUGGAUGCUUUGGUGGUAAUUACUUAUGUUCUAACUUCUAAUCAUAUUGGUCCUUUAACCAGCAACUGCCAAUAGUUAUGCUAAAAUAUGAUUUCGAAGCCAUUUAGCACUAUGGUCUAGUGAUAUUUUUAUUCAUUUAUAAGUGAGGGGUCUAAGGUUUGAUUCUCGCCAAAUGAGAAUUUGAACCAUAUUAUUGCCAGCACAUUGUAAGGUUAAGCUCACCCCUCCCUUUCAGUGUAGAUAAUAUUGUUUGUUAAAAAAAAAAAUAUGACUUUGAAAUGGAAAUAGGGUGGUGUUAAGCACACACCUCUUUUUAUCUUUUACACACACUCUCAAUUUUCGACCGUUGGAUCAAAUGAAUUGAUGAGGAUUAAGGGAUAAAAAUUCAUGGAAGGUAACAGCCACUAGAUUAUGUCUACAACUACAUAUAUGACGCAAUUAUCGUUUUACAUUUGAAACUAGAGAAAUAGAACACCUUGAUCCAAAGGACCGGAAUUACAAAUGUUUUGACAAGUAGAUAACAGCUUUCCUGCCCUUGGAACUUAUUCAGCCUAAAACACCAAUUCAAUUUUAGUUCGAAUAAAAAAUGUUGGGAAAAUUACAAGAAAAUUGACUUGCUCUUUGCUUUGUUAUUAUGUACUGUUAUUCUGUACAAAAUGAUCCUACCUAAUUCACCAAUUCGGGGUAUAAUAAAAUUAUAUUCUUCUAAAAAGCAUGUAGACAAUUAGGCUAAAACGCAAGUAUAUCGCUCUCCUUAAGGAGAUUAAAGUUCACUGCGGUUUAACAAAGUCCACGGACAGAUGCAGCAGUAUAUCCCAUGACUUGUUCCCUCCAGAAUACAAUAGCCCAACAAAAUUGUUUUAUGACUCAAACCUAUCUGCACAAAAGGAAGAGUCCAAAGCUCAACUACACGAACACUCAUCUUUGGUCAGUAUGUAAAAACGGAAAAGAUGGAGGAAUAGAGAGAAUAAUCGUUGUAGAAGAAAUUAGGUAGGGGGAUAAAAUAAAAGAAAACAAAGGAUGAUGGAGAAAAUGCUACUAAUUAUAGAUUUAUUAUCACCCUUAGUGGAUAAGGUAAUAUACACAAAUUAAAAAGACAAAAGUUAUAAAAGUUACAUAAGAUGAACUGCUCAAAGACUCCAUCUUAGUUUUCCCACUAACAACAAAUAAUGACAACUGUCUUAACUUCUCACUUACAACAAACUAGCCCUUCUACACACGCCUUGCGUGUGCAAAAAAGUCUUUUUUUAUAUCAUGGUGUGUUACACGUGGCAUACAGAGUUUUUAUCCCCUUCACAUUUGUGCAUGCAUAAAAACAUCUUUGCUUCAGAAACACUUUAUACAUGUUCUACAUGCAUUGAUUUUAUAUGUCCAUAAUUUUCCAUAUUAAGGGAGUGAUAAAACUACUUUUGAUUGGGGCCUAUCAACCCUCCUUCAACUUUUCCAGAGGUUGUUGCCAAUUAAGAAAUUUGUGUACUUUACGGCAGCAGAGUUGAUAGGGGCCUCUUUAGUAGCCUAUAAACUCCAUUCCUGCAUGGCUUUUAUAUUCUAGACAAAACAAAAUGUAACUUAAGAGAAUGUAAAACAGUAAUUUUCUACGAACAUUUGUCCGAAGUAUCUAAGACAGUUGGAACUUUUGGCUGCCACAUCCGUUCGGUAUCAAAAUGAAUAGUUGAUUUUGUAAAACUACGCAAUCCCUCACGCAGAGUAAGGGAACAUUGUAAAUUAUCAAAAGAAUAUACUGAGUUUUUAUAUGUGAAAUAAGUGAAGAGACAGAGGAAUCAUGCAUACUCCAAUGACAAUAAAAUUCACUGAAUCUAAAUAACUAAUGUUGCCAAUGUACCAUACAAAAUUAGCAAGCAAAUCAAGAAACUACCGAUGAGAAUAUAAUGAUUCCACUUUUAUCUUCCAACAUUCUGAAAACCUAUCAAACAGAAGAUAAAUUUUCAAAAUUGUUAGGAAUACAAACUCCCAAACAUGUACAUGCUGAUUGAACCAACUCACUCAAACAUUCAACUCUGAUCGAAUUUGGAUCCUGAUUUCUUCCUUUUGCCGCAACAAUUUUCUCACCACAUUUUAUAUUCUUUCUAAUUCCUUGGGCCAAAGAAUUCUUCCUGCAACACAUUUGUUUCUGGUUUCAAAAAGACGAAUUAACAUAAUCAAACCACAUCUCUUGGUGUUCAUGCUUCAAAGGUGCCUGUGCAAUAGAAUAGCAUUAGAAAUAAGUGAAGAGACAGAGGUAGAUAACCUAUAGUCGGACAAACAAACGUAAAGAAAUCCAAAAACGAUCAUCCCAAACCUGCACUAACCGAAAUAGAAUCGAAAUUAAAACUAUGAUUCUGAUUCGAUAGAGAACUGAGGAAUAGCCAAGCUAGGAAUACCAUAAGUGCUCGACAGAUAGUCGAAUUGAUGAAAACACAAACGAACAACAUCAGUAACGAAUCAUGGUGUUCUUUCAACUACCCGAUCAAAAGGACAGAAGAACAUUCCUGUGUGAGAAGUGCCUGAAGGGAUAAGCAAGUAAUAUAAGUAAAGGAGAAUUGUUAAGUAAACCAAACUUGAACAAAACUAAAGGAUGGUUAAGUAAACCAAACUUAAGCAAAACUAAAUCUCACAUAAGAACCUUUGGGUAUCAGUGGAGAAGAGAUUGCUUUUGAAUUUCACAAUGGAGCAAUUGAUUUUAUUUCUCCGCUUCCGCGAAACAGUUUUCUCACGUGUUCGCAUUUUCCCUCCUUCGUUUACACUUCUACACAGCGAGGUUUAUCAUGUUUGUAGAAUAAUGCUUCUACAAAAGAGAGUCUCUAUCUAUAUGUGUAAUUAAGCAGAAAUUAGAGUUGCAAUACCAGGAUGUGCUCCAUGUAGAUUGCAGAAUGUAACCAUGAACAUCGUGAAAAAGUAGGCGAAGCACAAAUGGGAAGAGGCCAUGAUGUUUUUUUUUUUAGUCAAAAAAAGGGAGAACCUUCAAAACAAAGUUGAAUUCUCAAGAAAACUGAACAAAGUAGAAUAAAAACAAUCUAUCAGUCUUAAAUCGUGAUUGACUCAAAAACAGAAGAGGAACAAUGAGCUUCACAAUGCACAAUUUGUGUUUUUGCUGGAGUCUAGUAACUGUUGGCAGCAUCGUAGAAUGAAAUUGAAAACAAAAAUUUGUUCAAACCAUUCGAAGUAGCAGGAACAAUGAAGCUUCUUCCCUCCUUCUCUAAUGUUGGAUUUGUGAAUUAUUGAAUGUGGAUUUGUGAGUUCUUGGGAGUUUAUUCAUCUUCUCAGUUAGUUUGUGGCAGUUUACUCCCAGUUGAGUUGAUAUCUGAUGACAAUCAAGCUGAAACCGAGAUCAAAUAUGGGGAUUUAAUCUAAGCGCUUCUAUUUGGACCCGAUUUUACAUCAUCGGCCCAAGCAAUCGAGGCCGUUGAGUGGGCAUGAUUCUCGACCGCUAGAUGAGAAAGUAGAGAUAAUUUGAUUAUUAAAGGAUAAUAUUAUAAUUAUCUUUUAAUAUGAAUUAUCUCGGUAUCUUCUUAAACCAGAUAAAUAGAAUGCGAUUCAUAUCCCGAAUAAGCAGUACAAUUCGAAUUGAUUUGGGAUGUCUGUCAGCACUGGGAAGUAAGAUGAAUUUAAAAUUCGUUUGAUCAGAAUGAUGAUGGCUAUUGUGGAUGAGGUGAGGAUGAGGUAGGAGACCUAAGGGGUGUUGUCGGAUGAAGUAAAUUGAUGAUGGACAUGGCAUGUAUGCUGUGUCAAAAGCUAUCAGCCAUAUAUAUAUAUAUAUAUAUAUAUAUAUAUAUAUAUAUAUAUAAUUGACGACAUGAGGUCUGCCAAUUCAUGGGAAAGGUGCAACCUUUUAUAUAUAUAUAUAUAUAUAUAUAUAUAUUGGGUGGUUGAUUAGAUGGACGUUACCCAAGCUUGCAGAUUAUCUUGGAUUCGAUAAGAUGAGUUUUAAUUGUUUGGGAGUCUUUUUCAGCUUAUCAACCAGUGCGUAUUCGUCACUAUAAAUACAGAGUCGCCGGCAACGUUCAAAGGACCUCCAAUUCAACACACAACUGCCCUGCGCAAACUCUCUCAACAACUGAGAUUUUUAUUUUCUCUUUUCACUGACACAUCUUCCGUUGGCAUCAACAGCACUGUGAAAGCAACCGGUGAUAUCUUAAGUCGGCAUAGAUAGCUCUGUCACCGUAGAGUCAGCCGAUCUCGCAGCAUCUUCCGUUGGCAAGGACGGUUGGUUACCUAUCCAAGUCUCAGUCGAGAAGGAUUGCCAAAUCCUUAUUGGUCGAGGUCAUCUCAUCAGCCUUCUCGGCGAAGUGAGGUGUUACAAGUUACUACAUUCGGCAUAUUGAAAGCCGAAUUUGAUAUUGAACUUCGCUAAGUUAGCAGCCUUGUUUUUAGGCUCUAGAACCCAAGAGGCCGAGACGUGUUCCUUCCUCGGUCGCAAUCGCGAGACGCAGAAGUCAGCAGCGCACCCAACGCAACAUCAACAAAUUUACUCCUCGGCCGAGCGUGGCCGACGAGUUGGCACGCCCCGCAUUCACCGAAGGACGUAGUUAGCUUAUAGAUUACUCGGCCUGCGCGCCACGUAGGCUUGGUAGUUUCUAGGUUCAACAACUUCAAACCUUUUAAGGGCAGGGAUUGAGUUUGAAAAAGGGGAAGACAAUUUAUUGAACAUAACUUUGAGUAAUGACAAACUCAGAAUUCCACCAGUGUAUAUUCACUUGACUUCGGAUUCACUCUUCAGGAACCUCGUGGCUUAUGAGCAAUGCAGUCUUAGAGGUACGCAUCACAUUACCUCAUAUUUGAUACUCAUGAAGAGUCUCAUCACUUCCACAAGGGAUAUAAGACUUCUUCGGAGAAGAGGAAUCAUAAAUCUACUAAAUCGCAAUCGCGUUGGGGACCAAGAAUAUUUCGCUGAAUUCAAAACUAAACUGAAUACAGUUGUUGUGAAGGACUUCUGCUUCGGAAAGUUGUGUGACGAAGUGAAUGCAUACAGUAAGUCCUGGUUGCCCUUGAGCAAACAUAACAUUCGUUGACAUGCAAAUUUCCUUUGUCGCACUUAUUUUUCUAGUCCAUGGAGUAUCAUAUCAUUCGUUGCUGCUGCAGCUCUCUUUGUUCUUACUGUCAUCCGGACAUACUAUAGCAUUCACCCGCGCUAAUGUGUAAUUGUUCCGAGUGCAGUCGAUCUUAUGCCUCCGCUGAGUUCCUUAAUCGUUUAUGUAAUGUAAAUUUCAUUGUGUGCUAAGCUGAGAUGGUUUAAUUGGUUUAAUUGGUUGUUUCGUUUUUCUUCAAAUUGCAUGAAAAUGAGCUUAGAUUCUAUAAAUUUUGAACGUUAAUUCUUUAAAGGAAAAUUACCUUUCUGGAUUUCUCCUUGAAAGCAUAACCAACCAUAGCGUGGGACGCUUUAUUACAAGUUCUUGGAAUGAACUUAAAAAUAAUAUCUCUAAAUUGGGAAGCCAGCAUAUGAAUGUCGUGGAUUAUACAUUCCACCGACACCUCUGAAAUCUCCCCGCUGUUAAUCAUGUCCACCACAGUUUUUGUAUAUGUCUCCACUUCAAUCCGCAAGAAGCCCUUUUCUACACAUUCUGUCAAUCCUGCCUUAUCGCUUCAACUCCAGCCGUCAAACUCGAGCAGCACCAAAAACCACCUGCACCCCUGCUAGCAAUUCACUUAAAGAAGGAAGGACCAAUUCAGUUUUGAUGGAUUUGGGAAAUAUUCGUAGCAGAAGCAACAUAAACAUAUCAAAUGUGCAGCGAUGUUUAGAUAUGUGUAAGGGGGAGAUUUACGUGUAUAUAACUCAAAACUACAUAAACAGAACGACUUUGGAGAUAUGAAACUCGAAGGCUCGGAGAGCUCCUACACGAAACUUACUUGAGAGCUCCUACACAAAACUACAUAAACAGAACGAUUUUGGAGAUGUGAAAGUCUGAAGGGCUCGAACCUUCGUGAAAUUAAACAAAACCUUGAGUGAUUCUUUAAUUAACCCAACUGCUUUUCAGUAAAAACCCAAUUGCUCCUUAGCAAAACUCUCUUAGCUCUUCAACUACAAUUUCAAAGCCUUCCUUCCAAACAAACAUUGUGUACGAUUCCUGAGGUCUAAAACAUUAACAGCUCUGUCACCCUCUUGUAUGAUUCGGCUGAUGUGCAAUUCCAAACACCCUGAUUUCCUCUCUGAGGCUCAUGUUUUGUACUAAGUCAAAUCUGACCAGUAAUCUAGGUGGAUUUCUUUAGCAUUAUCUUGCCCUUCAUGGCCUAAAUCUUGCUAGAGUUUUACUACUUUCUUUACAUUGCCUAUCAAUUUACAUUUCAAAUUAUGUAGUUCUGCCAAUCGGCCUAGAUUUUAGUUUUGUGAAUGUUCGUAAUCUUGACUCCAUCAUGAAAUGAUUACAUUCUGUUUCCCGUUUUAGUUUCUAUUUCGCUUUCAUUUACUUUUUUGGUAAGCAUACACGAAGUUACAAUGAAUAUUAAGUCCUCAUUCACUUGAGGCACAUAAACGAACUUUAUCCAAAUCAACGUCCCACUCAGUGCAUAAUUAUUUGGUUCAGAAAUCAGAUUAACGCGUAACUUGCACACAUGCACAAACGCAAACAUUGUCUAUGUUGACAGUCUCCAACAGUGGCACACCUAUUCUCUCUUCUCUCGAGCCAUCUUGUGGCACUGAGACUGAAAACAAUACUCAUGGCAAAUACGUGUUGAACUGCGUAACCAAGCUCCGUUCAAGUUUUGGCACCAACAACUAUAUAAAUGCAUGUUCAAGUGUGCUAUUUGAGCUGAAUAAUUAAUAUAUGAUUACAGGAAAAAAGGAGAGCUGUGAGCCUGAAAAUAAAUUUUUAUUAUUUUUAUUACCGUUGAAAAUCGGACGGUCCAAUUUAAAGAGCCGUUGAGAUCGAACGGACCGUGGGAAGCCACGUGGCUUCCCAACGGUAACCUCGGCAGACUGCGACGCGAGCCCGUUCUCUGAAAAGCUGUCGGUUGAUGAGCCCCCAUGUGCGGGUGAGUCGCACGCGCCCGACAAAAAAAAAAACAUAAAAUUAGGCUGACGCCAGGAUGACGUCAGCCCUGGCGUCACAUCCACUCAGGCUUUCGAGCUGGCAAUUCCUCACAGGCCCCGGAGCUCGGGCCUUCACUCUCCCUCGGGCUGCCCACGCUGAAGCUUCAAGGCCGGGCUAUCUGGCCCUAUUUCGUCCCCCGAGCACCAGCCCAAGCUAGAGUUGCUCUGAUUGGUCCUCACUUCUCCCUCAUUUAUUUUCCAUCUCCACCGACCAUCUCUCAUUUCCUUUAAUCUGGGCUACACAUGUGGCUUCCUCACUACUCCAGAUUUUGCUGGAACCUUAUAGAAACAAAGAUUAAAUUUACUAAAAUGCCCUCGACUUUAAACGUUGAUAACUCUUUCAUUAUAGCUCCAAAUUACGUUACGUUUGCGCCCACGCGUUCGUAGCGACGAGUACUACGAGGAUACACCAAGAAAAUAGAUCUCACGUGACAUGACAAGGUGGUCAAACAAAGUCAACGCAUUUGCCUCGAAGGGCAUUUUCGUAAAUUCACAUUUUAAAAUUAUAAAAACUAUAAUUUUUGGAGACAGGUCGUUACAUGAUUGACACAACUGAAGCAUAAUUUGUGUUUAUCGUUUGGUUGGCUAUUUUGACUAAUCGAUCCUAUGAGACUUUAUAAAGAUGCUUCCGCAAUUUUGUAUCACUUGAGUCUGCAAUUUUGUUUUAGGGAUUUAGGUCCAAAUAAAUUGAAAUUGGGCAUGGAAAAUAAAAAAAAAGGGGAAAUAAUUUAAUUACACGUUGAAUUGGAGUUUAUAGUUAGUCAUCGGCUAAUUGUCCUUUUUUCUUCUUUUCGGUAAAUUCUGGAGUUUUCUUGAGUAUAUAGGGUUGUCUUCUUUUCCAAAACACCCUCACGCAUGGUGUUGACACCUGCUCCCUAUUACAAAAGCUUUUGGUUCCAAUUGAUUAUCUAUCUAAUGCCAAAAUAAAAAAUUAAAAAAACUAGGAAAAAGGGUUGUGAAUCUGGGUGACGAGUGUUUUAUUCAAACCUUGUGCUUGUGUUUUUCUUUUCAAUUUAUUUUCUCAAAAAAAUAAAAUAAUAAUAAUAAAUUUGUUUAAACUGAGAAUCCGCUUAUUAUUAUGGAAAAACUCAUCCUUUAGAAAUUUUGUAUUUUGGUAGGUUUGCUUGUAUUUUUUGGAUUUUUACUUGAAUCAUUAAGUUCUUUGGAAUUUCAUUUUAGUUGUUCCUCUAUUAUAAUCUUUUGAUAUUAUUUUGAUUUGAUGGAUCAAAUUAAUCUUACGGAUUUGGUCUUUUGGCUUGUGUCAUUUUGUUGGAUUAUAUUGUUAAUUCUUGUAUAAGAUUCAGGAUGCUAAUUACUUUUUCCAUCUUAUGAAACAAGAAGAAGGUAACAAUUGAUUGUGGCUUUCUUCUUUAUAUCGAUGUUGUGAAUUCAUUUAUUUACUAUUGGUUGCUUAUGCUAUUCUAAUUUUGCCUUCCGUUAAUGCUUUGAUGAAUGUGCUAAGGCACAUGUCUGGUUUUAGAGGUUUUGCUAAUAAAAAUCUUCUCUUUGUUUAAGUGGGUUUUGAUCACUGCAAUUUUACAAUUUUAAUACUGAUGUUUUUGUUGAGCAUAUGCAAAUCAAAAAGUCAGUCUUGGUUCUUGAUUAUUUUGAAAUCGAUUUUUUUUUUUUUUUUUGGUAAAACCUUUCCGAAGAAAUGAUAAGAUUUUAUUCCAUGCAAUAUAUUACAAGCAAAGGCUGACAAACAAAAUAAGACCCUAAACACAAUUGGACCUCCCAACUAACUAAACAAAGCUCAACCAAGAGCCCAACACUAUUAACAUAACAAAAGAGACUUUUCGACCCCAGCAUCCGCCGCCAUAAUAGUUUCACGAUCAACCCAAAACAAUCCUCCAACAAUCGCCAAAUCCAAACAAGCAGAUCCGCAUAAACCAUCCACGAAAACCACCCUAAUCGCCUCGAUUUCAGCCAAAAAUUGGAAGAAGCCCGUGCGAAUACCACGAACAACACUGCCACCGAAAGCAGACAGAGAAAAGGAUGUGGUGUUUUAAGCACCUGAGCCGAUGAACCCAUCGAAGCUCUCUCAAAUGGUCGCACCAAAUUGCAAUGAAAACUGACUGCAAAUCGAAUUGAAAGGAGAGAAAUUUUGGGUAGAUCGGGAAAGAAAACUGGGGGAAAAGUUAGCAAAAGAUCUGAAAAGAAGAAACAGAUAACAAAAGGAAAAUCAUUCAUAUCGUCACUAACCUGCGCCUGAUAGACUUUCUAUUUUUUGAUAGACUUCCCUAAUUUAAAAUUUUAUGAAAUUCGGUCUUGUGGUAAUAUUAAAUGGAUUAUAGAUGUUGGUAAUUUUUCACGUUUUUUGGACAAGAAAUAAAUUUAUGGUAAACUUUUAAGUGUGAUACCAUGUUGCUGGAAUUCUACGGACUUCCAGAACAGUCUGUUUGUGAUACUAUUUUGAUAUAUCUAUGUAACUCAAAAAUUCAUGAAAUUUUAGUAUGGUAUACAUUGAGAUGUUUAUUUCAAAUCUGGAAAUUUUCACGAGCAUUGGUUUGAAAAUGAAUUAUUGGUGAAGUUUUUAAUCUCUGGACUAUAUUGCAAAAUUUAUGCGGUUUCUGCACAUUUAUAUCUAAUUCAUUUCUAGAAAUUUUCAUGCACAUUGGGGUAAAAAUAAAUUUUUAGUGAAUUCACAUCGUAUUUAGAAUUUAAUUUUGGUACACUUAUAAAAUCUCAAAAAAAAAUAUGAAUUUUUGGGAAACGUCAGUUUUGUAUGUCUAGUUUAUGUAUGAAAAUGUUUAUGCACAUUGAGUGAAAAGUGAAUUUUUAAUCUCAGGUCUAUACUAUACAUUUUCUACAAUUUAUGCAGCACAUCUCUUUUCAAAUUCGUUUUUGACUCGCUUAUAAUUUAAAAAUCAUGAAAUUGUGUGAAAUGGUAUCCAUAUAUGUCUAGUUCAUACUUGAAAUUUUUCAUGACAACCUAACAAGAAUCGAGAUUUUAGUGAAUUUGCAAAAUAAGCUAGUACUGCUGAAUUUUGGGACUUCAAACAACUAGUUGUGUUUUGAAAUAUUGUUUUCACUGAUUUUUGCACAUUUAUUGGUACCGAUUAUUAGGCAAGUUUAUUGUUCCAAUGUGUCCUUAUUUUAUGCAAAUUCUCAAUACUAAUGACUUUUAUUUGGCAACACUGAUUAAAUUUUGAUUUAAGGACGUAUUGGUUUAUUUUCCUCAAACCAAUAUUUGGUUUGGUCAUAAAUUCUAAAACUCGAAGGCUUGAAGAGCUCCUACACAAAACUACAUAAACAGAAUGAUUUUGGAGAUGUGAAAGUCUGAAGGGCUCGGACCUUCGAGAAAUUAAACAAAACCUUGAGUGAUUCUUCAAUUAACCCAACUACUUUUUAGUAAAAACCCAAUUUCGCUUUAGCAAAACACUCUUAGCUCUUCAAUUACAAUUUCAAAGCCUUCCUUCAAAAUAAAAACUGCCUAGGAUCCCUGAUAUCUAAAAAUUUUACAUCUCUGCCACCAUGUGGUAUGAUUUGCUUCAUGUGCAAUUCCAAACACCAUGAUUUCCUAAUUGAGGUGCAUGUUUUGUACUAAGUUCAAUCCGACACCAGACACCACUAAUCUCGGUGAAGUUCUUUAGCAAUAUCUUGCCUUUCAUAGCCAAUCUUGCUAGAGUUUUACUGCUUUCUUUACAUUUCCAGUCAAUUUACAUGUCAAAUUAUGUAGUUCAGCCAUCGCCCUAGAUUUCACUUUUGAAAAAGUUUGUAAUCUUGACUCCAUCAUGAAAUGAUUACAUUUUAUUUCCCAUUUCAUUUUCUAUUUUGUUUUCAUGUAUUUUUUUAGGCAAGCAUAUGCAAAGUUACACUAAAUGUUAAGUCCUCAUUCACUAAGGGCACAAAAAAGAACUUAAUUGCAACAGUGUCCCAUUCGGUACACAGUUAUUUGGUUCAAUAGUCAUAUUGACGCGCAACGUACACAUGCUCAAACACAAACACUAUCAAUUGGCAGCCUCCAAUAGUGACAUGUCUAUUUUCUCUUCUCUCGAGCCAUAUGAUGGCACUGAGAUCGAAAGCAACACUUGAGACAAAUACUUGUUAAACCCCGCGCCCUAGCUCCGUCCGAGUUUUGGCACCAACAGCUAUACAUGCAUGUCCUAGUGUGCUAUUAGGGCUGAAUAAUUAAUAUAUAAUUUGUUCCCAAUUGCAUAGAAGUUCUUUUAUUAAUUUCAAAAUCAUAAUAUGGAUUUAUUCACAACGCAACUUUGUAGGCAACUUGGGGGCUGGACUAUAGUUUGAAAAGAAACAUCACCAAUGGCGGAUCCAGGAUUUCAAGAUCGGAGGUCCCAAGAUAAAAGUUCAAAACAAAAAAAAUUAAACUAGUGUGGUUCCAUAUCACUAUUUUUAUUGAAUUUGGCUCAUUAAAUAAUCGAAAUUAAUCAACCACAUCAAGUGGCCCAGUGGUAAGGGCACGAAUUUCGACUCUCAACAUACAAAAAACAGGAGGGUCCCGGAUCCAAGGCUCCAAGCUAAUGAGUCUGCUUGACUGUGGGCAAGAGAAAGCUGAAAUGCCUCUAUGAGUCUUCCAGGCCCCUAGAAGGGGUGGAUAACCGUGGCUUGCCACUAGUUGUCCCGCUUUAAAAAAAUAAUAAUAAUCAAGAUUAAACUCAAAGGUAAUAAAACCAACAAAUUCUCCUCAGCAACAUAACAUGUCAAUUAAUGACUCUACAAAGAUGAAAUUUGUUAAUGUAACAUAUAAUUACAAUUGGGAGCUGAGACUAGAGUCUAGGAUUAAAAAACUUAAAUGAAUUUGGAAGAAAUAAAAUUAGGGAGCUAGAGGUGGUGGAAUGGCAAAUGGUGUUGGGGGAUUGGGUAACUUGAGUUUAAAUUUGGGAGGUUGCGACGAUUUGGGGUUGGAGUUCUUAAACAUAAUUUGGGGAUACUGGAAAGGACCGGGGUUCUCAAGCUCUGUAUAAAAAACAUAGAUAUUUUAGUUUUUAAAUCUUUUAUAAUUACCUGGCUAAAAAACGCUGUCGUUUCGGCAAGGUCUUUUAAAAAAAAAAUGAGAAACCUCUUCUUCUUUGUUAUAAGCACUGCUGGAUGCACAUCCAUGGAGGCAACAAGCCUCUCCAAUCCACCUGCCCAAAUUGUUGGAGGGUCCCGAAGGUCGAUCACAAGUGUUUCUUCGGACUUCCAGAGGGUCCUAGGACCUCCCGGGUCCCUAAAUGGAUCCGCCCAUGACAGUAAGAUGAUAUUUUAGUCUUAUAAGCACACCCCCAGGGUUAUUGGCGUAGGCAUCUUCACACUUGUACACAACAUCAAUGACCCGAGUUAAAUUGAGAAUGCGGAUUAGCAGGGGCAUGGGGAUAGCGGUAGGGUGGAGGAACGCUUCGUUUUUGUCCUUCCAUGCAUUAUUCACUUGUCUUUGAAGUUUGAUUAUCGCUUCUUCUUCUGUGGCCCCAUGUGGCCCCAUAUUUCUUCACGUAACAGUUCAUAGCUGAGAUAAAAUGUUCUCUCUCUUGCUCAAACUAGACACCCAGCUAGGUUGCAACUCACUUAGACAUAAAAUAGAUAACUUUCAUUUUGCAUUAUUUUUUUAAUAAAUUGUAAGAAACUUGUUGAAUACUAAAAUGAACACAAAUUAUAUGCUUGUUCCUCAUGUUUUCAUUAUGUUUCAAUACUUCAUAAUAUAUGUCAUUCUAUUUUGUAAUUUAUGAUGUAAUUAUAAAUAUAUUUUAAGUAUAAACAGACACUUAUUAAACGAAAUAUAACAGAUUUACUUAAAUUCGCCUAAUCCGCCAAGCCCCACCUAGCCGCCUAGGCGCUAGGUCCCAUCCUACUGCCCGACUAGCGCCUAGCGUUUUUUAGAACCUUGUUUGUUUAUACACAUAUGGUAAAGCAUUUGCGGCACAUUUUUCUGGCCUUGUAAAACCUUUAGACUCAAUACUAAGCAUAUAUUGAAGAAUAGUACCGCUUCUCUUGCAUGGUGGAUGCGAUAUAAUUUUCCAUUGUGCGCAAACUUUUCAUGAAUUUCACUAUAUAUAUCCAACAAUGCCUGAUAGCAGACUUUCAUAUACUCUGGUAGUUGAUUUAUGGCUGAGACAUCCCACCUGAUCAAGUAAUACAUAAAUCAAUUGUGCAUAAUUAGGUUAGUUUUUCCUUUUUGAUCGGAUGGUGAUAUAAGGUAAGAUAUUUUAUAUAUAAGAGAAUUUUAACUAAUGAUAUAUUCAUGCCUCUCAAUAGCUUCAGUAAAGAGCUCCAGUUGUUCAUUUGUGCCAUAUUCAUAAACGUCAUCGAUAAUGGAUAAUUAUAGCAGUAACUUUGCAAGAUGUCCUCCUAGCAAAGGAAUAUUGAGGCUGAAAGUAGACUGACAAACUCCAGCAGAAGUAGACCUCUACCAAUCUGUCUCUUGCAAAAGGGAGCUUGUUAGGCACGUCCAAGUCCUUCCACCACCUGAUCAGUUACAAAAAUAAUUAUUUAGUAGCAAGAGGUGGAGAAUUCAACUGUUUAGUAAGUGACUAGUAAAAGUGCCCGCACGGAGUUGGGGUUUUAAAAUCAUGUAAAAUAUGUAGAAAGUUAUAAUGUGUAUAUAUACUAUUUACCUACAUGUGAAAUCUAUUUACAACCCUAAAAAAAGAUUUCAACUUCGACAUAACAAAAAUAGUUUGCAGAAAUCUUAGCAAGAAUUAACUACAAAUAUGAAGGGAUCCCCUAUAAUGAAUAGUUUGCACAACCCAAGAUGAUAUAGCAAGAAACGAAGAAUGAAAAACCUUUCCUUCUGUAAAAAUGAAAGUAGUAAUAACAACAUCAGUUCUAGACAUAUUUGAAGUGUCGAAUAUAGGAGCAUACUUAUUAGCUAUUGGAUUAUUCCUUGUCAAUGACAAACAGCCAAUUUCCGCACCAUUUUUCUAGAGCUUCAUAGUUGACAUAGUCUGAAGCUACGUAACAAAUCUCGCCACUUCUUUGAGAUAGUUUCGAGCAAUCUGUGGUUCCCAUGAGACACCUUUGCUUUACAUCUCAAUGUCAAAUAAUCAGGAAAUCCAGGAAUAAGACAUUGGUGCAAUGAUUCUCUAUAUUCCAAAAGAUUGUUAAAUAAAAUCAACGAAAUACUCGAAACCAUAAAAGAGAAAAACUACAUGUGUAUAGAGCUAUUCUUACAGGCAAACUGGUUGAGUUUGAUUCACAAGUUGAACACACGACUUAUUAACCAUAGUCAUUAGUGAUGACAUGGGUACUUAGUAAUGAAGAAUAUAGUUAGUUGAAAUGUGUUGGUAGGUUGUCAUAAGGAUAAGAUUGGUUAGUAUAGUUAGAAGGGUAUUAUUGUAAUUAGGUUAUAUGGCUAUAUAAGGGAUUGUAUAGCUAUCAUUUCCUUAAGUUCUUUUGUAUACAUUUUCUCCAUUUUAAUCAAUACAAUCUUUCUGGUUUUUCUCUCUAUCAUCUUCAUCUUCCUUUGUACCAAUUCUUCAUCUUUUACAAUGUAGUUAAUAUGGUAUCAGAGCCACCAGGCUUACGCCAUUGAUUCUGGUGGUUCCGUAUUAUUUUUUUUUCAUUAGUUUCAUUUUUUUUUCUUCCGUUAAUUUCCUUAGUGUUUCCGCAAUUGUUCCGUAACUUCUGGGUUGUGAACAAUAUAUUCCGAUAAGGUUUUUCUGGGUUGUGAAUUGAGAUGUCGGAUCACAGAUCGUAGUCAGGGAAUUCUUUGGAGUGUUGUUUGGAGUGACGGAUCGUGGUGUACACAAGAAGCCUCCGGACAGACGUAGACUCACAUCUUCACCUCUUUGCUCGACCUCUGUCGCAGCUUCCAUGGCAGAUUAUGGCCGCGUCGAUGAAGAUGAAAAUCUGAUCCCUCUGAAACCAUUUGCUGCAAAUUUCGCAGACAAAUCGGUUCAUCGACAGACGGGUCUUCAGGGCAGUGCAAUCACCUCCGCAUCUGGAUCUGGCAUUCCUGAUUUGGGAUGUUGUCAGUUUCAAGAUCAUGCCGAGGAAGACGACGGACCAGAACGUGAGCUUGGCGAGCGAGCCGUGCCAGUGGAGGUGGUAUUCCAAGAUACGACGACGUUUGGGUUUUGUUCAGUUGCUCUUGCUCGACUCGAUCGUCUCGGAAUUUCUCUUCUGUGUUGCUGAUUGGACAGUGGGAUCUUGGACUUUGUUAGGUUGUUUCUUGUAUCUGUCAUCUUCUUUAUGCAUAUAUGGUGUUUGUGAAAAUGUCUGAAUGAAACUAAAUGCCGCAAGGAGAUCGGUGAUCUGGAGAUUUGGUUCUUUCCGCUGUUAUCGUCUUCAAGGGUUGUUGCAGAGGUGCGAAAUCAGAGUGUUGGAUUCUUCUGGGCUUUAAUUCGAAGAUUAUAGUCAAUUUUUUUAUUUCUGGGUUGCUAAAUUCUCAAGAUGUUGAAGUGGGAUAUUUCUGAUUGCUCUGGGAUAUAUGUGUUGAUUUGGGUGUUUGUGUUCAUCUGCAUAUAUUGUAUUGGAUAUGGUGAUGUGUUGAAAUACGAAGUUUUGUAGUCAAGAAAGUGUCAAUCUUUACAAGAAAGUGUUAUUCUUUCUGCAUCAACAUCGUGUGGGAGUUUCUACGAUUCUGAUGAUCUGGUGAAGACUUCCGAUUGUUUGGGUGCUGCUUGAAGAUUGGGUGUUUGGUGAUCUGACACGGCGCUGUAUGGUUGUUUGGAGAUUUGGUGGUGCGAUUUUGGUAAAUCAGGUGAAUUCGUUUACUGGUUUUGUUUGUUGCUUAUUUCGUGAAGAUGUGGCCUUUGAUGUACUUUCGAGAUUUUAUUGAAGUGAAGAUUUGGAGUUUUUUUUUUUGGUAGAAUCUUGAUGUGUUGAUCUCUGCAAGUAUUAGUUUUCUUGUCAAUUUAAAGAAGAAAGUGUCAUUCUUUCUAUGAAGCUUGGAGUUUCAUUCUCCUAAGUUGCAGUAUGAUUUGGAGUUUCAUUCUCCUAAGUUGUAGUAUGAUUUGUGUUCAUGGAGUGUCAGUCUCCUUAUUUGGUAUUUUUAGUAGAACUGUGAGAUUUGUGUUGUGCUUUGGAGUGUCAUUCUCCUUGGCUGAUUUGGUUUCUUGGAGUGUCAUUCUCCUUGGUAGAUUUAGUUUCUUGGAGUGUCAUUCUCCGUGGUAGUUUAGUUUCUUGGGAGUGUCAUUCUCCUUGGUAGAUUUAGUUUCUUGGCAGUGUCAACUAUGGCUUCUCAGUUCACAGUCGAAAAUUUGUUGGGUAUGUUCAGACCAAGACCACGAAGCAUAGCUCUUUCUCCUGCAACCAUCAUGUACUUUGGAACAUCCUGUGCCAUCACAGAACCACCACCAAUAAAUGAGAAAUAGUCAACAUGGCAGAAUUGAUGAACGACAACAGCCCCUGCAGACAUCUUGGUCUUGCAGUUCCAGAUUAGUUUCAGCGUUCUAGCUCGUUCAACCUUCACUUGGCUACACCAAGUUCAGUUUGAGGGGGGAGUAUUAACCAUAGUCAUUAGUGAUGACAUGGUUACUUAGUAAUGAAGAAUAUAGUUAGUUGAAAUGUGUUGGUAGGUUGUCAUAAGGAUAAGAUUGGUUAGUAUAGUUAGAAGGGUAUUAUUGUAAUUAGGUUAUAUGGCUAUAUAAGGGAUUGUAUAGCUAUCAUUUCCUUAAGUUCUUUUGUAUACAUUUUCUCCAUUUUAAUCAAUACAAUCUUUCUGUUUUUUCUCUCUAUCAUCUUCAUCUUCCUUUGUACCAAUUCUUCAUCUUUUACAAUGUAGUUAAUACGACUUACCCAUUCUUAUGAUAAAAUGUGUGUUGUCUGUUGAGUUUGAGGGGUUAUGUUUUAUACAUUUAAUGAUAUUAAUAUCUUGUUAUCAAGAGGAAUAUGACGGACUAUUCUUAAUUAAUGUCACCUAUAUAGGAGUAAAUGGGGCCGCAUUUAUGAGAAUUGAAAUGGCUAAAUUAUCUAAAACUCCUACGAAAUCCGGGAUUUGUUCAGGGCCAAAAUGAACACAACCGUAUGAAUUGACAUGUGGCAGACAUGCUAUGUGUGUAGCAUGAACAGUUCAAGAUCUUCCACAUCCAUUGUGUCACCAAGUAAACCCGAUAUGUUUUCACUAGGGUAAGUUUAAGUCCAAAAGACACUUCACCUGAUGCAUAUCAUGUCUAUUCUCUCUUAGUUUUAGGCAGCCUAGACAUACAUUUGCAUUUACAUUUGCAUUCAAAUGUGGGGUAUUGUUGGAGUUUGAAUGAAAUUUCAACUCAAAUGUAGGGUAUUGUUGGAUUUUGAGUAGAAAUUUCAUUGUCCCACAUUGGCCAUUCCUAAAAGGUUUCCUCAUCAAGAUGUCAUGUCGAAUCUGUGUCCAAGUUUUGGCACCAACAGCUAUACAUUCAUGUUCUAACAGCUAUAUAUUCAUGUUCUAGUGUGCUAUUUGAGUUGAAGAAAUAAUAUAUGAUUUAUUCAAACUACAUAGAAAGUUCUUUUAUUAAUCAUAAAAUCAUAAACAUGGAAAACAAACGCACAACCCAAAUUACAUUUUUGCAGUCUUAACGGAUGGUAGCUAGCUCCUUAUUAUUUGUAGGCAACUUGGGCGCUGGAGAUACACUUUCAAAAGAAACAUUACAGUAAGUGGAUAUUUUAGGCUUAUAAAGCCACGGGUUCCACUAGUGUAGAAACUAUAAAAUCUUUUAGCCCACCGUCAGCAUUAUUGUAGCCAUCUUCGCACUUGUACACAACAUCCAUGACCCGAGCAAAAUUGAGAAUACGAAUUAGCAGGGGCAUGGCGACAGCGGUAGGGUGGAGGCACGCUUCGUUUAUGUCCUUCCAUGCAUUAUUCACUUGUCUUCGAAGUUCGAUUAUCGCUUCUUCUUCUGUGGCACCAUAUUUUCUCAUGUAACAGUUCACAGCUGAGGCAAAAUGUUCUCUCUCUUGCUCAAGCUAGUCAGGCAUGAGGAUUAAGAUAAAGGAAGACCAUUAAUAUAAGUAUUAGUGCAAUCAUAAUGGUCAUGCUUGUCAAGAUUUCAGUUAGGGGUUCAACAGUUCACUACUAAUGGGUCAAGCAGUGAUACUAUUCUAACUUAACCAUUUGCUAGUCCAGCAGGCGUAGGCUUUUGUAUAAAAGCGUCCAAUGCAAUUAGAAGUGGAACCAAUUAAUAUGAGUUAUAUUUUAUUCUGUCUGGUUUUCAGCGUGAGACUGUUUACAUUCUACAAUACUCAUUAAUACUAUUUACAUAUACGAUUAAGUACCUUAUGGUCCGCUAUGUCAUCCAUAAGUCUGGUAACUGUUGAUGCAGCCUUCACUGCCUGAGGGGAAGUUAACAACCAAUCAAAGGAGUCUAUUGUAGCUUCUUCCAUUCCAACAAACGAUGUGGUUAUUAGCAACGGGUAGCCACAGGUCAUGAGUGAUACAGACAUGUAUUCAUCCAAUGAUGGCAUGUGAUUCUGGCGGAACAUUUUCGCUUCAUCGAAGAAGCCUCUAACUUGGUUCUUCAUCUGGCACAUACCAGAUCAAGAGAUUAUAUCAAUUUUUAUCGUUUCUACUUUUAAUUAAUAUUGAUAUAUAAAGAUUAUUAUAAAUAAUUAUUUGUUUCUAUACAUAUUGUGAAGUAUUUGCAGCACGUUUUUCUGACCUUUUAACAACUUUAGACUCAAAACUAAGCGCAUAUAUAUAUAUGGAUUAUUACCGCUUCUCUUGCAUGGUCGAUGCGAUAUAAUUUCCCCUCGUGCGCAAGCUUUUCAUGAAUUUCACUGUAUAUAUUCAACAACGCACGAUAGCAAAGUUUCAUAUACUCUGGUAGUUGAUCUAUAGCUGAGACAUCCCACCUGAUCAAGUAAUAUAUAAAUCAGUUGUGCGUAAUUUAGUUUUUCUGUUUUGAUCAGAUGUAAGGUAAGAUAAUUUAUAUAAGAGAAUUUUAACUAAUGAUAUAUUCAUGCCUCUCAAUAGCUUCAGUAAAGAGCUCUAGUUCUUCAAAUUUUCCAUGUGUAUCAUAAAUGUCAUCCAUAAUGGAUGUUAUGGCGGUAACUUUGCAUGAUGUCCUCCUAGCAAAGGAAUACUGAGGCUGAAAGUAGACAGACAUACUCCAGCAGAAGUAGACCUCAACCAAUCUGUCUCUUGCGAAAGGUAGCUUGUUUGGCACGUCCAAGUCCUUCCACCACCUGAGUUACAAAAAUAAUUAUUUAUUAGUAGCUAGAGGUGGAGAAUUCAACCCUUUAGUAAGUGAUGUAUAUGGAUGAAUAAGGAAUUAAUUUACCUUGUGAUUUCGCUUAGUUCUUUCUGAUGGACUCGUUGCAGUCGGUUGAAAUCCAACUUGGCGAACGUUAGGAGAGUUUCAUUCGGUGAUUCUCUUAGUUCCUCGUAGACAGACAAGUAAUACCUUGCUUCAACCCUUGGUAAACCCUUUCGGAGCGGUUGAUUUAAGGCAUGGGUUACUGCUUUUGCAAGUGGGGGGCUUAAACGGGAUGUCGCCGACUCGAGAUUAGUCGUGGUGAAGGUUAGUGCCUCAUCUAGUAUCUCCUCUCCAUGUAUCCUAUGGUGUGUGGCUUCAUACAAGCUUAGUAGUCCUACAACAUCAUCAACGAGAGAUUCCUUGAAUUUUCCAUCACCGUCCUUGAGCUUGUUGAAUAAGUCUGCAUGACCAACCAAAUGGAAAAUUCAGAAGCUCAAGAAGCAGUUAGAUAAAAAAAACAAUAUAUAUGACCAGACCACCAUCCGAGAUUACUUACCGCAUGAAACGUUAUAACCUUGUUGUCUAAGCAAUCGAAAACGAAGAGCAACUGUGUACAGGUCAUCCAAAUUGUAAGAGCUCUUGUGAAUUUUCUGUAAAAUUUCUUCAAUUUCAUUUCCAAAAUGGUAGGACACACCUAAGCGUUGAAUGUCAUCGAUCAAGUUCAACUUUUGGGAAACAUUUUCAGGUGAUGUCAUUAGAAUGCUUCUCACUUCUUCCUUCAGUUCUUGUACAUGUUGUUCAAGUUCAGCAUCCACUUCCUCCACAAGAUCACAUUUUGAUUUAAGAAAACAGAAAACGCAUAACCUUUAUGAUAUGUUUGAAUGAGGAGGUUUCCAAGUAACAAAAGAUAUAGACUACAAUUAAUCUAAGAUAAGUCUUGUAACACAUUAGAAAACGCAUAACCUUUAUGAUGUCAAUUUCUAAAUUGUAAACAUUGAGAAAAGAGAGGCAGCUAGCCUGAAAUAGUUAUUGCAUAUCAGUUUUCAUGACUUUAAGAACCUGUUUUUCCCAAAAAAAAAUAAAAAAUUGUGUGUGAAUUUAACUUUGGUAGUUAGAUUCGCAACAUGUUUGCCACGUUAAGGAAGGGAAAGUUAGAUAAAAUGAUUUCGAAUCAGUAGCAUUUUAAAUGAUUAAAGUGCUCUUUGGUUUUUUUCCUCUUUUAAAAUUACAAAUUUAAUUUUCAUAAUAAUAUAGUGUUCAAAAUAUAUAAUAGUUUAUUGUAGUAAGAAAGAAGUCUUACCAAAGAAGCAUAGGACAGAAAAUGGUCACCCCAAAUGCUGGGAGAAAAAGUGGCUGAAGGCUUAGGAUCAAAAGUGUCAUUUGGGCUUGAAGAUUGAGAUAGUGGAACUUCCAGAGAAGACAUAUUUCAAAAGAUUUCAAACUUGAAGCGAACUAGCCAAGUGUUAUUGCUUUUGUAUCAAGUGCUGGUGUGAGUUCAGGAGCUCAUUAGCUUUGCUAUUUAUAGUAUCGCUGACUAUCUACCCCGCACCCACUGGAGAAAAAAAAUAUCUACAGAAAUUUUACUGGUCGGUCAUCUUGGCUUUUUAAACUUUUUUUUAUUACAUAAAUUCUUAUCUUUAUUUUUUUAACAAAUAAUAGAAUAGUUUAUAUUAAAUUUAACUAAAUUACAAAAAAAAAAAAAAAAAAAAAAAGAUUCGAACACAAAACCACAUGAACAAAAAUUUUUAACCAACUGAACCACAAAUUAUUUACACAUAAAUUCUUAACUUAUGCUCUUCCCAAAUCUGAUCUUUAAUUUGUGGGUCCCCCACUCAACAAAUUAAUAAUAAUUUGUCUCCCUUCCCACUCAACAAAUUGGUUUUUUGUUUUUUAUUUUUUAUUUUUUCAGUGAGUAAACCAACGCGCACCGACUAAGGUCAGUUUGAUGAGCGGUUCCUAUAAUUCUUGGACAUCGGUUAACCGAACCGACUCGUGGUUACUUUUGUAUGUUUUAAUCAUAAUAGAUGGUGGUGUAUUUGUGGUCUCGUUUUGAGUGUCUAAUUAAUAGAAAUCAGGGCUGGGUUCGGUUGGCAAACCGUGCCAAAUUCCUUGUGCCACCUACCAGCCACAUACAUAAUUACUGAAAAUCAGUUACCGCUAGCCAACCGUCUUCUUACGGUUGCCAAAAAUUGAUUCAACCAAAAUUAUUGGCUGGUUCGGUUGGUAAAUGGCACAACCAGUGGUUUCCACUUCUUCCUCGCUAUCUUCCAGUUCUAAGGGCUCAAUUUGAUUUUCAGAUUGGGGUGCUUGUUCGGUUGCAUUGUGUGGUUCAUUUUAGGUUAAUCCAUGUUGUGCACUAGCGGUUGAUUGGCUAAACUCCAUCAUCCUAAACAUAAGCAAUGCAUAUACAUUCAAAAUCAUAUAUAUGUAUGUGUAUGUAUAGUAUUAGUAAUCAUCAUGCUAUCAAUUUUGUUAACAAUAUUUUCUAUAUUUAUUAUGGCAUGAAUCAUAUACAUAUAUACAUAUAUUUUUUAAACCCUAAAACUAAGGAGUCAUUUAUUUUCUAAAUCCUAAAACUGAGGAGUCAAGUAUGUAAAAAAUACCUAAAAUAUCUAAAUAGGAAUAUAUAUAUAUAUAUAGGUAUGUAUGGCAUACCGCCGGCAUACAAAAUCAAUUACCAAAGUCAUGCCAUUAAUUUUCGGUUUGGUAAAAUGCCAACCGAUAAUUAAAAAAUGCCAAAACUAUAUCAUACCAUUAUGAGCUGCCCGGUAUGGUUCGGUCGAUAAAUUAGUUUAUGGCAAAAUUUCCCACCCCUAGAUAUCACUUUUAACCAAAAAAAAAAAAAUAUAUCAGAGUAGAGAUAAGAUUCCCCUUUCCUUUCACUCACUCACACUCAACUCUCAGACCCUCGAAACCCUAUCGUUGUCUUCCCCAUCUCUUCAGUAGAUUGCCCUUCAUCGUUUAAAAGGUAAUAAUCAAAAGACUUCUGCUUUUGGGUUCAGUUUCAUCUGCUUUUGAAAUUUUUUUACAAUGGUCCCAUUCGUUUCUACUACUUUGGGUUUGAUUUCACCUGCGUUUUAUUCUUUCAUCUGCUUUUAUGAUUUUUUUAGUGGUCCCAUUUGUUUCUUCUUUUGGGUUUGAUUUCAUAUGCAUUUCUAUUCUUUCAUCUGCUUUGGUGGUUUUUUUUUACAGUCGACCCAUUUCUUUGAUUUUUUUUUCUUAGUUUUCUAGAUUCGUUGACAAUGAUUAAUGUAUUUGAUUAAUCAUUAAAAGUUGAUAAUGUUGUAUUUGAUUAAUCACUAAUAGUGGUUAGUGUUUGGGUAAUUAAUUAACAUUGGGCUGAAAAAUAUUAAAAGCCCAAGCAUGCAAGGGCUUUUUGGAUUUGAGUUAGUUGAAGCACAGGCCCAAGACAGAAUUAAAUAUUAUUUCUUGGCAGCCAAUGGACAGCAAGUCUAUGAUGGAAGUGAUAAGGGACAAAUGACAGCUCACCUUCGGUUCGAUGGCAACCCUUCAAUCCACUUACCUUCGGUUCGAUGGCAACCCUUCAACCCUUCAAGGGCCCUAUGUCAUAAAUCUAUGUCUUUGAUUUUGUGCGUAGUUUAAAGGGGAUUGAAGGUAACCAGUCAACUGACGUUGCCUCUCCUUGCUCCAUUAUAUCACUCACCUUGAAGUGCGUGGCCAAAACAUUUUCUGAGAAAAGUGAACGCGGAGAAAAUGGUAGAGUUAGUGAUGGAGAAUUCGCAGUUGGAGACCACAGAGGACUCGCAGAUUCUGUCAUGUAUGAUGAUAGCAAAAUCACCUUAUUGGCCUGAUGUCAUGAAAGUUGAACGGAUAUAAGUAAGAGUCGUGUUCUUCUAAAGUUCUUAUUUUGAGAUUACGUGGAGAUGAAAUGCAUAUUAAUUAUAAAAUUAUGCUAGUUGAGAUUCAAAAGCUUAAUAUAUUUAAUAAUUUAAUAAAGCAAAAUCACCACUUAAGUGUGAUUUGCGUUUGAAGAUUGAGAUGAUGGAACCUCCACAUAAGACAUAUUUCAACGAUUUCACAAGCCAAGUGUUAAUGCUUUUUGUAUCUGGAAGAGAUCUCCUUCGAAUCUCUACCACCAAAUUCUAGGGAUCCGGAGAUUCGAGCUCUUAAAAUUUGAUUCAACGGCUACAAAAAUGAGGCUUCUCUAAGAGCAACUCCACCCCUAAAACUUUGCACCAGCACCCAACGUAUUUGUCCACUCAACUAAACAGUAAUAGACCCCAGUGAACAGUAAUAAGUCAAAGCAUCUCCACCUCUAAAAAAAAUAGCAUAGUCCAUUUUAUUAAAUUAUUAUUAUUAUUUAUUAUAAAAUAAUAAAAAUAAUAAUUUUAUUUUUUAAUUUCUGAAUUUAUAAAAAAUAAAAUAAUAUUUUUAUUUUCUCCUUCCCAUCACCAUCAUUACCGUCAAACAACCGGCGACGCAGAGGGACCUUGAGAGGCGGGGAGGUGGUGGCGCAGAGGGAUCGGACAACGGCCGCGGCGAUGAGGGGAGGAGCGAGAGGAAGUAAGAUCGGAUGUCGACGGUGCCGAUGAAGAUUGAGUAGGUGAGGAGGAGGAGGAGGAAGGCGAAGGAAAUCCCCAGGAGAAUGGAGAUAUGGGUGCAAUGGUGGGGUGAAGUUGGUUGGCGCGUAAAAAAAAAAAGGUCCUGAUGUCACGCUGGCGUCAGAUAAGCCGGUCCCAAGGUCAGUAAAAAAUGGGCUGGUCUGGAGACUGGCACGGGCUGGGUGCCAGGCAAGUUUGUGGGCUGGAGUGGAUUGACAGGGUGCCAGCCUUAUUUUUUGACUGGGUGCUGGGCUAUUCCACCUCCGGUGGAGUUUCUCUAAAAGUUAUAAUAAUUGUAAUCGUUUGAUCAAAUUUCAAGAGUCUGGAUCCCUAGAACUUUAUGGGAGAUAUCCGGAGGGGAUCUCUUCCCUUUUGAAUAAGUGCGGGUGUCAGAUGUCGGUUGAGCAGUUCAUGAGCUUUGCUAUUUAUAAUAAGGAAAACUAAUGAAAAAUGCUUGAAAACUUUGAGUUUUAACAAUAAGGACAAAAUAAAGGGUAAAGUAAAUAGUACUAGAAUUGAUUUUUUAGUGUAAAAAUAUGAUUUUUUGUUAAAGUAAAUCGUAUCAUGAACUUUUCGUUAAAGUUCAUUUUAUAAUAUCGCUGAUAUACAGAAAUUCUUCACAAAUCUAAUCUUUUAUUUGUGGGUCUCCCACUCAAAAAAGAUAAUAAUUUGUCUCCCUUUCGAUUUGACAAACUCGAUUUUUUUUUUUUUUUUUUUUUUUUUUUUUGUGGUGAGUUUAGAACUAAAAGUAAUUUUGAUAGAGGGUUGUUUGAGCUAGCAUUGUUCAAGUUUGGCUUGUGUUACUUCUUAUAUGAACUUAUCUAGCUUGAGCAAACUUAAAACUUUAAGCUCGGUUCUGAGCUCAAGCUUUCUCAAUCUAUUUACCAGUUCCGCUCUUGUAAAAGAAAUUCACAAGUGGGUGGCACAUUUUAGUAAUCAAAUAUAUAAAACAUUAAGAAUAUGGCAAAAAAAAUUUCAAAUAUGAUAUAUUUAAAAUUUUCACAUAAAUGCUUUUUUUUCGUCACACGUCUUAAAAAAUGCAAAUUAAAGAUAGUCAACAUAAACUUUAAAAAAAAUUAAACAUAUUUUACUUUCUAAAGUGUAUCACAUACAAAUUAGGUGAAAAAAAAAUAUAAUCUUUUUUUUUACAACAAAAAGUUUUGAAUCAAAUUUAGUUUGAGUUGUCUUAUGAAAAAAUGUGAGCUUGCUCACGAACUUUACAUGCAAAAAAAAAUAUGAGUCUUUAAAUUUUAUAUAUGAUUUUCUUUUCUUUUAUUUAUGAAUUUUUUUGAGUUAACAUUAACAUGAAAAUUUAAGAUUAGAUUUAUAUCUCUCAUUUUGUCGAUUUGCUAUUGGUUGGAUUUCAAUUGUUUUUUUAAGCAACGAGGUAGACAUGACAAUAUCGUACAAAACUCGUUAAUACGACAAAAAACAAUAACAAAACGGAAAAUUAAAAAUAUUUGAGUUGAGCUUUAAUGUGUUUGAGUUGAGAUUCGUUAGUGACAUAUUAACUAAUUGAUUAAUUUAGUUUUGCCCACAGGUAUCCAUUUCAACUCGUUAAACGCAUGUCUCUUUUAAUAAUUGUACAUAACCCCCUUAUCAAACUCAUUCUAACUAACUUUUGGAUAUCGGAAAGGCAAAUAAUUUCCUACAGUACAUGCUUAGAAGAUUAUAGCUGGAUUUUUGGGCCUUGUUGAUUGUUGUUUCAAGCUUCAAUCUCCAAAAAAAAUUCUUAACAUGUUAGGUAACGUUACUAAUUAUUUUUAACAAGUUGGGUUUAAAUUUGAGUUGCAUUACUUGUUAGCUUAAUCAAUUGACACAACAAAAAUCAUUAAAAUAAUAAAUAAACACGAGCACAAAAAAUAUGACUCGUUUCUUAUUUAGAGCCCCACAAUCAGCCCUGAUAGGGAAAUUACUAAACAUGCAAACGGGCUAAAAAUCUCCUAUAAUACUUGCAAGAAUGACAAGGUUAUUGUAGUAUAAACGGAUCUCGCAAGGUCGUUCUCCACAAAGAUUAUUAAAUAAAUUGAAGCAAACCAAUUUCCAAUUAAUUAUUGUAAAGUAGAAAGUUGAGAUGAUUGAUUUAUAACCUACUUAAAUUAAAAACGAAUUUAAUUAAUAAAAGUAAACUAAGCUGCAAUAUUAAAGAUGAAGAAAAAAAGAAACAGUUUUGGAGAAAUAAAAAAAAAAAAACACUAGGGAUCCGCUGUCACCUUAACAAUCCUAUUUAGUUCUCUCAAUUACUUAUAAUAUAUACAUGCAUAUUUCGAAGGUUAGAUUUUCCUAAUAUAUGCCUACUUGGGCCCCUAACAUAGAGCGUAUAUCAAACAUGCAAUUCGUCUGUGGUAUUCAGAUCAAAUUUAAACAUGCAUGACUCAUUAAGUUAUGUGAAACCUUUUGAAAAACCAUGCAACCCUUAUGACGUGGUAUUCAUCCUAAGUGAACUUGCACAUAUUAAAGUAUAAAAUCUCCAAGAACCCUAGCAAUUAUUCUAUGUCUCCAAAGUUGCACAAAAGCAAGUGUAGAGAAAUAUUGUGGACGGCAAAGCAAUAUAUGUUGCUAUCCAUCGCACAAACCCUAAAAACCAAGUCCUUUAUUCCAACUGGGAAACUAAGAUAACUAAAAUAAAAUAAGAAACAUAACCAUAAAUUAAAUGGUAAAAUUCGUCUAAAAUCUAAAGAGCCACGUUAUGGAUCCUUAAGUUGCUCCAAAAGUGGCCCAAUAUAGCUGGAUUUGAUGUUUGAAAUAUUAUGAACACUUCUCCAGAAGGCCAUGAACCCAUCAGAUGUCAUCUCGGGAUCCAAAAAUGCAAUUUAAGCCCUGAAACGUUAUUUUCCAGCACUGCACAUUGCUCCUUUAUUCCAUUGCCAGAAAUAACCGCUUGGUAUAAAAAAUCCCAAAUUUUGAUACAAACACGCCAAGAGACAUACGAACGUCCUCCAACUUGAAUCACUCCAAAAUUCGUCCGUUUGAUCAUGUUUUGCUCCAGAGGAAGUCGGAUGUCCUAUAUUGAAAAUAUAAAUCAAAGUAUUAAAAUUCUACCAAAAUAAUUACCAAAACAUACUAAAAAUAAGGUAAAAUAUACAAUAUGAAAUUGACUCAUCAAGCCCAAUUUCAAAAUACGUCACAUUUCAAACCUACAUCAGUACAUCUUUCAUUUUUUGUGUGUGAUUCGUGUCUUAUAGGUACCGUUUGGUAUGCAGACGGGACGGAAUAAGACGGAACAGAUUAUGUAAAUAUUGAAAAAGAUAAGGAGAAAUUUUGUCAUAAAAUGUUAUAAAUUUGUGUUCCACAGAUGUGGAACGGAUCGUUCCAGGAGGAAGAGGUGGAAUGAAAAAUCAGCCAAAUUUCGUCCCAUGGGACAACCCGUUCCACAGUUUUUAGGCACACCAAACGUGGGACGGAAUGGCUCGUCCCGUCCCGUCCCGCGUACCAAACGGUACUAUAAGGACCGACUCUUUGGUGCUCACGUUUUUUGAGAAAUUUAAAAGGGAUUGAAGGUGAAUAGUCAACUAACGAUUCUUCCAGCUCCAUUAUAUCACUCACCCUCUCCUGACAGUGUUUACGAGUGGCUCAGCGUGGUCAAAACAUUUUCUGAGACAUGUGGACGCAGAGAAAACGUCGAUGAUUCGGUCCGAAUAACUUUCCAAACCGAAACGUUUGGUUGAAACUGAGUAGUUCAGUUCUUGCGGUUCCAAUUCGGUUUGACCGCUUCAACAUUCAACAUGUAUGUUUCCACCGACAAAUUCAUAGCCAAACUAUUGGAAAUCUACAAGAUAGAUUUGACAAUAUUGCAAACAACACGGUAAUAACAUAAAAACUAUACAAUAUGAAAAAUUAUAUAUUUGAGUUGAGCAUUAAUGGAUUCAGGUUGAAACAGGUAGACUCGUUAGUGACAUGUUAAUUAACUAAUUGAUUUAGUGUCAAUCACAUGUAUUAGUUUCAACCAGAGACUGGCUUUUUUAAUAAUUGUACAAACCUCCCUUAUCAAACUCAUUAUGACAAUCCACAUCAAUGACUUUUGGAUACCUUCUUUGAAAUGAAGUUUCAUGCUUCAACAAAUUUCUUAAUAUGUCAGGUUGUAUCACCAAUUAUUUUAACGGUUUGAAUUUGAAUUUGAAUUGUAUUAAUUGUUAACUUAACCGGUGAACGUAAUAUAAACUAUUAAAAUAAGGAAUAACCACAAAUACAAAAAAUAUGAGCCGGUAUCUCAAGGGGCUUAUUUAGUUAUAUGGGCGUAUGACAUCCUUUUUCACACAUCAUCUUUCAAUCAACUUAUAUAGAAACAUGUGAUAUCAUGUGAUAUCAUCCUUUUUACACACAUCAUCAUUCAAUUGCUUAUAUAGAAACAUGUGAUAUCAUCCUUUUUCCACACAUCAUCUUUCAAUCUACUUAUAUGGGCCUAUGGUAUAAAGCUACGACUUUCAUUUUGUGUGUGUAAUUCCUGUCUUAUACUAAGGACCGACUCCUGGUGCUCUUGGGAAACUUCAAAGGGAUUGAAGGAUGUUGGGGGCCUCCGCGUACGAAGAGCGAGUACGAAAACGACUGGUUGAAACUUAGACCUAUGGGCCAAUGGCAUAAAGCUACGUCUUUCAUUUUUUUUUGUGUAACUGUGUCUUUUUAGGAUCUGACUCCUGCCGCGUGUUACGUACCUGUUGGGAGGUACUAUCAGCUUUCGAUGUAGUACUGUAUUAUUUAAUAAUUUCUUCUCCAAAUACUAGAGCAAGGACGAAGAUGACGUAACCGUAGAAGAAAAAAUGGUGUACAAGAAAAAAUGUAAGAGAAAGGAAGAGAGAGAGGUCGAGGAGACUCCCACCGCGUCCCUGUUGGCAGGUACUAUCAGCAAUGUAGUACUGUAUUAUUUAAUAAUUUCUUCUCCAACUACUACAGCAAGGACGAAGAUGACGUAACCGUAGAAGAAAAAAUGGUGUACAAGAAAAAAUGUAAGAGCAAGGAAGAGAGAGGUCGAGGUUUGCAACUUGCGGGUGAGGAAAGAAGUUGCAACGUGUGGGUGAGGAAUUGGUUUGAUAUUUUAUCAUUUUCUUUAUUAAAACUAGAAAAAAGAAUUGAAAUGUCAUAUGAACUUGUGCAUAUUUUUCAAUUUGUCAUAUAAACUAAAAUUUUAAGCAAUUUGUCAUACUAACUUUCUGAAAUUAUCAAUUUGUCAUCUCACCUAACUCCGUUAAGUUUAGCAUAAAAAACAAGUCAUAUGUGAGGCACAUGACUUGUAUUCAAGGUUAUUUCUAUAAUUUAAGAUCUUUUUACAAGUUCUUUAUUUUUCUUUAGUAAAACUCUUAAAAUUUGGGUUCGAGGGUAUUCAUGCGGAUCGUUGUGUUCAAGUAUAUGCAUCUACAUUUCCAUCUCUAGCACCAAACAUCAACUCGUUUCUUAUAUUACAGAGCCCAUAUAAAAUUUGAUUUCAUGAUAUGUUAAACUGAACACUUUAGAAUUGUUUUAAUUGAAUGCAACAUAAUAGAAGGAAGUGAGAUGUUAAAAUGCUAGAAAUAACUCUGAAUACAAGUCAUGUGCGAGACAUAUGACUUAUUUUGGAUGGAAAACUUAACAGAGUUAAGGUGAGAUGACAAAUUAAUGAUUUUGGAAAGUUGGUAUGACAAAUUGCUUAAACUUUUAGUUUAUAUAACAAAUUAGAAAAUGGGUACAAGUUCAUAUGACAUUUUCAAAAAAUUUCCCUUAAAACUCAAAAAGUAAGAGAUUUAACGAAGUUAAACUUAUGUUAAUUCCUACGUAAAUCCAUAGCGUUGGUAGCUGACAGUUAGGUGGCAAUUCCUUCCGACUCGAGGUUGUGAGUCUGCUCUGGCGUUGGUGCCCGAUGAUGAAAGUAACCAAUCUUCAAAAAUUAACAAAAAAAAAAAUUCAGUCAAUAAAGAAAGAAAAUUUAGAACAAUAAUCCAACCCAUCAUUUGCUUCAAUUUGAUUUUUGAAUUCAAACAACUAGAGGUGGGCACGAUCUAAUUCAGUCUGGUCCAUUUUUUAAACCAAAAUCGAAGAACACCAGUUCAGUUAAGUUUAGUUCAAUUUUACUUAAAUAUAUUAAUGAAACUGAGCGGUUUCGGUUUAGUUUGACUGGUUAUUCAUUGUAAAUUGAAUUAUAUAUAAGCUUUUUUAUUAGCAUUCUACGUUAAAAUUUAAUAUUAGAUGACUUAUAUACCCUACAACCAAGCCAAAUGUAGAAGAUGUAUAACACUGAUGCAUGUAAAGAGCAUUGUUAUGUAUCAUUGGUGCAACACAGUAUGUUACACAGCGUAUAAUUUGCCUUUUUGAUUAAUUGAAAACGGGACGAAAAACGGAAGUGCACAAGGAAGGAGGAGAAAAAAGGCAGGGCCAGGCGGGGUUGGGUGGGGUGUGAGAAUAUUAAGGGAAAGUGUGGCUAUAUUAUGAUAAAUUUUAAUUGUAAAAGCAAUUGUGUGAUGUACCGUGUACUUAACAAUAUGUAUGAUGUUAAUAUAACAAGCUUUAUAUAUACUGACCUUUUUGCACGUACUUAUGCACUUACCAAUUACUUUUUUACAUCACGACACGUUACGCACGGCUUACGAAUUUCUCUUUUCUUUUGUACAUUUGGUCACUCAUAAAGACAUUCUUAUAAUUAUUUUUAAUUUAUAACCUACAUUAUGAAAGGUAUCAAAUUAAUAAACCAAGAAUUCAAGAAUGUCCUUAUGCGUGAAGUCAAACAUUAACUGGAGAUACAGAAGCAAAUCAAAUUAAUUUAUAUAGAUCACAAAUGCUAUUCAUUAUGUAAAAUUAAAUUAUUGCUUCUAUCAUUUGUGUUCAUUCUUGAUUUGUUGAUAUCCACUUUAAAUUUUCUUCGUAUUCCUACAUAAACAAAAAAUAAAUAAAGAACACAAUAAUUUUUUUGAAAAAAAGAAAAGAUAACAUGAGGAAACAAUAUAUGCAAUAACAGCAACUUGCAUAUUAAUAUCAGUGCAGAGAAGAGCUAUAUAUUCUUCUGUACCAAGAGGAGCAAUUUAAAAGACAAAAAUUCUCUAACCUAAGUCAUGGAGGCGAAGCAUCCAUAUGAGAAACGACAGACCACCAUCAAAUUAUCAAAAUCCAGUCAAACAUAAAUGAAAAAAAGACACCAGUAAAAUAGAAAACAGAAACGAACUCCAUCGUCAAAAUUAAAUCGUGCUUUGCAUCGCCUCCUCAUCCACGGGAACAACACAUAGAACCCUCGCACUUGAAUUUCCAGAAGGCAUAUGAAUUUAAAGAUGCCUUUGCAUCGCUUCCUCAUCCACGGGAACAGCACAUAGAACCCUCGCACUGGAAUUUCCAGAAGACAUCCUCAAUGAAUUUUAACACGUCAUGCAGAUUAGACUCCAUUUGAAGGAGUUGCCGAGUUUUUUUCCUGAAAAACAGACGAAAUCGAAGAACAAAUGAGUCCAACUCUACAAAGUCCAUGCAAUGCACCACAUGAUAAGAUCAAAUCCACUACCUGUUUUCUUCACGUGAACUACUCUGAUUACUCACAGCACCAUCAGUAGACUGCCCGUUUUGCUGCGGCUCCGGCACUUUCUUUCUACCAAACUUGGCAUCCUACAAAUACAAAUAAUUUUAUCAGUAGAGAAAACAGAAGCAAACACUCUGUACCGCAAAGCAAAACGGAAGCUUAUACCCAGAUUAAUUUCAUUUGAGCACCUGGGAUAGGGAGGGAGAGAGGGAGAGGAAUCACCGCAAAUCUCAAAGCAAAAAAUUGAAAAAAGAAGAAUCGAUGACUUGGACGUUGGUUUCUACCCCUUUUAUCCCACGUUGGAGUGUUGGAGUGUCGGAGUCUACAAAACCGAACAUUAUCCCACGUACGAGUGUGGUAGUCUGCAAAACCGAAGGGUAACGGCUGAAUGUAGUUGCAAAACUGAACGUGGUGAUCGAUCCUUUCUCCCACGUUAUCCUUUUUUUAUUCUUCUUUUGUAAAAACCUUUCCACUCUUACGCUUGAGUUUAUUGUUCUAACUGUACGUUUUUUAAAUUGUUUGUUUUUUAUUUUUUAUUUUUUAUUUUUGUUUAAGGGGCUUGAGACACCAAAGUACUCUUCUAGCAUUCUAUUGUAGGGAUAUAUUUUUAGGCAAACUAAUGAAAAUGACUUGAAAACUUUGAGUUUUAAUGAUAAAGACAAAAUAAAAGGUAAAGUGAAUAGUACUAGGAUUGACUUUUUAGUGUAAAAAUAUGUUUUUUUUUGUUAAAGAAUACAGUAUCGUGAGCUUUUCGUUAAAACUCUUUAUAUUUUUCCUUUGAGUCCUGCUUCAACAUCCAACAGUAUGUUUCCACCGAUAAAUUCUUACAAAUUUGAGCCAAACUACUAGAAGUCUAUGAAAGUCUACAAGGUAAAAACAUAAACUUGCAAGAUUUGUGAGACUAGCAGAGAAGAAAAGAAAGGGCGAAGAAGGAAAGAGAGAGAAGAAAUGGUAUAGAAGAAAAGAGAGACUAGCUCUAAAGGGAGAGAUUUUUCAGUGUGAUGGGAACAUGAGGUGGUACACCACGUGUCAUUAUACAAAUGGUGGGAUAUGUGUGUUAAAAAGUUGUGUCAUUAUACAAAUGAUGAGAUAUGUGUGUUAAAAAAUUAAUAACUUAAAAAAUACAAUUUUCCAUCACCUGUAUAAAAAUACGUGGUGUACCAUUCGUAUUCCGGUCACAAGAAAAAGUUUUUCAUCUAAAGGCGGAGAGACAAAAUGUGAGACUUUGUUGGUGGCCAGACUUCAUAAAGAAAAGGAAGAGGAAGAGACAUAUCGUCACUAGGGUUUAGUUAGGUUAUGGGCCUUUGGACCUUCGAUUUAGUUAAAUUUGGUAGGCCUUGCGAGAGAUUAGUAUUAGAAGGGUUGUGUUUAUUGAAUAUAUUUUAAAGGGCAAAAGACUGUUUACUAUCCUCAUGUUUCGUGGGUUUCAACAUUUAGUACAUUAAUUUUUUUUCGUCACAGAGUCAUACCUAAAGUGUAAAUUUUGGGAUAGUCUCAUACAUCCGUUAGUCAAACUGUUAAGUCUGCCAUUAACUGUGAUGUGGCGCCCAUGUGGCCAAUGACUGGGCGCCACGUGUCAUCCACGUGGAAAUUUAAAAAAAAAAUUAUAAAAUAAUAUAUAUAUAUAUAUUAUAAAAUUAAAAAAAAAACCAAAUCUGCCGAAGAAGGAGAAAGAAGAAGGAAGAAGAAGAAGAAGAAGGAGAAGGAAGGAGGAACAAGAAAAAAAUAAGGAAAAAAACUGGGCAGAUUCGAUGAAGAAGAAGGAAGGAGAAGAAGGAAGGAGGAAGAAGAAAAAAAAAAAACUGGCCAGAUUCGAAGAAGAAGAAGAAUGAGGAAGCAGAAGGAAGAAGAAGAAGAAGGGGUAGGAAGGAGGAAGAAGAAAAAAAAAACUGGGCAGAUUCGAAGAAGAAGAAGAAGAAGAAGAAGGAGAAGGAAGAAGGAGGAAGAAGAAGAAAAAAAAAAUUGGGUAGAUUCGAAGAAGAAGAAGAAGAAGAAGAAGAAGAAGAAGAUUCGAAGAAGAUUCGAAGAAGAAGAAGAAGAAGAAGAUUCGAAGAAGAAGAAGAAGAAGAAGAAGAAGAAGAAGAAGAAGAAGAAGAAGAAGAAGAAGAAGAAGAAGAAGAAGAAGAAGAAGAAGAAGGAGGAAGAAGAAGGAAGAAAAAGAAAGAGGAAGAAGAAAAAAAAAUGGGCAGAUUCGGAAGAAGGAGAAGGAAGAAGGAAGAAGAAGAAGGAGAAGGAAGGAGGAAGAAGAAAGAAAGAAAGAAAAAAAAAAUGAAUCUGCUACCCAGAUUCAAAGGAAGAAGAAGGAAGAAGAAGAAGAAGGAAAAGGAAGGAGGAAGAAGAAAAAAAAAAACGUUUUUUUUUAAAUUUAUUUAUUUAUUAUUUUAUAAUAUAUAUAUAUUUUUUUUUUUUAAAUUUCCACGUGGAUGACACGUGGUGCCCAGUCAUUGUCCACAUGGGCGCCACGUCACUGUUAACGGCAGACUUAACAGUUUGACUAACGGAUGUAUGAGACUGUUCCAAAAUUUACACUUUAGGUAUGACUCUAGGAUGAAAAAAACUUGAUGUACUAAAUGUUGAAAAUCACGAAACAUAAGGGUAGUAAACAGUCUUUUGCCCUAUUUUAAAACAUAAGAAUUAAAUUCUCACCCUCUUUUUUUAAUGUAGAUACUAUCUUUUGUUAAAAAAAACAUAAAAAUUAAAUUACUAUUAACCGGUUCAGUUCGGUCAUGCUAGUUUUUUCAAGUUGAGAACUUGAAUUUAAACCAGUCUGAAUCGGCUCAAUUCAAUUCUUGUAAAAAGUUAAUUUAUUUUUGUCAACAAACACAAAUUUUCUUUUUUCGAUUUUUUUUUUUUGUCAUGGCUCAAUUCAGUUUCUCGUUCUAUAGUUCUCAUGCUCACCCCUAAAAACUAAAGGUGUCAAAUGGUCUAACACCUAAUGGUGUCAUAUGGGCCUAAGCCGUUCUUGGCCCUGCCACUAAACAAGUGGCUCAACGAACUUUAGUUAUUUUAUAUUAGUAGAAAAAAUUAUUUGAAUCUAGUUUAAAACCUAAUAUCACAAUUAUUUAGUCUUAUUAGCUCCAACUGUAUGUUUUACUUGAAAAAUAAUGAAUAAGUAUAUUAUUAUUUAAUUAUGUAUUAGUUUAAAUAGGAUAGUCAUCAUAAUGGCCCCACGUCAUGGGCCGUGUUUGGCCAUGAUGAAUCGCGGCCAACCCGGCCUAUUGGACCUAAACCUUAGGACCGACCUAACCACUCAUUACUAAUCAUGUCGUGCACUGCCUUAUCUAAAUGAGCUUGGGUCAUGCCUAUUUUAAUAAGGCACGACCAUUGACAUAGUUCAUUGUUGCGGUUUCCCUUUCCGUUCUUACUAUCUCACAAACAUACUAUUUCAUUCACCGCACGUAAUUUUCCGUUUUACAAUGGGAAAUGGGGGUUGCAGUUGUGUGUGGAGGAUUUCUAUUGGGGUCUUAUGAGUUUAAUUAGUCAUUUAUGAUUUAUGAGUGUUAAAGUUUCCUCAUGUAUAAUGAGUUUGUUUUAUCUUCCUGCUUUCUCAACUUAUAUGUGAUUGUAUGGGAGACAAAAAUGGAUCUUGUAAAGAAGUCGUUGAUGUCCUCAGAAAAUGGAUGCAUUGGUGGUAAUUACCUAUGUUCUAACUUCUAAUCAUAUUGGUCCUUCAACCAGCAACUGCCAAUAGUUAUACUAAACUAAGACUUCGAAGCCACUUAGUACUACAGUCUAGUGAUAUUUUUAUUCACUUAUAAGUGAGAGGUCUUAGGUUCGAUUCUCGCCAAAUGCGAAUUUGAAUAACAUUAUUGUUAGUCCAUUGUGAGGCUAAGCUCACCCCUCCCUUUUAGUGUAGAUAAUAUUGUUUGUUCAAAAAAAAAAAAGACUUUGAAAUAGGGUGGUGCUAACCACACACCUCUUUUUAUCUUUUACACACCCUUUCAAUUUUCGAUUGUCGGAUCAAAUGAAUUGAUGAGAAUUAAGGGACAAAAAUUAAUGGAAGGUAACAACCAUUAGAUUAUGUCUACAACUACAUAUAUAACAUAGUUAUCGUUUUACAUUUUGUUUGGACCCGAUUUUACACCAUCGGCCCAAGUAAUCGAGGCCGUUGAGUGAGCAUGGUUCUUAACCAUCAGAUGAGAAAGUUAAGAUAAUUUGCUAUUGUUAAGAGAUAAUAUUAUGGUUUUUAAUCAUAAUAUUUAUCUUUCAAUGAAUUAUCUCAAUUUUCUUGUACAAAAUAAAUGGGAUAAAAAUCAUAGCCCUAAUGAAGAGACAGGUGGAACAGUCCGAUUUAAUUUGGAAUUGUUAGUAGUGUACCGUGUGGGUUAGAGCAACUCGGCUUGGAUUCUUAUCACGUGGCAUAGCAUGGGAUUUGCAAGGCUUGGAUAAUGGUGAGAUAGGAGACCUAAGUAAGCUGGGUUAUUUAUAGAUGUUGGCAGAUGAAUUGAAUUGAUGAUGGACUUGGCCUGCGUGCCGUGUGAAAGGCUACCAACUAUAUAAUUAUAUAUAUAUAUAUAUAUAUAUAUAUUAUUGGUGGUUGCCGUAUGGUUUGGAUAUGACAAGAAAAGAAAGCCUAGCUAGGCUAAGCUAGGCUUUUAAUUACGAUGGGAUAAUUCAAGAUGAGCUUUUAUUAUCUUUGAGGAAUCAGCCAUCUGAAGAUAGGCGUUAGCACCUAUGUCGCAGAUCAGUCAUUUUUACGAGUUUGAGUUUCAGUCGGUUUCUGCUUAUUAUCCAGGCCAUGCCAAACAGAAAAUACGUUCCUAUAAAUACAGAUGCCGUGCAACGGAAAUGGACCUCUCUAAUUCAACACACAAAUUGCCAUGCGCAAGCUUUCGCUCUACGCGAAACCUCUCAACAACCUUGAGAUUUUUAUUUUCUUUUUCACCGACACAUCUUCAGUUUGGAUAAACAGCAUUGUGAAGGCAACCGACGAACAUUUUCAGUUUGGAUAAACAGCAUUGUUGCCGUAGAACCGGCCGACUGCGGAACACCUUAAGUUUGGAUAAACAGCACUAUGUCUAGGUCGACUGGUUAUCUAUCAAAGUCUCAGUCGAAAAAGACUUUCGGGUCCUUAUUGGUAGAGGUCAUCUCAUUAGCCUUUUCCGCAAGGUGAAGUGUUACAGUUUACUAGGGCUCGGCACAUUGAACGCCGAGUUGUUUUAUGAUUGGAUACUCACAAGUAGGUUUUAGAGUUCGGCAUUUUGACGGCCGAACCACGUUCACCAUCAAGACAUAUAUUUAUUUUGAGUAUCUGUGCCCCUAUACUUUGGUGUCGAUUCGGCGUGCUUAUACUCUUACGAAUAUAAUCACUAUGACCGAAUUCGGCGUCGACGAUUUGUGAACUUUGCAAAACUAGUAGCCUUGUCUUUAGGCUCUAGAACCCGAAGACCGAGAGUGUUUCUUCCUCGGCCGCAAUCGCAAGAUCGAGAAGUCAGUAGCGCACCCAAUGCAACAUCAACAUAUUUUCCUCCUCGGCCGACGAGUUGGCACGCCCUGCAUCAACCGAAGGACGUAGUUAGCUCACUAGUUACUCGGUAUGCGCGCCACGUAGGCUUGGUAGUUUUUAGGGUCAACACAUUUGUACACCUUAAUCCAAAAGACCGGAAUUACAAAUGUUUUGACAAGUAGAUAACAACCUUCCUGCCCUUGGAACUUAUUCAAUCUAAAACACCAAUUCAAUUUUAGUUUGAGUAAAAGAUGUUGGGAAAAUUACAAGAAGAUUGACUCGCUCUUUGCUUUGUUAUUCUGUACUAAAUGAUCCUGCCUAAUUCACUAAUUCGGGUUAUAAUAAAAUUAUAUUCUUCUAAAAAGCAUGUAGACAAGUAGGUUGAAACACAAGUAUAUUGCUCUCCUUAAGGAGAUUAAAGUUCACUGUGGUUUACAAAGUCCACAAAUAGAUGCAGGAGUAUAUCCCAUGACUUGUUCCCUCCAGAAUACAAUAGCCCAACAAAAUUGUUUUGUGAUUGAAAUCUAUCUGCACAAAAGGAAGAGUCCAAAGCUCCACCACACAAACUCUUCUUUGGUCAGUAUGUAAAAACAGAAAAGAUGGAGGAAUGGAGAGAUAAUUGUUGCAGAAGAAAUUAGGUAGUGGGAUAAAAAUAAAAGAAAACAAAGGAUGAUGGAGAAAAUGCUACUAAUUAUAGAUUUAUUAUCACCUUUAGUGGAUAAGGUAAUAUACACAAAUUAACAAGACAAAAGUUAUAAGAGUUACAUAAGAUGAACUGCUCAAAGACGUCGUCUUAGUUUUCCCACUAACAACAAAUAAUGAUAACCGUCUUAAAUUCUCACUUACAACAAACUAGUCCUUCUGCACACACCUUGCGCGUGCGAAAAACCUUUUUUACAUCAUGGCGUGCUACACGUGACAUACAAAGUUUUUAUCCCUUCCACAUUUGUGCAUGCAUAAAAAAAUGUUUGCUUCAUAAACACUUCAUACAUGUUCUACAUGCAUUGGUCACAGAUGAUCCUAAAAUGGUAUUUAUUCAAAACCCUUUCAUCACUUCUCAUCCAAUCCCCACCCACAAGGUAACUCCCAAUUAUUCCUUUCAAUUGGGGUUAAUUACCAAAUUAAUUGAUUAAUUGCCAAAUUGAAUGCAAGAUAUUAUUUGACAUAGUAUCUUGCAAUUAUAUUGAAAAACCACCAUAAGUGGCCGGUUCCUAUUUCUCCAAAUAGGGUCAGCCACACCCCUAUAUAUAGCCCCACAUAUCUCCAAAAACCCAAGUUCAUUCUCUCCCAAAAAUUCCUCAAACACUUUUUUCUUUCAAAUUAUAACUUUGGCAUUGGAGAUUCCUAAGCUAAAUCCCUCCCCAUUCAUCAUGGGCGCGUUAGACUUUUGACCUUAAUCUUAUGUAUUAUUAUUUUGCAGGUGCAUUUUCAUUAAAGAAUAAUAAGACGGUAAUUUGCAUCCACAACUGACAUUUGGAUACCUUCUUUGAAAUAAAGUUUCAUACUUCAACAAAUUUCUUAAUGUGUUAAAUUGUAUCACCAAUUAUUUUAACGGUUCGAUGUUGAGUUUGAAUUGUAUUAAUUGUGAGCUUAACAUGUGGAUGCAAUACAAACCAUUAAAAUAAGAAACAAACACAAAUACAAAAAAAUAUGAGCCGUUUCUCAAGGGGCUUAUUGAGUUAUAUGGGCCAUGUGAUAACAUGUGAAAUCAUCCUUUUUCCACACAUCAUUUUCAAUCGACUUAUAUGGGCCAAUGGCAUGAAGCAACGUCUUUCCUUUUUUGUGUGGUUCGUCUUAUAUGGAAACACAAUUCGUCUUAUAAGGACCGACACCUGGUGCUCUUGGGAAACGUAAAAAGGAUUGAAGAAGACCAAUCAAUUUAACGUUAUUUACGAGUGGAUCAGAGAAUUCGCUAUUGACGAUGGACGGUUUGGAGAUUCUGCCACACAUGAUGAUAGCCUCAACGUUGUCGUCUUUGUCGGGCAUGGGGGCCUCCGAAGAGUGAGGACAUAAACGACAAGUUGAAACUGAUACCUGUGGGCCUAUAUGGCGUAAAGCUAUGUCUUUCAUUUUUCUUUUGCGUGUAAUGUUGUCCUUACGAAAAAAAAUUCAUUAUGAUUAGAAUAGAAGUGAUAUAUCAUGUAUUUUUAUAUAAAUGGUUAGAAAUUUUAUUUUUUAAGUUAUUAAUUUUUUAGUACAUAUAUUCUACCAUUUAUAUAGUAACACGUGAUAUAUCAUCUCGUGUUCUCAUCAUAUUAAAAAAUCUCUCCUCUCCCUGCUCCAUUAUAUCACUCAUGUUCUCCUGGCAUUGUUUACUAGUGGCUCUCAACGUGGCCAAAUAUUACAAGUGGCUCAGAGAAUUCGCUAUUGGAGAUGACGAAGGGUAAGGAGAUUUUGCCACACAUGACGAUAGCCUCAACGUUGUCGUCUUUGUCGACCAUGGGGAGAAAUUAUUAGAUGGUAUAGUAGCAUCAUUGGCAAUGACUGGAUGAGAAAUUAUUAGAUGGUACAAUACUGUCACGUGGCAAUGAUAGUUGGCAGUACCCACCAACAGGUGCAUGACACGGAGAGCUAACAGGACAAAAAUAAAAACAAUAUUUGGCUACUCAAAGAUGAGUAGGAACUCCUACUCAAAAUUUCUCAAAAUUGUUUGUUGUCAAUUUAUAGAACUUCGUGUUUAUAAUCAAAACCGUUCAUAUUAUAAAUAAAGAUCACCUUUGCAAAAAAUCAAUUAAAAUUAAGGUCGUUUAGACAUCAAAUUGUUUAAAAACAAAUGAAUGGUAUUGGUAAAAGUAUUACGAAUCGUCUAUGUAUUUGCUACAAUAGAUUGAUUAAACGACCUUAGUUUUAUUUUUCUAUUUUUUUUAUUUUUUUGCAGAGAUGAUAUAUACAGUGUAAUUCAUAGUAUGAAUCGUUCUGUUCAUAAGUACAAAAUUUUGUGAUUAAAAUACUAAGAGUUUUGAGUAGGAGUUCCUACUUAUCUUUGAGUAGCCAAGUAUUGUUCUUUUUAAAAACCUUUCCACUUUUACGCUUGAGUUUAUUGUUCUAACUGUACGUUUUUUAAAAUUUUUAUUUUUUAUUUUUGUUUAAGGGGCUUGAGACACCAAAGUAAUCUUCUGGCAUUCUAUUGUAGAGAUAUAUUUUUCCUCCUAGUUCUGCUUCAACAUCUAACAGUAUGUUUCCAUCGACAAAUUCUUACAAAUUUGAGCCAAACUACUGGAAGUCUACAAGGUAAAAACAUAAACCUGCAAGAUUUGUGAGACUAGUAGAGAAGAAAAGAGAGGGCGAAGUAGGAAAGAAAGAAGAAAUGGUAGAGAAGAAAAGAGAGACUGGCUCAUAAGGGGGAGAGACAAAAUGUGAGACUGGUUUGGUAGCCAGAAUGCAUAAAGAAAAGGAAGAGGAAGAGACAUAUAGUCACUUGGGUUUAGUUAGGUUAUGGGCCUUUAGACCUUCGAUUUAGUUAAAUUUGGUCGGCCUUGCGAGAGAUUAGUAUUAGAUGAGCUAUGUUUAUUGAAUAUUUAAAAACAUUAAAAUUAAAUUAUCAUCCUCUUCUCUUAAUGUAGAUAACAUCGUUUAUUUAAAAGAAAAAAUAAAAAUUAAAUUAAUAUUAGCCGGUUCAGUUCGAUCGUAAUCAAAACUAGUUUGAACCAGCUCAAUUCAAUUCUUGUCAAAAGUUGAACUUUUUUUUUAUUUUAUUUUUGUCAUCAACAAACACAAAUUUUUUUCUUUUCGAUAUUUUGUUUUGUCAUGGUUCAAUUCGCUUUCUCGGUUCUAUGUUUCUCAUGCCCACCCUUAAAAACUAAAGGUGUCAAACGGUCUAACACCUAAAAGGUGUCAUAUGGGCCUAAGCCGUUCUUGGGCAGUGCCACUAAACAAGCGGUUCAACAAAGUUUAGUUAUUUUAUAUUAUCAGAAAAAAUUAUUUGAAUCUAGUUUAAAGCCUAAUAUCACAAUUAUUUAGUUUUAUUAGCUCCAAACUGUAUGUUUUACUUGAAAAAUAAUGAAUAAAUAUAUUAAUAUUUAAUUAUGUAUUAGUUUUAAUGGGAUAGUCAUCAUAAGGGCCCCACGUCAUGGGCCGUGCUUGGCCACGAUGAAUUGCUGCCUGGCCAGCCUAUUGGACCUAAACCUUUGGACCGAUAUGGCCACUCAUUGCUAAUCGUGCCGUGCAGUACCUUAUUUAAAUGAGCUUGAGUCGUGCCUAUUUUAAUAAGGCACAGCCAUUGACAUCGUUCAUUGUUGCAGUUUCCCCUUUCGUUCUUACUAUCCCACAAACAUAGUAUUUCAUUCACCAUCCAUAAUUUUCCGUUUUACAAUGGGAAGGGGGGGGGGUUGCAGUUGUGUGUGGGGGAUUUCCAUUGGGAUCCUAUGAGUUUAAUUAGUCAUUUAUGAUUUAUGAGUGUUAAAGUUUCCUCCUGUAUAAUGAGUCUGUAAUGUCUUCCUGAUUUCUCAACUUAUAUGUGAUUGUAUGGGAGACAAAAAUGGAUCUUGUAAAUAAGUCGUUGAUGUCCUCAGAAAAUGGAUGCUUUGGUGGUAAUUACUUGUGUUCUAACUUCUAAUCAUAUUGAUCCUUUAACCAACAACUGCCAAUAGUUAUGCUAAAAUAUGACUUCGUAAUCACUUAGUACUACGGUCUAAUGAUAUUUUUAUUCACUUAUGAGUGAGAGGUCAUAGGUUCGAUUCUCGUCAAAUGCGAAUUUGAACCACAUUAUUGCUAGUCCAUUGUGAGGCUAAAUUCACACCUCCCUUUUAGUGUAGAUAAUAUUGUUUGUUAAAAAAAAAAAAAAAGACUUUGAAAUAGAAAUAGGGUGGUGUUAACCACACAUCUCUUUUUAUUUUUUACAUACCCUCUCACUUUUCGACCGUCGGAUCAAAUGAAUUGAUGAGGAUUAAGGGAUAAAAAUUAAUGGAAGGUAACAGCCAUUAGAUUAUGUCUACAACUACAUAUAUAACGCAGUUAUCGUUUUACAUUUGAAACUAGAGAAAUAGAACACCUUGAUCCAAAAGACCGGAAUUACAAAUGCUUUGACAAUUAGAAUAACAGCUUUCCUGCCCUUGGAACUUAUUCAACCUAAAACACCAAUUCAAUUUUAGUUCGAAUAAAAAAUGUUGGGAAAUUACAAGAAAAUUGACUCACUCUUUGCUUUGUUAUUAUGUACAAAAUGAUCCUGUCUAAUUCACUAAUUCGGGUAAUAAUAAAAUUAUAUUCUUCUAAAAAGCAUGUAGAUAAUUAGUCUGAAACGAAAUAUAUCGCUCUCCUUAAAGAGAUUAAAGUUCAUUGUGAUUUAACAAAGUCCACGAACAGAUGCAGCAGUAUAUUCCAUGACUUGUUCCCUCAAGAAUACAAUAGCCCAACAAAAUUAUUUUGUGACUCAAACCUAUCUGCACAAAAGGAAGAGUCCAAAGCUACACCACACAAACACUCUUCUUUGGUCAGUAUGUAAAAAUAGAAAAGAUGGAGGAAUGGAGAGAAUAAUUGUUGUAGAAGAAAUUAGGUAGUGGGAUAAAAAUAAAAGAAAACAAAGGAUGAUGGAGAAAAUGCUACUAAUUAUAGAUUUAUUAUCACCCUUAGUGGGUAAGGUAAUAUACACAAUGAACAAGGCAAAAGUUAUAAGAGUUACAUCAGAUGAAAGACUCCAUCUUAGUUUUCCCACUAACAACAAAUAAUGACAGCCAUCUUAACUUCUCACUUACAAUAAAUUAGCCUUUCUGCAUGCGCCUUGUGUGUGCGAAAAGCCUUUUUUACAUCAUGACGUGCUACACGUGGCAUACAAAGUUUUUAUCCCUUCCAUAUUUGUGCAUGCAUAAAAACAUCUUUGCUUUAGAAACACUUCAUACAUGUUCUACAUGAUUGAUUUUAUAAUUUUCCAUAUUAAGGGAGUGAUAAAACUAAUUUUGAUUGGCCUAUCAACUCUCCUUCAACUUUUCCAGAGGUUGUUGCCAAUAAGAAAUUUGUGUACCUCACGGCAGCAGAGUUGAUAGGGGCCUCUUUAGCAGCCUAUAAACUCCAUUUAUGCAUGGCUUUUAUAUUCUAGACAAUACAAAAUGUAACUUAGCAGAAUAUAAAAUAGUAAUUUUCUGCGAACAUUUGCCGAAGUAUCUAAGACAGUUGGAACUUUUGGCUGCCACAUCCGUUAGGUAUCAAAAUGAAUAGUUGAUUCUGUAAAACUAUACAAUCCCUCACGCAGAGUAAGGGAACAUUAUAAAUUGUCAAAAGAAUAUACAGAGUUUUUAUAUGUGAAAUAAGUGAAGAGACAAAGGAAUCAUGCAUACUCCAAUGAAAAUAAAAUUCACUGAAUCUAAAUAACUAAUGUUGCCAAUGUACCAUACAAAUUAGUAAGCAAGUCAAGAAACUACCAAUGAGAAUAAAAUGAUUCCACUUUUAUCUUCCAACUUUCUGAAAACCUAUAAAAUAGAAGAUAAAUUUUCAAAAUUGUUAGGAAUACAAACUCCCAAACCUGUACAUGCUGAUUGAACCAACUCACUCAAACAUAUCGAAUUUGGAUCCUGAUUUCUUCCUUUUGCCUCUACAAUUUUCUCACCACAUUUUAUAUUCUUUCUAAUUCCUUGUGCCAAAGAAUUCUUCCUGCAACACAUUUGUUUCUGGUUUCAAAAAGACGAAUUAACAUAAUCAAACCACAUCUCUUGGUGUUCAUGCUUCAAAGGUGCAUGUGCAAUAGAAUAGCAUUAGAAAUAAGUGAAGAGACAUAGGUAGAUUACCUAUAGUCGGACAAACAAACGUAAAGAAAUCCAAAAACGAUCACCCAAAACCUGCACUAACCGAAAUAGAAUCGAAAUUAAAACUAUGAUUAUGAUUCGAUAGAGAACUGAGGAAUAGCCAAGCUAGGAAUACCAUAAGUGCUCGACAGAUAGUCGAAUUGAUGAAAACACAAACGAACAACAUCAGUAACGAAUCAUGGUAUUCUUUCGACUACCAGAUCAAAGGGACAGAAAACCACUCCUGUGUGAGAAGUGCCUGAAGGGAUAAGCAAUAAUAUAAGCAAGGGACAAUGGUUAAGUAAACCAAACUUGAGCAAAACUAAAGGAUGGUUAAGUAAACCAAACUAAAGCAAAACUAAAACUCACAUAAAAACCUUUGGGUAUCAGUGGAGAAGAGAUUGCUUUCGAAUUUCACAAUGAAGCAAUCGAUUUUAUUUCUCCGCUUCCACGAAACAGUUUUCUCACACGUUCUCAUUUUCCCUCCUUCGUUUACACGUCUACACAGCGAGGUUUAUCAUGUUUGUAGAUUAAACUUCUACAAAAGAGAGUCCUUAUGUGUAUGUAUAAUUAAGAAGAAAUGAGAGUUGCAAUACCAGGAUGUGCUCCAUGUAGAUUGCAGAAUGUAACCAUGAACAUCGUGAAAAAGUAGGCGAAGCACAUAUGGGAAGAGGCCAUGAUGUUUUUUUAGUCAAAAAAAGGAAGAACCUGCACAACAAAGUUGAAUUCUCAAGAAAACUGAACAAAGUAGAAUAAAAACAAUCUAUCGGUCUUAAAUCGUGACCGACUGAAAAAUAGAAGAGGAAAGAUCAGCUUCACAAUGCACAAUUUUUGUUUUUGCUGGAGUCUAGUAACUGUUGGCAGCGUCGUAGAAUGAAAUUGAAAACAAAAAUUUACUCAAACCAUUCGAAGUAGCAGGAACAAUGAAGCUUCUUCCCUCCUUCUCUAAUGUUGGAUUUGUGAAUUAUUGAAUGUGGAUUUGUGAGUUCUUAGAGUUUAUUCAUCUUCUCAGUCAGUUUGCGGCAGUUUACUCCCGGUUGAGUUGAUAUCUGAUGACAAUCAAGCUGAAACCAAGAUCAAAAUAUGGGGAUUUAAUCUAAGCGCUUCAAACCUAUAAAGGGCAGGGAUUGAGUUCGAAAAAGGGGAAGACAAUUUAUUGAACAUAACUUUCAGUAAUGGCAAACUCAGAAUUCCACCAGUGUAUAUUCACUUGACUUCGGAUUCACUCUUCAGGAACCUUGAGACUUAUGAGCAAUGCAGUCUUAGAAGUAAGCAUCCCAUUACCUCAUAUUUGAUACUCAUGAAGAGUCUCAUCACUUCCACAUGGGAUAUAAGACUUCUUUGGAGAAGAGGGAUCAUAAAUCUAUUAAAUUGCAAUCGCAAUCGCGUUGGGGACCAAGAAUAUUUCGCUGAAUUCAAAACUAUACUGAAUACAGUUGUUGUGAAGAACUUGUGCUUCGGAAAGUUGUGUGACGAAGUGAAUGCAUACAGUAAGUCCUGGUUGCCCUUGAGCAAACAUAAGGUAUCGACAAGGGUGCAAAUUCGUAGACAUGCAAAUUUCCUUUGUCGCACUUAUUUUUCUAGGCCAUGGAGUAUCAUAUCAUUCGUUGCUGCUGCUGCUCUCUUUAUUCUUACUGUCAUCCAGAGUCCAGACAUACUAUAGCAUUCACCCACGCUAAUGUGUACUUGUUCCGAGUGCAGUAGGAAUGAAAGGCUUCGAUUUUAUGCCUCCGCUGAGUUCCUUAAUCGUUUAUGUAAUGAAAAUUUCAUUGUGUGCUAAGCUGAAAUGGUUUAUUUGGUUUAAUUGGUUGUUCCGUUUUUCUUCAAAUUGCAUGAAAAUGAGCUUAGAUUCUAUAAAUUUUGAACGUUAAUUCUUUAAAGGAAAAUUACCUUUAUGGAUUUCUUUUCUCCUUAAAAGCAUAACCAACCAUAGCGUGGGACGCUUUAUUACAAGUUCUUGGAAUGAACUUAAAAAUAAUUUUUAUAAAUUGGGAAGCCAGCAUAUGAAUGUCGUGAAUUAUACAUUCCACCGACACCUCUGAAAUCUCCCCGCUGUUAAUGAUGUCCACCACAGUUUUUGUAUGUCUCCACUUCAAUCCGCAAGAAGCCCCUUGUUAGGAUAUAGACAUGUGUCAUAAUUGUAUUGGAGGAUCUUAGAGUUGGUUAUAGGUGUGUUGUACUUACAAGACAAGAGGGUCACAAUUGUAAGGUAAUGAAAAACUGAAAAUUUCCCUCCUCUUUCUCUCUCUAAGUUUGUUCUCUCUCUUCGAUGCUUUUCUCUUCCGUUGUUUCACUGCAUUACAUACAGUAGCUUUGUUAUCAUGGUAUCAUCGCAGGCAAUGGUUGACGCCGUCGUCUGACGAUCCUGAUGCUUCGGCUUUUCUUCGUUCCGGUAGCAUUCCAUUGUUUGCUAGAAGUCGGUUGUUCUCUGGUCGAAGUUGGUUGACUACUCAAACCUUAGAAUUUGAGGAUUCUUGGGUGAAGUUGCAGCUCAUCGUGUUGGUUGAAGGUAUUUGUUGCGUUCUUUGAUCCCUUGCUUCUGAUAGCUAUUCUUACUGUGAAUCUUGCUGCGAAUUGAAGUGUUGAUUGGUUGUUACUAGUUGUCAAUUGUUGAUUUCUUAAGGAUUGUUGGUGUAUCUGUUGAUUUCUUGAAGAUUGUUGAUGUGUUUGUCUUACUGGUCAAUUCUUGUACUUGUUAUGGACGAAAUCAUUCGUUUUUGUCUGCGAUUCUUGAUUUCUUACAAUACAAGCAAAGAGUGUUUCUUGGUGCUUCCAUAUGGUGACUGCUGCACAAUUAGUUCUCACUCAAUCGCCUAUCUCUUCCUUGAUACCAAGUGUUGGUAAUACUGUGACAGUAAAGUUAGAUGAUUCUAAAUAUGUUACUUGGAACUUUCAAAUUGAAUUACUAUUAGAGGGCAAUGGUAUUAUGGGGUUUCUUGAUGAUUUUAUUCUGUGUCCUGCGAAACAUACUGCAAUUGAAACUACUGAUGGUACUGUGAUUGAUAAAUCUUCUGUAACUGAUGCAUACAAAGUUUGGAAAAUUCAUGAUAAAGCCUUAAUGACCCUUAUCACUGCAACUUUGUCUCCUGCUGCAUUAUCUUGUGUCAUUGGGUGUCAAAGUUCCAAGGAAAUGUGGAUUAAUUUGAAAGAGAGAUUCUCUAGUAGGACCUGUUCAAACAUUGUCCAGAUGAAAAUUGAUUUACAGAACAUUAAGAAAGGGACAUAAUCUAUUGAUCUUUAUCUACAAAGGAUCAAAGAUUGCAGAGAUCAGUUUGUUGCAGUGGGUGUAAUCAUGUCUGAUGAAGACAUUGUUAUUGUUGCUCUUCGAGGUUUACCACCUGAAUACAAUACUAUUAAAGCUGAUAUUAGAGGAAGAGAAAGUAUUGUCUCAUUGAAGGAACUUAGGUCUUAGUUAAAAGCUGAAGAAGCAACACUUGAGGAAGGUUUUAAACAGCCAUUGAUGACUGCAAUGAAUGCUAAUGGUCCAGGCUGUAUGUAUGAGUUAGGAGGAAUAUCUAGUACAAAAACUUCUUCUGGAAACUUUCCUAAUGGUUCCUCAUCCUGUUAGUUUUCCCCAGGUCCUCAAAUGGUGCAAGGUGUUCAGAUGCCAAAUUUUGUUCAAAUGCCUAAUAUUGCACAAAUGGGCCAAGUGCCUCAGUAUACAUAGUUUUAGUAGUUGCCUCUUUCUUCUCCCACUAGACCAUAUGCUUUUGUCUUUCAAACAGAAUCUGGUACAUACAACAAUUUCAGGGGGAAUAAUUUGAAGUAUAAAGGCAAAGGGAAGAAAUUUCAUUUUGGAUUUCAGGGGUCUAAUCCUCAGUCUCAAUCUCAGACUAAUUUUCAGAACUUCAGUCCUCAAAUGUCAUCAGUGCAGCCUUAUAACCCUAUGCUUAUUUUUCAGAUUUGUGAUAAAAAAAGGGGUCAUUCUGCACUACAUUGCUUUCAACGUGGAUGUCAAAUAUGCAAUUGAGUUGGUCACACUGUAGCAACAUGCUUUGACAAGGGCAAUUCCAAUGCUUCCAUGUCUAUGUCUCAGCCUAUGUACUCACAAUAGUUUCAGGCUCCUGGUUUACAAGUUCAGCAUCUGGGUUCACUUAUGACUCCACAGUACAUACCUAAUCACUAUGUGGCACAACAAGCUCCUUCUCCUAUAGCUUUCCCUGCAAGGACCAAUCCCUUACCUUCUGCACCACAACAAGAGUUCUGGAUGCUUGACUCUAGUGCCACCAAUCAUAUGACCUCUGAUUUCUCGAACCUGCAAGCUGCUACACUAUAUCCAUAUAAUGAAACUGUUACUGGAGCUGAUGGUGAAGGUUUACUCAUUUAUCAUAUCGGACAGUCUUGUCUUACUACUCAUCUCAUAAGCUUCAGUUAAACAAAGUGUUAUAUGUUCCACAACUAUCUCAACAUUUACUUUCGAUGUAUUAGUUAUGUAAAGAGAAUAAUUGUCGAUGCAUUGUUGAUGAGUUUUCUGUGUGUAUACAGGACAAGGUCACCAACAAGGUACUCUUCCAAGGACUGAGUAACAAUGUUGUUUACCCUCUUCCAUUGUUCAAACAACCACAACUCAAACUUACAUCAUAUCUUGGAUACAAAGCGAAUGAUUCCCUUUGGCAUUGUAGAUUGGGUCAUCCAAUCAAUUAUGUAGUUCAAUUAGCUAUUAGUACAUCAACUAUUUUGUUUCCUUGUAAUUCCAUACCCUAAACAUGUAUUUCUUGCUUGCAAGGUAAGUUUACCAAGUUACCAUUUCCAUUAGUAGUAGCCAAAUCAACUGUACCUUUGAAGUCAUUCACACUGAUGUGUGGGGACUUGCACCUGUCAUGUCUAUAAAAGGUCAUAGAUACUAUGUGUCCUUUAUAGAUGAAUGUACAUGGUAUACGUGGAUUUUUCCCAUGAUGAAUAAAGCUGAAGUUUGUGAAAUAUUCCUUCAGUUUCAUGCUUUUAUUCAAAAUUUCUUUUCUGUUAAUAUCAAAGUGUUACAAAGUGAUGGUGGUGGAGAGUUUGUUGGGUCUGUUUUUCAAAACUUUCUCAAAACCAAAGGUAUUUUGCAUCAAAUGUCUUGUCCCUGCACUCCUGAACAGAAUGGGUUGGAUGAGAGGAAAAAUAGACAUAUAGUUGAGACUGCCUUCACUUUACUCCAAAAAGCAUCUCUUCCUUCCAAAUUUUGUUUUCAUGCUUGUGCCACAGCUACAUACCUCAUUAAUCGAAUGCCAACAUCUGUCUUAAAAAUACAGUCUCCUUUUGAAUUGUUGUAUCAUUCUCCACCUAAACUUGACCAUUUAAGGGUAUUUGGGUGUGCUUGUUAUCCUACUUUGGAACCCUAUAGACAAAAUAAGUUAGCCCCAAAAACCACACAGUGCAUAUUUCUAGGGUAUGCAACUCAAUAUAAAGGGUAUAUUGUUAUGCUAUUAGAUAUCACAAGCUCAUUGUCUCUCGGGAUGUUGUCUUUGAUGAAGAUCUAUUUCCUAGUAUAUCAGUGCAUUCAUCUAGCUCACCAUCUUCUGUGUCACAAUCUCAGGUCCCUCACCCUAAUACUUUUCUUCAUCCCUCCAUUGUUCCUAUUCCACUUCCUCACCUUAAUUUUUCUUCUUCAUCGCUCAAUUCCUCUGUAAACCAUACUGUUACUCAGUACUCCUCUACAACACUUGGUGAUCUUGUCUCUGAUCGGAAUUCUACAUCCAUGGACAUAGUUCAACAAUCAUUGGACCAUUAUGACAUCCGUCCUGAUGUCACAGUAUCUCAAGUUCUAGAACUGCAACAUGUUUUUGUCUCCCAGAUUAACACAUCUGAUGCAAACCAGAUCAAAGUAUGGUAUUUUCAAGAAAAAGGUUCUUCUUACCAAGGUUCAAACUCCUUCUAUCAAAGAACCACAAUCUUACACAGCUGCUGCUAAGUCUGUUGAGUGGAGGAAUGAUAUGGAGGAGGAAAUGGCAGCUUUAGUUAAACAGAAGAUAUGAAAGUUGAUCCCUUUUCCACUUCAAAAAAUUUGGUUGGUUGUAAAUGGAUUUAUAAGCUCAAACACAAUCCAGAUGGCUCCAUUGCUCGAUACAAGGCUAGGUUGGUGGCCAAAGGUUUUUUCCAAGAAGCAGGUCUUGAUUAUUAUGAAACCUUUAGUCCUAUGGUUAAGCCAACCACAGUACGACUUAUGUUAUCUUUAGCUGCAACCAUAGGCUGGAAGUUGAAACAGCUUGAUGUAAAAAACGCUUUUCUGCAUGGUUUUCUUGAUGAAGAGGUGUAUAUGUGUCAACCCCAAGGCUUUAUGAAUCCUGAUCACCCUGAGUUUGUGUGCAAAUUGGAAAGAUAUCUUUAGUCUAAAUUAGGCUCCUCGAGCUUGGAAUGAUCGUUUUACCAGGUUUCUUCUUACUUUGGGCUUUAAAUCCUCAUAUGCUGAUCAUUUUCUAUAUGUGAAAUAUGAUGGUCAAUCUGUGGUUGUGUUAUUACUGUAUGUUGAUGAUAUAAUACUCAAUGGUGAUGGUGAGAUUAAAGUUCAAGCUGUGAUUGAUCAGUUAACAAGUGAGUUUGAUAUGAAAGAUUUAGGACUUCUACAUUAUUUUCUUGGUCUGCAAAUUGAAUAUCAGUCUCAGGGUUUACUUAUGCAUCAGUCCAAAUAUGUUUCUGAUCUACUCAUAAGACCAACAUGAUGGAUAACAAUCCUUGUACUACUCUUUGUCAUCCAAAUCAGAAAUUACUCAAUCAUUGCAGUUCUUCAUUUCAUGAUCUAAGUCUGUAUAGGAGUAUUGUUGAGGCUCUUUAGUAUUUGACAUUUACACGACUAGAUAUUGCUAUUCAGUCAAUUAGGUCUGCCAGUUCAUGCAAUCUCCUUUAGAAAGUCAUUUUGUUGCUGUCAAACGCAUUUUGAGAUAUCUCAGAGGAUCCAUGACUCUUAGGUUAUGUUUUAAACCUAGUUCAUUGGAUCUUAAAGCCUACACAGAUGUUGAUUAGGCUGGUGAUCCUAAUAAUAGAAGGUCAACCACAGGUUUUGUAGUGUUUCUGGGAUGUUAUCCCAUCUCAUGGAGUUCUAAGAAACAACACACUGUUAGUAGAUCCUCCACCAAAGCUGAAUACCAAGCUAUGGCGACUGCAGAGGUUGUUUGGUUGUACCAGUUGCUCAAGGAUUUACAUCUUCCUUGCACUGACAUUCCUCUUCUUCACUGUGACAACAUCUCUGCUAUGACAUUAGCCACCAAUCCAAUCUUACAUUCCAAAGCUAAACACAUAGAAAUCAAUUGUCAUUUUGUUCGAGAACAUGUUUAGCAAGGUUCAAUUUUACUGCAAUUUGUCACUUCUGCUGAACAACAUGCUGAUAUUCUUACCAAGGGGCUGUGUUUCCUUUUUUUAGCUCUCAUUGUAACAAUCUUAUGCUUGGUUGUUCCUCGCAUAAGCUUGACGGGGAAUGUUAGGAUAUAGACAUGUGUCAUAAUUGUAUUGGAGGAUCUUAGAGUUGGUUAUAGAUGUGUUGUAUUUAUACGACAAGAGGGUCGCAAUUGUAAGGUAAUGAAAAACUGAAAAUUUCCCUCCUCUUUCUCUCUCUAAGUUUGUUCUCUCUCUUCGAUGUUUUUCUCUUCCAUUGUUUCUCUGCAUUACAUACAGUAGCUUUGUUAUCACCCUUUUCUACACAUUUUGUCAAUCCUGCCUUAUUGCUUCAACUCCAGCCGUCAAACUCGAGCAGCACCAAAAACCACCUGCACCCCUGCUAGCAAUUCACUUAAAGAAGGAAUGACCAAUUCAGUUUUGAUGGAUUUGAUAAAUAUUCGUAGCAGAAGCAACAAAAACAUAUCAAAUGUGUAGCGAUGUUUAGAUAUGUGUAAGGGGGAUAUUUACGUGUAUAUAACUCAAAACUACAUAAACAGAACGACUUUGGAGAUAUGAAACUUGAAGGCUCGGAGAGCUCCUACACAAAACUACAUAAACAGAACGAUUUUGGAGAUGUGAAAGUCUGAAGGGCACGGACCUUUGUGAAAUUAAACAAAACCUUGAGUGAUUAUUCAAUUAACCCAACUGUUUUUCAGUAAAAACCCAAUUGCUCUUUAGCAAAACUUUCUUAGCUCUUCAACUACAAUUUCAAAGCCUUCCUUCAAACAAACACUGCCUAUUCAUGACGUCUAAAACAUUAACAACUAUGUCACCCUAUUGUAUGAUUCAGUUGAUGUGCAAUUCCAAACACCCUGAUUUCCUCUCUGAGGCUCAUGUUUUGUACUAAAUCAAAUAUGACGCCAGUAAUCUAGGUGGAUUUCUGUAGCAUUAUCUUGCCCUUCAUGGCCUAAAUCUUGCUAGAGUUUUACUGCUUUCUUUACAUUGCCAGGCAAUUUAUAUUUCAAAUUAUGUAGUUCAGCCAAUCGGCCUAGAUUUUAGUUUUGUGAACGUUUGUAAUCUUGACUCCGUCAUGAAAUGAUUACAUUAUGUUUUCCGUUUUAGUUUCUAUUUCGCUUUCAUUUACUUUUUAGGAAAGUAUACACAAAGUUACAAUGAAUAUUUAAGUCCUCAUUCGCUCGAUGCACAUAAAAGUACUUUAACCAAAUCAACAUCCCACUCAGUGCACAAUUAUUUGGUUCAGAAGUCAGAUUAACGCGUAACUUGCACACAUGCACAACACAAACAUUGCCUGUGUUGGCAGUCUCCAACAAUGGCACACCUAUUUUCUCUUCUCUCGAGCCAUCUCAUGACAUUGAGACUAAAAACAAUAUUCAGGACAAAUACGUGUUGAACUGCGUAACCAAGCUCCGUCCAAGUUUUGGCACCAAAACUAUAUAAAUGCAUGUUCUAGUGUGCUAUUUGAGUUGAAUAAUUAAUAUAUGAUUCAUUUCCAACUGCAUAGAAGUUCUUUUAUUAAUCAUAAAAUCAUAAUAUGGAAAGCAAACACACAACCCAAAUUACAAUUUUACAGUCUUAACGGAUCGUAACUCCUCAUUUUUUUGUAGGCAACUUGGGCCCUGGAGACUGCACUUUUAAAAGAAACAUCACAAUAACUAGAUAUUUUAGGCUCAUAAAGCUACGGGUUCCACUAGUGUAGAAACUAUAAGAUCUUUUAGCACGCCCUUAGCAUUAGUGUAGCCAUCUUCACACUUGUACACAACAUCCAUGACCCGAGCAAAAUUGAGAAUACGAAUUAGCAGGGGCAUGGGGACAGCGGUAGGGUGGAGGCAUGCUUCGUUUAUGUCCUUCCAUGCAUUAUUCACUUGUCUUUUAAGUUCGAUUAUCGCUUCUUCUUCUGUGGCAUCAUAUUUCUUCAUGUAACAGUUCACAGCUGAGAUAAAAUGUUCUCUCUCUUGCUCAAACUAGGCAUGAGGAUUAAGAUAAAAGGUAAUAUAAGUAUUAAUCCAAUCAUAAUAGUAGUGCUUUGUCAAGAUUUCAGAGGAGAGGGGGGGGGGGUGGCACUUAAUAUGAGGUUAUAUUUUAGGGUAAAUUAGAAGUGGAACCACUUAAUAUGAGAUUAUAUUUUAGGGUUAAUCUCAUAUUACUACCUUAAAGUUUCAUGGUUUUCAAUAUUUGGUACAUAAAGUUUAUUUCAUCUUGGAGUCAUACCUUAAGUCUUAAUUUUGAGACAGUCUCAUACAUCAAUUAAGCUAGUUGUUAAGUCAACCAUUAACUAAUGAUGUGGUACUCAUGUGAACAAUGAUUGGGCGCUACGUGUCAUUAAGUGUCCACAAGGAAAUUUAAAGAUCAAAAUAAAAUUAAAAAUUAAUAAAUUAAUAAAAAUAACAAAAUAGAAAAUAUGGGGAUACUUGUUCCCUCUCCUAGGCAUGACAUUUUGGACCCAACCAGUUAAUCCGAUCCGACCUAACCCGUUAAUAUUUGUAUUUGGAUAGAUGCUUAACGGGUCGGGUCGCUAACGGGUGAACCCGUUAAAUAAUGGGUCAUUUUGGGUCAACCUGUUAGACCCGUUAACACCCGUUAGCAUCCGUUAGUUAAAGGUAUUUUAGUAAUUUUAGUAAAGUCUUAAUAACAAAAAAAUAAACUUUAUGCAAAAAAAAUAAUAAUAAUAAUUGUUAACGGAUGAAAUAGAUGACCCGUUGGGUCAAUCCGUUAAACCCGUUAGCAUCCGUUAGUUAAAGAUAUUUUAGUAAUUUUAGUAAAGUCUUAAUAACAAAAAAAUAAACUUUAUGCAAAAAAAAAAUAAUAAUAAUUGUUAACGGAUGAAACGGAUGAUCCGUUAGCUUAACGAGUCGGGUUCAAAUGACCCGUUAGCUUAAGGGUUGAGUUCGGAUGACCCGUUAACUUAACGAGUCAGAUUAAACCCGACCCAAACCCAAUAAACCCAACCGUUUACAGGUCUCGCCUCUCCCCCGUCCAUUUUUCUUUCUUCUACAAUUUCUUUGUGAUCUGGUUGCUACGAAUGUGCAACUUUGGUGCUUCUGGCAGGUUGCAGCGGGUGGUCAGGCUGGCGCAAGUUUGUAACGGUCGAGCAGCAAUAGGUGCGGGUUAUGGUGGAUCGAGAUUGGCUGGGUGGUUCAGGAAGAAAAAAAACGGUUGGAAUCUGGUGUGCCUUUGGCUUUGGUUAGCUCCGUCGCGGCUCGGAUUAAGGAACCAGAGAUGAAAACCCAAUGAGUGGGAUUUCUCUGGCCUUCACCUUGGUCCCCAAAUUUCUGUAAUUUUUUAAGGGCAAGAAUAGGAAGAACACGCGAUGGAAAUUGAAUUUGGAAAAAAAAAAAUUGAAGGGCAAACUCCAUGGACAAAGAAUUCGAAUUCUUGGGAGCAAAUCGAAUCGAUAUGCUUAUCAUCGGGCCCACCCAUUCCCAGUGGCUGCGAAAGGAGGGUUGCUGGGUAUAUGAGGUUUAAGGUAGAGAAGAGAAAGAAAGUCUGCAGGCUGAACGCAUUUUGCUCAAAUUUUUUUUUUAUUUGUUUAAAUUUUUAUUUUUUUUAUUUUUUAAUAUUUUAGUUUUCUAAUUUUUUAAUAUCCACGUGAACCUUUAAUGACACGUGGCGUUUAGUCAUUUUCCAUACAGACGCCACAUCAUUAGUUAAUGACUAACUUAACAACAAACUUAACGGAUGUACGAGACUGUUCUAAAAUUAAGACUUGGUGUAUGAUUCUAGGAUGAAAAAAAAUUCAUGUACUAAAUAUUGAAAACCAUAAAAUUUUAGGGUUGUAAACUGAGAUUAAUCUUAUUUAUUAUGUCAAGUUUUUAGUGUGAGACUCGUUGCAUUCGACAAUACUCAUUAAUACAAUUUACAUAUACGAUUCAGUACCUUGUGGUCCACUAUGUCAUCCAUGAGUCUGACAAUUUUUGAUGCAGCCUUCACCGCCUGAGGGAAAGUUACAACCAAUCGAAGGAGUCUAUUGUAGCUUCUUCCAUUCCAACAAAGGAUGUGGUUAUUAACAACGGGUAGCCACUGGUGACGAGUGAUACAGACAUGUAUUCAUCCAGUGACGGUAUGUGCUUCUGGUGGAACAAUUUGGCUUCAUCGAAGUAGCCUCUAACUUGUUUUUUCAUCUGACACAUACCAGAUCAUGAGAUUAUAAUAAUUCAAAAAUCAUCUCUACUGUUAAUUCAUAUUGAUAUAUAAAGAUUAUAUAUAAAUAAUAAAUUGUUCCUAUACAUAUUGUGAAGUAUUUGCAGCACGUUUUUCCGGCCAUGUACUAUAAGCAUAUAUUGAGGAUUAGUACCGCUUCUUUUGCAUGGUGGAUGCGAUAUAGCUUCCCAUCGUGCAAAAGUUUUCCAUGAAUUUCACUGUAUACAUCUAACAACGCCCUAUAGCAGAUUUUCAUAUACUUUGAUAGUUGAUCUAUAGCUGAGACAUCCCACCUGAUCAGGUAAUACAUAAAUCAGUUGUGUGUAAUUAGGUUAGUUUUUCCUUUUGAUCGGAUGGUGGUGUAAGGUAAGAUAUUUUAUAUGUAAGAGAAUUUUAACUAAUGAUAUAUUCAUACCUCUCAAUAGCUUCAGUAAAGAGCUCUAGUUCUUCACAUGUGCCAUAUUCAUAAACUUCAUCGAUAAUGGAUGUUAUAGCAGUAACUUUGCAUGAUGUCCGCCUAGCAAAGGAAUACUGAGGCUGAAAGUAGACUGACAUACUCCAGCAGAAGUAGACCUCAACCAAUCUGUCUCUUGCGAAAGGUAGCUUGUUUGGCACGUCCAAGUCCUUCCACCACCUGAGUUACAAACAUAACUAUUUAGUAGCUAGAGAUGGAGAAUUCAACUCUUUAGUAAGUGAUAUAUAUGGUUGAAUAAGUAAUUAAUUAACCUUGUGAUUUCGCUUAGUUCUAUCUGAUGGACUCGUUGCAGUCGGUUGAAAUCCAACUUGGCAAACGUUAGGAGAGUUUCAUUAGGUGAUUCUCUUAGUUCCUGGUAGACAGACAAGUAGUACCUUGCUUCAACCCUGGUAAACCCCUUCGGAGCUGCUGAUUUAAGGCAUGGGUUACUGUUUUAGCCAGUGAGGGGCUUAAACGGUAUAUAGUCGACUCAAGCUGCGUGGUCGUGAAGGUUAGUGCCUCAUCUAGUAUCUCCUCUCCAUGUAUUCUAAGGUGUGUGGCUUCAUACAAGCUUAGUAGUCCUACAACAUCAUCAACGAGUGUUUCCUUGAAUUUUCCAUCACCGUCCUUGAAUUUGUUGAAUAAGUCUGCAUGACCAACAAAAUGGAAAAUUCAGAACCUCAAAAAGCAUUUAGAUAAAAAGAACAAAAUAUAUCACCAGAUCACCAUCCAAGAGUACUUACCGCAUGAAAUGUUAUAACCUUGUUGUCUAAGCAAUCGAAAAUGAAGAGGUGUACAGGUCAUCCAAAUCAUAUGAGUUCUCGUGAAUUUUCUGUAAAAUUUCUUGAAUCUCAUUUCCAAAAUGGUAGGACACACCUAAGCGCUGAAUGUCAUCAAUCAAGUUCAGCAUUUGUGAAACAUUUUCAACUGAAGUCAUUAGCAUCCUUCUCACUUCUUCCUUCAGUUCUUGUACAUGUUGUUCAAGUUCAACAUCCACUUCCUCCACAACAUCACAUUGAUUUAAGAAAAAAGAAAACGCAUAACCUUUAUGAUGUCAAUUUCUAAAUUGUAAAUAUUGAGAAAAGAGAGGCACCUAGCCUGAAAUAGUUAUUGCAUGGCAGUUUUCAUGCUUUAAGAACUUGUUUUUCCCCAAAAAAAAAAAAAAAGUGUGUGAAUUAACUUUGGUAGUUAGAUUCGCAACAUGUUUGCCACGUUAAGGAAAGGAAAGUACUUUUUGGUUAUUUAUUUUUAUUUUUUACUCUUUGUUUAAAAUUACAAAUUUAAUUUUCAUAAUAAUAUAUGUUCAAAUUAAUAGUUUAUUGUAGUAUUAAAGAAGUCUUACCAAAGAAGCAUAUGACAGAAAAUGGUCGCCCCAAAUGCUGGGAGAAAAUUUGGCUGAAGGCUUAGGCCGAUGAACAUCAAAAGUGUCAUUUGGGUUUGAAGAUUGAGAUAGUGGAACUUCCACAAAAGACAUAUGUCAAAGAUUUCAAACCUGAAGUGAACUAGCCAAGUGUUAUUGCUUUUGUAUCAAGUCCUGGUGUGAGUUAAGAAGCUCAUAAGCUUUGCUAUUUAUAGUAUCGCUGACUAGCUACCGCACCCACUGGAAAAAAAAAAUUAGGAAAACUAAUGAAAAUGGUUUGAAAACUUUGAGUUUUAAUGAUAAGGACAAAAUAAAGGGUAAAGUGAAUAGUACCAUGAUUGACUUUUUAGUGUAAAAAUGUGGUUUUUUGUUAAAGUGAACAGUACCGGAUGCUUUUCGUUAAAGUUCCCAAAAAAAUUAUCUACAAAAAUUUUACCCGUCAUCUUGGCAUUUUAAACUUUUUUUUAUUACAUAAAUUCUUAUCUUUAUUUUUUGAAAAAUAAUAGGAUAAUUUAUAUUAAAUUUAACUAAAUUACAAAAAAAGAGAUUCAAACACAAAAUCACAUGAACGAAUAUUUUUAAAGCUUUUUAGUCAAAAUGGUUCCUCAUAUUUGCAUAACACAUAACUUUGAUUCCUGAGACUGUCCACCAUCUAUCAUUUUGGUCAUUCCGUUAAAAAGCUCAGGGACCACUUAACGAAGUUUUUUAAUGAAAUGACCAAAGUUAUGUGUUAUGAAAAUUUUAGAAACCAUUUUAGUUAAAAAAAACCUAUUUUUAAUGCACGACAAAUUAUUUACACAUAAAUUCUUAACUAAUACUUGUCACAAAUCUGAUCUUUAAUUUGUGGGUCCCCCACUCAACAAAUUAAUAAUAAUGUCUCCCUUUCCACUCACCAAAUUGGUUUUUUUUUUUUUUUUUUUUUUUUUUUAACCAUGAGUAAAACGACCUUCACACUCGGUUUGACAAACGGUUUCUAUAAUUCUUGGAUAUUACUUAAUCGAACUAAUCCGUGGUUGCUUUUGUUUGUUUUAAUCAGAAUAGAUGGUGGUGUUCUUGUGGCCCCAUUUUAAGUAUCUAAUUAAUCGAUAUCACUUUUGACCAAAAAAAAAAAAAAUCAGAGUAGAGAUAAGAGUCCCUUUUCCUUUCACUUACUCACACUCAACUCUUAGACUUACGGCACCCAUCAUCGAAACCCUACCGUUGUCUUCCUCGUCUCUUCAGUAGAUCGUCCUUCAUCAUUUAACAAGUAAUAAUCAAGGGACUUCUGCUUUUGGGUUCAGUUUCAUCUGCGUUUUUAUUCUUUCAUCUGCUUUUGAAAUUUUUUUAUUUUUUUAUUUUUUUAUUUUUACAAUGGUCCCAUUCGUUUCUGCUUUUGGGUUUGAUUUCAACCUGCGUUUUAUUCUUUCAAUGCUUUUGUGAUUUUUUUUACAGUGGACCCAUUUCUUUGAUUUUAUUUUUAUUUUUAAAUGGACCCAUUUGUUUGAUUAGUUGUCUAGAUUCAUUGAUUUUGUGCGUAGUUUACUGAUGUUGCCUCUCCCUGCUCCAUUACAUCACUCACCUUGAAUUGCAUGGCCAAAACAUUUUUUGAGAAAUGUGAACACAGAGAAAACAGUAGAGUUAGAGAUGGAGAAUUCGCAGUUGGAGAUGACGAAGGGUCUGGAGAUUCUGUCACAUAUGAUGAUAGCAAAAUCACCUUAUAGGCCCCAUGUCAUGAAAGUUGAAUGGAUAAGUAAAAGUUAUGUUAUUCUGAAGUUCUUAUUUUGAAAUUAUGUGAAGAUUUCGACAAAAAAAAAAAAGAUUAUGUGAAGAUCACAUACAUAUUAUUUUUAAAUUAUGUUAAUUUAAAUUCAAAAGUUUAAUAUAUUUAAUAAAGCAAAAGACCUUAAAAAAAACAAAAAAGCAUAUGACAGAAAUUGAGUGUACGACAGAAACUGGUCGCCCCAAAUGCUUGGAGAAAAAGUGGAUGAAGGCCGAUGAACAUUAAAUGUGUCACAAGCCAAGUGUUAAUGCUUUUUGUAUCAAGUGCGGGUGUCAGGUGUCCGUUGAGGAGUUCAUAAAAUUUGCUAUUUAUAUUAUGGCUGAUAUACAGAAAUUCUUCACAAAUAUAAUUUUUAUUUGUGGGUCCCCCACUUAAAAAAGUAAUAAUAGUUUGUCUUCCCUUCGAUUUGACAAACUCGAUUUUUUCUUUCUUUUUUUGGGUGAGUUUAUAACUAAAAGUAAUGUUUCAGAGACAUAUUGGAAGUUUAGAACUAAAAGAAAUUUAAUAGUUUUUUGACAUAUCAGGUCAUAUCACCAAUUAUUUUAACAAGUGAAGUUUGAAUUUGAAUUGUAUUACUUGUUAGUUUAACCGAUGAAUGCAAUACAAAUUAGCCGCACCUAGGCCUCUAGAAUAUCUGAUUUCCUUGCCUUGCAAGGCAUUCUAAGGGCCUGGAGAUUCUACAGCGUAUGAUGAUAGCCUCGACGUCAUCGUCUUUGUAGGGUAAUUUCGGUAGCGCCCGAAGGAUCUUUUGUGCCCAUAAUGCCUUUGCCCACUCUCUGCAUUUCCUCUUGACACUGUCCAUACACUUGAUUUCUCACUAACAAUGUUUAUUUAUUUAUUUAUUUUUAAGAACAAACAAUAUUAUCUACAUUGAAUGGAUGUGAGAGUUAAUUAAGGUCAUCUCCAACCAAUCCGGGCAAAACGGAUUUCCUACGCGCGAGCAGUGGACAAUCAUCCCUCAAUCAAGUUAAAAAUGCCCAAAAAAGGUAACAAAUUCAAAAUUAUUUCAUCCAUCCUCAUCUUAUAUUCCCUACAAGGUAAUUAUUCCAUAACAUUCAAAACAUUCCAUAUCAAUUGAGUUAAUUGACCAAUUAAUGAAUUAAUUACCAUAUAAAUCACCCAUUACACUAAAAAAUUACCCAAAAGGCCGGCCACUCUAUUUCUCAAGAAUGUCGGCCAUGCUCUAUAUAUUAAACCCUAUUUUCUCUAAAAAGCUAAGUGUUACACUCUUACAAAACUCUCAAAAACUCUCCAAACACUUUUCUCUCUAAAUUCUAACUUUGACAUUGGAGGUUCUUCGGCCAAAGCCCCCCCCAAAUUCAUCGUGGGCGCGUGAGGCUCUUGGCCUUGACCUAAGGGUUAAUUGUUUUGUAGGUGCAAUUUUGUCCAAGAUCAAGGAGGAAGAAAUUUGCAUCCACAGGGAUGAAGAUGGAUCUCUUACCCUUCAAGAAACAAGGGUAGAAAAGUUGUCUCUAGGUGAAGGUUCCAUACAUAAGGCUACGAGACAAAACAAGGCUCGAAAAUUGAAAGAAAAUGGCAAGGCAAAGGAUUAUUACGCCUUUCAACAGGAAAUGACAACCUCAUUUAGAUUAAUGGCAGAGCAAAAUGCCAUUGCCGCAGAAGAAAGGAACUGUGGGCAAGAAGAACGGGCCAAACAAAUACAAGAAGAGAUGGAUGAUAGAAAUAUGCAAAGGUACACUUCGGAUUACACUCAAAUGAGUAAGGCCUAAUUUGAUAGGAAAAAGAGGGAAAUUAUGGCCCGACGGGAUUUGUUGACCUCCAACUAUGAUCCUACAAUGGCGGAUGAUUAUGAUGAUGAUGAUGUUUAUAGACUUUAAAUUUAAGUUGUUGUAGCCUUUAAAUUUAAGUUGUAGAUUUAAAAUUUAAUUUGUUGUAGUCUUUAAAUUUAAAUAAUAAAUUAUGUUUGGCCUAUGGCCCUUUGGCCCUCUCGGUUGGAGAUGGUUUUUUAUCAUAGGGCUAUAUUUGGCCUAUGACCCCUCGGUUGGAGAUGGUAAGAAAUAUAGCCUGACAUUGUUUAUUAAAAUAUUAAUUUCUUGGAGGGCUAUAGGGCUAAAAGGAGCCCUCUGGCCCUCAUUCGGUUGGAGAUGGCCUAAGUCUCCUAAUGGACUAACAAUAAUGUGGUUCAAAAUCGUCUUAUGACGAGAAUCGAAUUUAAGACCUUUCGCUUACCAGUGAAGAGAAAUACCACUAGAUCGUAUUGCUAAGGGGCUGAUCACUAACAUAGUUAGGCCAUCUCCAAUCGAAGGGGGGGGCUAGAGGGCUCUCUUUAGCCCUAUGGCUCUCUGAGAAAUUAUAUUUUAAUGAACAAUGUCAGACUAUAUUUCAUAUCAUCUCCAAUCAAAGGGACCAAAGGAUCAUAGGCCAAACAUAAUUUAUUAUUUUAAUUGAGUUAAUAAAGUUAAUUAAAUUAAAAUAUCAUAUUAAAAUAAUGUUUUCGAACAUAGGAAGAUUAUUAGAAAUGAGGUAAGAUAUUAUAGAAUAGUGAAAAGUAUAUGAGAAAUGGUGUAGGAAAAAAAUUAAAAAAAAAAACAUAAAAAAAAGUUGGAAAAAAAAAUUGUCCAAAAAAAAAAGUGGGCCGAGCAAAAAAACAAAGAAAAAGGGAUGGGCAAAAAAAAUUGUCCAAAAAAAAAAGAAGGGCUGGCUGGCUGGAGAUGACCAACCCGUUGGCCUGAUUUGGUGCUUUUGGCAUGGUGGGGCCCACAAGCUCUUUGGCCUAACCCUCGGUUGGAGACAGUUUUUGUGUCAUUUCGGGCUAUUUCGGCCCUAUGGCCCUCUGGCUAGAUCGGUUGGAGAUGGCCUUAACUCCAGAUUAAAACUUAAAAGACGAAAAAUUGACUUCUAAUGUCAAUUGAAUUAUGAUUUCUAACAAUUAUGGGUGAGCAUAGGAAUGACAACGAUUCAGUUUGGAGACGGAAAUGUUGUAUCCAUCUCUAUAACCAUGAAAAGUAACCAUAUUCAUAACUGCAAAUUAACUACCGAGUUUUAUUCAUAACCAUACUCACUUUUAUCAUUAAAUAUUUGAUGUAUACACGAGACUGGGCUGUGCUUGGGCCAUGUCACUAAACAAGCGGCUCACCACACUUAAGUUAUUUUAAAAUAUUUAAAAGAGUAAAUUGUAGCUAUGGUCCCUUAACCUUAACUCAAUUGGAGCAAUUGUCCCUCAACUAAAAAUCCAUUACCAUUGGUCCCUCAAUUCAUCAAAACGUGCAGCUAUAAUCCCUCAACCAAAAAUCCAUUACCAUUGGUCCCUCAACUUUAAUUCAACGGGAGAAAUGGUCCCUUAACUUUAACCCAAUUGUAGCAAUCGUCCUUCCAACAUAACUUGUUUUGACAAAAUUUUUGACGUAGUUGACGAAAAUGACCAUAAUUACACACUUUGAUGAGUUGAGGGAUCCUAAUUAUAUAAAUGGUUAUUCCAACAUAACUUAUUUUGACAAAAUUUUGACGAAAUUAAUGAAAAAGACUAUAGCUACACAUUUUGAUAAGUUGAGGGACUAAUGAUAAUGAAUUUUUAGUUGAGGGACCAUUGCUCCAAUUUGAUUAAAGUUGAGGGACUAUUGCUACAAUUUACUCUAUUUAAAAAAUUAUUUGAAUCUAGCUUAAAGCUAAAUAUCACAAAUAUUUAGUCUUAUUAGCUCCAAAAUGUAUGUUUGUAGUUGAACAACAAUGAAAAAACAUAUUAAUAUUUAUGUAUUAGUUUAAACGGGAUUGUCAUAAUGGUCCCAAGUCGAGGGCCAUGCUUGGUUCGUGAUGAUUGACGGGCGGGCCAGCUCAUUGAGUAAUUACUCUUAGAGUGUGACUUGUUGGUCCAAAAAAUAUGACUGGUUUCUCAUGUGGCUUAUUGAAAAUUUAAGAUUAGAUUUAUUAUUUUGUCGAUUUGCUAUCGUAUGUGGUUGGAAUUCAAUUGUUUUUUUUAUGCUCCCUCUGAUGAGUAUCUCCCCCUGAUUUCGAUCUUUAAACUAAUUGAUUACUAUGUUGAUGUAAUCUAAUACCAUUCAUGAUAGUUGAGUGUUUGCUUCUGAAGGUGGUUCACAUGCGCUCCAAAUUUUAAUGGCCACGGGUUUUAACCAAACUCUUGUAUUUCUGAGAGAUAUGAAGAUGUGGCAAUGAAUGUUGUUUCCUUGAUCGUUUUAGGAUCAAUUUAUUUCCAUAUGUAAAUACAAAUCAUUUCUAAGAGCGAUUUGUAUGCAGGCUAAAGAGAUAUUUAGAUUUUUGCUUGCCCAAUAAGACCAUGGCUAUUAGUGAGUUCUUUGGAAUAGAAUAAGCACAUGUCUAUAAUUUCCUGGAGUUAUCAAAAGAUAAACUUUACUUCAUUCUAAUACCUUAUGUUGGUAUUGUGCGUCACAAGAAAUGUAACAUUUGACUCAGUGUAUUGUAUUAAAUACAAUAUGGUAUAUACUUCACUAAGAUAUGGUACUCCUGGAUCAAAUAUCAAUUCAUCAUUUCCCUCAUGAGAAUGAAUGAUCUUUCUUAGUGUCAAUAUUGGUUAAUCAUUUGAGUAUUCAACUCAUGAUCUUCAAUCCAUAUGGUUUUUUAAUACCAUAAACAUUUUGGAUAAGAUAUGUGUUGGCAUAUUAUUCGAUCUGCAGCUCGAGACAAUAUUCCUUUCAACACUUUAUAAUCUUUCUAGACUCUUCAAGAGUUCCAAUCUAAUAUCAACUCUUGCAAGAGUUUUGCUUACCCUUUCAGGGCUUUUUUCAAGCAAUUUGAAUUCUUCAUAGAUUUUCUACACUUCAUGACACAUGCUUCUUUGGAAUUUAUACAGAGCAACUUGCUUCCAUGUAUACUUGAGAGAUUUACUUGUGGAGAUAUGCUUCGGGCAUAUGUAUAAUUCUCUACUGAAAUGAACAAGCUUCACAGUGAGAAAUCAUGUUUUCAGGAGUGUAUUACAAUUUCAGGUUUCAAUUGGAAACCUUGUGUCAUAUUAUGUGAGUGUAUGUCACUAUAUUACAAAUGCCUAUAUGUAACCUUUUGGGUUCAACAUCAUUUGGCGAUUUGUACUAUAGGUCUAUUUUUCCCACGUUCUUAAUAAAUUGUAAUGGAAUUGCCUUUCUCCAUUUUGGCCAUUUUGGCCAAUAAUUUUUCUUUUUAGUCAACGAACAAAAGAACGUGGUUCAAUAUCAACACAGCUCAUUGAUGAAUUUAGUAGCAAUUGUAAAAUCAAAAUUAACAUUGGUAAUCAUCAAUUCUUGAUCCCAUAAUUCUCAUGUGCAUGCAUAUUUAUAAGCAUUUUAAAACUUUGGAUAUCCUUGCCUCUUCAGGGGCUUUACAUCGUCUCUUCUAGGACAGUCAUUUCUUAUUAGAUGAAUUGUUUGAGAAUUUGGAUCAUAACCUUCUCUAAAGCAUUAUAGAGCUUGGAUUUUUAAUCUUCACUUCUAGGGAGUUGAAUCAUUGGAACCUACACAUUGAUUAUGCUUCAGGAUGAGAUAUAUUAAAAUUAUCGAGUCCAUGGAUUAUCCUUUUGGAACUUGAAUCCACGCGACGAUUGUCAUGCUUUAGGCAUGCAAUAGUUCAGUAGUGCCAAGUUUAUGGAUAGUCUGACUGAGACUUCAAUUUGUAUGGCAUCUUUGUAACUUGUAAUCAAUUAGAAAUUUUCAUUACCUUUUUGUACAUCAUGUGAAUUAUGUAAACUAGUAGUGUUUGUUGGGGUUGUGAGUAGGAUUCCCAUCAUUGAACUUUGGUCUUCCAUUCACUCAGUCAGCCAACAAUUUUCUCCCUUUGGACUUCUAUGGGCUUAUCGUUGAUCCUUCUGCUUCAGUCUCUUACACAGUAGAAAUGGUGCGCAACCUUUUCCUUUGGAUGGUCCAUCACUUCUUAGUAAACCAUCCAUGUUUGGUAGCUUCAGUGUAAAGAGCCAACAUCGUACCAAUUAUUCUGCAGUGUUGGUCACUUAAGACCCGGCUCCAACAACAGUUGAAGAUGACUACUCGAGAGCAAUGCAAGGUAAGCAAUCAGGGAAAGGUCCUAAGCAAUCAGUUCCUGACUGGAAGUUUGAUUUCAGGUUCCAACUAUUUACUUUCUUUCUCUUUGUCUUGCAGGUAAGAGCAAGGGCAAAGGAAAAGACAUGGAAAUAGCAUGAUAUGAGAUACUUUUGCGCUCGACCCUGAUGAUAUGAAAUACUUUUACUCUUGAAGAUAAACAGUAAAAGGAUUUGAUGCUGAUGUAAACCUUUUACAUUUUAAGGGACUUGAGGUAUUCGAGAUAAGGAAGACUAAAUAUGUUGAGAGGUUUAGUUGCAGAUGCAUUAUCGGUAAGGAAUAUGAGUUAGGUGUUUUGGAGGUGUGCUUUGCCAUAGAAGACGAAUGUCGACAUAUAUAAGGAUUUCCCAAUAGUAGGUAAUGGUGUGGUUGUGACCUUGUCACCCACGCUUGUCGGUAACAGUGGUGUAGUUGGAAUAGUGAACUUUACACAUUUUAACUUUGCAAGAGACAUUUUGACAAAGUUGUCCCUAAUACCAGAAAGAUGAGAUUGCAUCUGAGAAAUGUUGACGAACUUUAUUCAGGAAAAUCCAACUUUUGAAAUUUAGAGAGCGGUGUCUCUUCGACUUUUGAACAAGUGGUCAUGCUAUCUCUCUUUUUAUAGAUGUAUCAAUUGUAUCCAACAUGCACCCUUUGAAAAUUGUCCGCCUGUGAAAAUUGUCUAUGUUGUAUUUAUGAGAUUUCACUCUAUCCAACCCUUUUUUUUUCAUCAUUUCUAAAAAUGGCUUGCCCAUCCAACCUUUGUUUAGAUUUGAGUCUCGGAGGAGAUACACACGAGAUGCGUCAGGAUAAUAUAUGGUGCUCGUCCUUUUUAUCUUCUAAUGGCUUUUUUACAGUUGGAGGCUCUGUGAUGAGGGAUGAUAUAACGGCUACAGUAGUAGCUAGGAACCUUCUCACUCCUAGAGAUAAAAGAAUACUUUCAAAAAGGUCUGAUGAAUUAGUUGUUCAAGACUCUUUAGCUUUCAGUGUUCAAUGUGCGGGUUCUGUAUCCAACAUGGACCAACGUCUACUUGCUUGAAGUCGCCAAGUUGAAACAUUAAUGGCUGAGGUAGGAAGUCUUAGACAAGAAAUUAGAGGGCUCAAGCACAAGAAUAAAGAGUUGCAUAAACUUGCAAAUAUUUACUCGAUGAGCAUGAAAAGAAAACUUGACUAGCUGCAGGAAUCCUAAAGUUGGAUUCAAAGUGAUCACCAGAGAUUCGUGGCUAGAUUGUGAAGGAAACUAGUGCCUUCCCUUUCUGGUGUUUUGCCAAGUGUUAGGGUGUCAUGAUUAAUCUCUAGUAUCUCCUUCUUCUGGGGUACUGCUAAGUACUGAGGCUUCACAUGAGCAACCCUUAUGAAACAACGCCCCCCCCCCGGGACCCCCCAAUUUAUUUGUUUUUGUAGUUGUAACUCAUGUGUAUGUAUAUAUAUUUUUUUCUCCCAUUUGAUUUUAUAUAUGUCAGAAAGCUUCUACUUUAGCUUGUUAUAUAUGGGAACCCAUGGAAACUUCUGGUUCCAUGAAUAUGAUUCAAUGAGCCUUUAAGUAUAGAUAUUUUUUAAUAUCAUAUGCUUCCACAUAAGUUCUCGAGCAUUAUGAAUUCAUGAAAGUAUCUCUUGUGUAAGAUGUCGAUGGUCACAAAAUCGGGUUUUGCUAAGUUCACCAUUAUCUUAUUCCCAAAAGGAAGAAAUUCAGGUAUGACGGAAAUUGCUAUAAUUAACUCAUAACACAUAUAACAUAAGUCUACACAAAAUAUUAGAACUUCAAGUUCUUAACGUUAUUCAUAUUUUGAAUUUCAAGUCAAAACAUUAUUCAUAUGUACUUGAAAUUUAUUUUUAAAAUUGACAUCAUUAGAACCUUUAUGUUCAUAUUUUUGGAAUUCAUACCCAUACUUAAUUUGUACAUGGAUUAAGAAAUUUAUGGUCCUCAUUUACACGAAUCAAGGAACUUCUGGCUCUCAUUUAAUAGUUUGUGGACUAAGGUGCUUAUGGCCGUCAUUUUAUUUUAAUUGAGGAACAUAUGCUCUCUCAGUUGAUUCAAAAACUUGAGGUUUUGAUUUGAUCAAAGAACUUUGGGUCCGAUCUUUUUUACAUGAUGAUGAUCAAGGAACUUCAGGUCUGAUCUUUUUUAAUGGUGGAACUUCAGGUCCAAUCAUUUUAUAUGAUGAGGAUCAAGAAACUUCAGGUUCUAAUCUGAUCAAGGAACUUCGGAUCUUAUAUACUCAUCAUAAAAUGUAGUACACUAAAUAAAUUAAAGUAAUAGGCAGCAAUUCCAAUCAUGUUAAAUAAAUUUGUAGACAUCGAAAUUUCGGUAAAUAAAUGUUGACCGAUAAAUCAAAGUGUCAACGCUCAUGUAUUACAUAAAUUUUACACGUAGCGUGUGACUCAACGAAAAUUGAAAUGAGUUGGAAAAGUCAUCAAAUAGGACACGUGUCAACACCUGGCAGAAACGACUUAUUUCAUCUGGAAUAUUAUAUUCAAAAUUAGGCAUUGGAAAAUUCUAUAAAUACAAGCCCAUUUCAUUCAUUUUGAAAAAACCCAUUCAUAUUACACCUUGAAGCUCUGAAGCUCUGAAGCUCCGAAGCUCUCAAGCAUCCAGGUUCCCGAAGAAUCAAGAAAGCUCUCUUCGUUCUUCGUUCUUCGUCCAUCGCUCUUUCAAGAUCAAGCCCCGACGGCCCUUGAAGAAAGCACCAUCGUUCAUCAUCCGUUCUUCCAAGAUCAAGCCCCAACGGCCCCUUUGGAUCGACAACAUCAACAAAUCCGCUCAUCCGCUGUUCAUCAAGCCCAAGCCCCGACGGCCCUUGAAGAAAGCGUUCAUCGUUCAUCACUGUUCUUCGAGAUCAAGCCCAAAAGCCCUCGAAGAUCCGUUCAAGCCCAAAAGCUCUCGAAGAUCCGUUCAAGCCCAAAAGCUCUCGAAGAUCCGUUCAUCACUAUUCUUCGAGUUCAAGCCCAAAAGCCCUCGGAAAUCCGUUCAUCACUGUUCUUCAAGAUCAAGCCCAAAAGCCCUUGAAGAUCCGUCAAUCACCAUUCUUCAAGAUCAAGCUCAAAAGCCGUUGAAGAUCCGUUCAUCCUCGUUCAUCCAAGAUCAAGCCUCGACGGCCCUUGGAUCAAUCGCACAUCCCACAAAUCAACACCUUACGGAGAUCGAAUCAGAGGAUCAAAUUAGAGAGAGAUUGUAACCCAAAAUCAUCAAAUACAAAUAUUUGUUUGUGCACGUCGUUCUUGUCUCUUUCGUUUCAGGAAUUUUCCGUGUUCACAAAUUGGCACGCUCGGUGGGACAAUCUCUGCCUCUCAUCUCUUUCUCCGUUCAAGAAAUUCAAGCACACUUCCAAAAUUAAUGGCAUCAAGGAAGGCUCAAACUGUUCCCGCAACCGGUGCAAAGAACAAAAGCGUCCUCGUCGCAACUGGUGUCACUUUGGGCAUCACGACUCGAAGCAUGGCAAGAGCUACUUCUGCCGCCUCUUUCACCUCUGCAUCAACUCUGCCAAGGGAACAAAAGCACCCAAGGCACGAGCCUUUGAUCACCUUAGCCUCACUAAGGGCACCAAGGGGGGGAAGCCCAAGGAAAUACUCCGAAUCCAUGCUCUCCGAUGCCGAUUCAAGCGGCAGUGCAGCCAUGCAAGUCAUGACCAUUGGAGCAACUUCAAUCGAUGAGCAACUGGCUCAAAUGAAUGAAGCAAUCGCAAGGCUAACCCGAACUGUGGAAGAAAAAGACUUGCAAAUCGCUGCACUCGUCAGCCGACUGGAGCCACAGGACGACGAGAACCCUAACCCAGAAGAUGAGCCUCAGGUGGAGAAAAACGAUGCGAAGCCCGAGCCAGAGCAAGCAGCGGCACUCAUGGGAUCUCUUUCUAUCCAGCAGCUGCAAGAGAUGAUCACCAACACCAUCAAGGCACAGUACGAAGGGAGCUCAAAUACCUCCGAGUUGUACUCAAAGCCGUAUUCAAAGAAGAUCGACGCCUUAAGGAUGCCGAGGGGCUAUCAACCGCCGAAGUUUAUGCAAUUUGACGGAAAGGGAAACCCGAAGCAACAUGUCGCACAUUUCGUGGAAACCUGCAACAAUGCAGGGACGGAGGGAGAUUACCUCGCCAAGCAGUUUGUGCGCUCGCUGAAAGGAAAUGCCUUUGAGUGGUACACGGACCUAGAGCCCGAGUCCAUCAACAGCUGGGAGCAAUUAGAGCGGGAAUUCCUCAACCGCUUCUACAGCACCCGCCGCACUGUGAGCAUGCUAGAGCUAACGAGCACAAAGCAGUGGAAAGACGAGCCAGUCAUUGACUACAUCAACAGAUGGCGCACUCUAAGCCUCGACUGUAAAGACAGGCUAUCGGAAACCUCUUCAAUCGAGAUGUGCAUCCAAGGUAUGCAAUGGGGUUUGCAAUACAUCCUUCAAGGCAUUAAACCACGGACCUUCGAGGAGUUGGCCACUCGCGCCCAUGACAUGGAGUUGAGCAUCGCCCAUCAUGGGAAGAAAGAACCGAUCGCCGACUACAAGAACGACAAAGCUCUUGGGACAAAGGUGGAAAAGGCUGCAUGGAAACCCACCAAGGAAGCGAUGACGGUCAACACAUCUCCCGUCAAAAUAUCCACACGAGGCAAGGCGAUUCAAACCGAAGCUUUUCGUGAUCAAGAGACGCGUAGACGCACUUUGAAGGAGCUUGAGGAGAAGACUUAUCCAUUCCCCGACUCUGAUGUGGUUGCCAUGCUAGAUGACCUGUUGGACAAGAAGGUGAUCAGUUUGCCUGAGUGCAGACGGCCGGAAGAGAUGAAUCGUACUGACAGUCCAAGAUACUGUAAAUUCCACCGCUUCAUCAGUCAUCCGACAGAAAAGUGUUUCGUGCUGAAAGAUCUCAUCAUGAAGCUGGCUCAGAAAGGAAUCAUCGAGCUAGAUCUUGACGAAGUGGCGAAGUCAAACUAUACCACCUUCACUUCUGGCUCUUCCGACUCAAAGUUUUCACCUCAACCGCUGGGGGCAUCCUCCAAGACAAGCAAAGUUGAAGGAUGGACUCAAGUCACUCCUAAGAAAUUGCACAAAGAAGCAUACGUCUCCUCCACAAGUCCGCCAAUCGGAAAGGGGGCAAAACAGCUCUUGUCAACCUUCAAAGCAACGUGAACGUGUUGAAGAUGAUGAAACUUCGACACAAAGAUCGUCCGUCCCCAUCACGAUGCGCGACUUCUUGCCCGAAGACUUCUUCAAUCACGCGGUCAAAGCUCCUUGCUAUGAAAAUUGUGAAGGAACGCCUCUCCCGGAUUGCUUGACAAAAUUCAUAAAUGCUCCUCGCCUGCACGAGCCUAAACUGCAUGGCACAAUGCUCCUUGUUCGCACGAGCCUAAACUGCAAGACACAAAGCUCCUUGUCUGUAAGAGCCUAAACUGCAAGACACAAUGCUCCUUGUUCGCACGAGCCUAAACUGCACGAACCAAAGCUCAUUGUCCGCACGAGCCUAAACUGUAGGACACGAGGCUCCUCGCCUGCACGAGCCUAAACUACAUGGCACAAACGCUCCCGAUCCGCAAGAGCAUAAAAGGCGACAUCAACGCUCCCGAUCCGCACGAGCAUAAAAGGCAACACCAAAUGCUCCUUGUCUGCACGAGUUGAAACUGCAUACGACACCAAAAGCUCCUUGUCUGCACGAGUUGAAACUGCAAACGACACCAAAUGCUCCUUGUCUGCACGAGUUGAAACUGCAAACGACACCAAAUGCUCUUUGUCUGCACGAGUUGAAACUGCAAACGACACCAACACUCCUUGCCUGCAUGAGUUCGGCACAAAAAAAAAAUACCAUAAAUAUGUAUGUAUUUGAACUACGUUACGACUUGAUCUCUUUUUUGGAGGGGUACGUAGGCAGCUCGAAUAUUCAAAAUUUGAGUUCAGUCACACCAGAAUAAAGAUUUUAUUAAAAGUUUGAUGCUAUUACAAUUUCUUUGUACAAAAAAAAGGAAAAAAAAAAAGAAAAAGAGAAAAAGAGAUACAUGUUUUAUGUAUUUACAAAAAAAAAAAAAAAAAAAAAAAAAAAAAACAUAUGUUUUAUGUAUUAUUAAAAUAUAUAUAUAUAUAUAUAUAUAUAUAAAGGGCCUCAGAAGUAGCCCGUGUCCAAAUCCAAUCUAGGCCCAAGCCCAACUUACCUCUUUUCCGUUUUUGAUCCUUCUCUCUCUCUCUCUCUCUCUCAAAUCAAUCUCAAUUAAACAAUACCAUUUUCAAGUCGGACACCACACACAGACGCAGCUGAACAAAGUCGGUGGGGAGGAGAGAGAAACCAGAUAGAGAGAGAAAGCGGAAGCGGAAGCUCACAGGAGAAAACCCGAAGCCAACCACGCCCGCUGGGGCUCAGAGCGACCGCCGCUGAUCCAAUCGCCACCUCAGAUUCCGGCAGCUCCUCUGUCCGCAUUAUCGCUGGAAUGGCAGAUUCCCAUCUCCUCGACGCUCACGGGGGUUGAAAUGAACGAGAUGCAGAUCGGCAAAGCUCACGACGCGACGCGGACAAGGCUUUCCCUGGAUGCUUGGGAAGAAUGGUGAACCUCUUUGAUUUGGGUAAUGGGGUUUCUGGAAACAAGCUGCUCACUGAUAAACCGCACCGUGAUGGCUCUUCACUCUCAAGGAGUCAAUCGGAUGGCGGCCCACGGCCCGGCCUUCUGCGACAUAACCUGGGGUGCCGGUGGCUCCACGACGGAUCUGACGCUGGACAUUGCCAACAAGAUGCAGAACCUCAUCUGCGUGGAGACCAUGAUGCACCUCACCUGCACACCCAUCACCGUUCAUCCAUCGUUGACCAAAUCAACCAGGCGUGUCGAAAGUUCGGUUUCUUCCAGGUCACAAAUCACGGAAUCCCGUUGGCAGCUCUGGACCGUACGAUCUCAGCCAUCAAGGCCUUUCACGAGCAGCCGGCGGAGGUCAAAACACGGGUCUACCGUAGGGAUAUGGUGACGGGCGUAAAUUAUGCCUACAACUUCGACCUCUACAGCUCAAAAGCCGCCAGCUGGAGGGACACGCUAGCAGUUAGGUUGGGUCCCACGCCGGCGAAUCCUCUAGGGGUGCCUGAGAUCUGUCGGGAUGCGGUUGCUGAGUGGGAUCAGGAACAAAUCUUGAAUGACAACCAGCCUGAUAUGGAUGAUUGCGAGGGCUGUGAAAAUCAAGAUGAGGAACCGGUUGCAAUGGUUAAAGAGUCACCUUCAGGGGAUGAAGCUGCAAACAGCAAUGACUCAGACUGGGGAAUGGAUUGUUCUACAGUUGUGAGAGUUAAAACAUUGCACAUUAGCUCUCCAAUUUUGGCAUCCAAAAUUGUCCCUUCUUUCUCUGCUCAACAAGAACUCAGCAGUCAUUCACUCAGCGUCCUGGAUGUUUGACUAGCCUCGCUACUCGCCGAGUCGUCGUCCCGAUCCGACCCAAAGCCUACACCGACUGCGCUAACGUAUGCCCCUGCGGUUGCUGCGCCACGACGUCGUCUUCCUCGUCUUCUUCUUCGUCCUCUCGCUUCCCCGCCGGCGACGGCGUCCGAGUCUCCAAGAUUCUCGAGAGCGAGCCGUCUUUUCGGCGGUCCCGGUCGGUUGCGGUCCCUUUUCUGCGCUCCACGUCGAAGUUUCUCGGCGGCGCUUUUAGACACGCGGACUUUGACUUCGCCGGUGACAGGAGUGAGCCCCAGAGCGGCGGACGGACUAAAACACCGUCGUUUUGGUCGUCGGUAUUCCGGUCGUCUCACAGGAGUAAGACAAGCGAGGUUAAUAAUGGAGAACACGAGACGACGGCGGAGAAGAAAGCCGAGGGCGAAAUCCAAGAGGAGGAAGAAGACGCAGAUGCUGCGAUGAGAAGGAAGAUGAUGAGAAAAUCGAGGUCGGUGGCCGUGCCGAUGAUGUCUUCAAAAGCUGGUGACAAUGUGAGGGUUCUGCUCACUGCUAUGUUCCAUGAUGUGUGCAGCUGACCCUCGCCAUGGUCGGUAUUUGACUGCCUCAGCCAUGUUCAGGGGUAAAAUGAGCACAAAGGAAGUUGAUCAGCAGAUGAUCAAUGUCCAGAACAAGAACUCUUCUUACUUUGUGGAAUGGAUUCCCAACAAUGUCAAGUCUACUGUAUGUGACAUCCCUCCCGACAACGGCACAUCUACCCCGGAGCCUCAAUCCAUUGCUUCGCACGCUAACCCUGCUCUCUCUCCAGCAACAUCUCUUUCUGCACCACCGUCAUCUGCUCCUGCCUGGUUUCGGUGAUAGUCAACAACAACGGCAGAGAAAGCAGAGGGCUCGGAAUCAACCAUCUCAUCGUCCACAUCGGUCUUGUCCUGGAGCUCCUGGACAAUCAGCUCCGAAGUCGUCAGAGGCCGCUGUUGCGUCGUGUGUGUGAAAGCUAUGCCUUCGUAUCCUCGCCCAGCGCUGCAUCUCCUCCGUCUCUUGCCUCGCAACUGCCAGCAACUUCAAAGACCGCUGUCAAACGACUAGCCGGCCGAGAAGCUCUUCCUCAAGCUCCAGCUCUAAGUUCCUCCUUGCUCCGCUCCCUACAAAUCCUCCCGCCAAGCACCCUAAUUUAUACAAAAAGAAAGACAAUUAAAAAAAAAAAAAAAAAAAAAAAAAAAAAAAAAAAAAAAAAAAAAGGUGGUGGUGCAUCUGGCACCACGUGAAAAAAGAGGAAUGGUGGAUCAAAGAUGGGGUACAGCCCCAUGGCAGAUCAAAAGUUUCUGGUGGUGCAUGGGCACCAUGUGCAGAAAGAAAAAAAAAAAAAAAAAAAAAAUUGUAAAAAAUAAAAAAAAUAAUUAAAAAUAAUUAGAAAAAAAAAAAAAAAAAAAACGAUGGAACUUGGUGCAUCCAGCACCAAAAGAAAAAGAAAAAAAAAAUGCAUAGAGAGAAAUAGAAGGUUCAUUUUAUUUAUUUUUCUGAAAAUUAUACAUAAAUUUGCAUUAUACAUAAAUUAAAAAAAAAAAAAAAAAAAAAAAAAUCAAAUCAAAUCAAAUUUACAAGAGGGGAUAUUCAAGGACGAUCAGGUGCCGCCUCACAACUCGGCGGAGCUCCAGGAAGAGAAGGCGUCGGAGGUUGGCUGUUUGAAGCCUCAGCAGUCGGUACAGCCCCAGAAGACGAAGGUAAAUGCUGCUGGAACAAACCCACAAACCUCCGAUGAUCAAGUAAAAUCUGACCAUCAGAUUCCUGCAUCUGGUCAAUUUUCCUCUUCAUGUUUGUGGCAUAGUUGUGUGCAAGCUUGUGCAACUGUUUAUUCUCAUGCUUGAGCCCUCUGAUCUCCUGUUUGAGACUCAUCACUUCAGCCACCAACGAUUCAACUUGACGGGUUCGAGCAAAUAGGCGUUGGGCCAUGUUGGACACAGAACCCGCACACUGCACACUAAGAGCCAGGGACUCCUUAACAGCCAACUCAUCAGACCGCCUGGAAAGUAGUCUGUUAUCUUUGGGAGUGACAAGGUUCCGGGCCACCACCGCAGCGGUCAUAUCAUUCUUCAUCACCGAAUCCCCAACGGUAAGAGGACCAGUAGGGGAUAUGAAUGAUGGGCGCCAUAUGUUGUCUGGAGAAGGCGGGACUGCCUCUUCACCAAGAUUCAAGUCAAAACGACGGUCGGAGGGUCCAGACAUUUUCAAAGUGUUGAAGGAAGAAGAGAUCGGACAAAUCAAGAUCUUAGAAGUGCAAGAGGGGAGUUUUCACAAGCGAAAAUUCAAGUGUGCUUUGAAACGAACUGCAUGCCUCUAUAAAAAAUCAGCACUCGACGGGAUUUCAGAGAUCGAAGAGGCGAGCUCAGAAUUCGAAGAGGCCAUUCAAAAAUCGAAGAGGCAAGCUCAGAAAUCGGAGAAGCAUCUUGCUUUUCCAGACGCGUCAACACCCGUCACACGCAAACUCAGCUUUGCGGAAAUCACGGGCAAUUUGUUAAAGCACCAAUCCCAGAUAUCGAAGAGGCGCCAGUCUUUUUCAGCCUCGUCAUCACCUGUCAUAUGCACACUCAACUUUGCGCAAAUCACGGGCAAUUUGUCGAAGAUUUUAGGUGAAGGAGAAAGCACGUGAAAGUUUACUGUUCAAUCAUCCAACGGUUGCCGACACGAGUGAAAGAAUAAUACCUCUACAGGCGUUAAAGAACUUCCUAUAACUGUCCACCUUCACCUUCCAUAGCAAGGCAGACAUACAGAGCCUUUCUUCAUCUCCAAAAAUGCUUUCCCAACGAAGCCUCUCGAGUCACUUAGUGUUCCUUAUUCCUUGGGGUACCUCUGUAAGCCAAUAACUUCAAAGCAAAAGUAUCUCAUAUCACCAGGGUAGAAAGCAAGAGUAUCUCAUAUCAUGCGUUCUCCCUGUCGUUUCCUUUGUCCUUGCUCCUACCUACAAAGACAAGGAUAAAGAAAAUAAUAUGCCGGAACUUCCACUCAAACUCGGGUAAGGAACCGACUGCUUGGAACCCUUCCCUGAUUGCCUACCUAGCACUGCUCUCGAGUACUCGCCUUCCACUGCUGCUGUACUUUCAAAGAAGCUGCCACAUCUGCCUGGAGGACAGAUAAGGCAAGUGAAAAUGAUACCUUGCAGCAUGUGGAGACAAGGUGCAGAAGGAACAAGCAGAGAGGAAUGCGGUCUGCACGGUCAACUCAGCAGAAGGAGUCCGAACUGAGGAACUCAAGAAGCUGCCACAUCUGCCUGAAGAAACAAGCAGAGAAGAAUGCAGCAUGCACAGUCAACUCAGCAGAAAGAGUCUGAGAUGAAGAACUCGAGAAGAUGCCGCAUCUGCCUGAGGACGGUGAACUCGUUUUGACCCUCAAAUUCUUGGGUCGACUUACUAGGCGUUGUGGGCUGCACGUGCUGAUUCACCACCCUUGAAUCAAAUCCUUAAAGAUCAAGUCACCAACUGGAAUAAAAGCCCAUCAAUCUUGAAGAUCAUACCAUUGACCAAACUGCUCAGGUGUGAAUUAGAAAGAUUGAACAAAGAAACAGGUCGUCACCUUUACCUCGUGCCUGCUUGCCAUGUGUUCGAGUCAGCCUUCAAGAAUCAAGCCCCAACGGCCCUUGAAGAAGCUUCCAGCCGAAUUCAAAAUCAAGCCUCGACGGCCCUGGAAGAAAUCACAAGUCUGAUUCAAGAUCAAGUGUCUACCACCCUUGAAUCAAAACCUAGUUCAAGAAUAAGCUGUGGAAAGUCAACAAGCGCAACAAAAUACGUGCCGAUUCAUCCACUACCAAAGCCAAAGAUCAUCUACCACACAUGAAGCUCCUUGUGGCCCAAUUUCAACCUUCAAGAUCAAGUCUCGACGACCCUUGAAGAAAUUUCAAACAAAAGUUCAAGAACAAGCCUCAACGGCCCUUGAAGAAAUCUCAAGCCCAAUUCAAAAUCAAGCCUCGACGGCCCUUGAAGAAAUCUCAAGCCCAAUUCAAGAUCAAGCCUCGACGGCCCUUGAAGAAAUCUCCAGCCCAAUUCAAGAUCAAGCCUCAACGGCCCUUGGAUCGACAUCUACAGUAAGGGACUUCAAAACGCAUCUCCUACACGUGACAAGCACAUGUAUACGACGUGCCUUGAAGUGGGGGCAUUUGUAGACAUCGAAAUUUCGGUAAAUAAAUGUUGACCGAUAAAUCAAAGUGUCAACGCUCAUGUAUUACAUAAAUUUUACACGUAGCGUGUGACUCAACGAAAAUUGAAAUGAGUUGGAAAAGUCAUCAAAUAGGACACGUGUCAACACCUGGCAGAAACGACUUAUUUCAUCUGGAAUAUUAUAUUCAAAAUUAGGCAUUGGAAAAUUCUAUAAAUACAAGCCCAUUUCAUUCAUUUUGAAAAAAAACCCAAUUCAUAUUACACCUUGAAGCUCUGAAGCUCUGAAGCUCCGAAGCUCUCAAGCAUCCAGGUUCCCGAAGAAUCAAGAAAGCUCUCUUCGUUCUUCGUUCUUCGUCCAUCGCUCUUUCAAGAUCAAGCCCCGACGGCCCUUGAAGAAAGCACCAUCGUUCAUCAUCCGUUCUUCCAAGAUCAAGCCCCAACGGCCCCUUUGGAUCGACAACAUCAACAAAUCCGCUCAUCCGCUGUUCAUCAAGCCCAAGCCCCGACGGCCCUUGAAGAAAGCGUUCAUCGUUCAUCACUGUUCUUCGAGAUCAAGCCCAAAAGCCCUCGAAGAUCCGUUCAAGCCCAAAAAGCUCUCGAAGAUCCGUUCAAGCCCAAAAGCUCUCGAAGAUCCGUUCAUCACUAUUCUUCGAGUUCAAGCCCAAAAGCCCUCGGAAAUCCGUUCAUCACUGUUCUUCAAGAUCAAGCCCAAAAGCCCUUGAAGAUCCGUCAAUCACCAUUCUUCAAGAUCAAGCUCAAAAGCCGUUGAAGAUCCGUUCAUCCUCGUUCAUCCAAGAUCAAGCCUCGACGGCCCUUGGAUCAAUCGCACAUCCCACAAAUCAACACCUUACGGAGAUCGAAUCAGAGGAUCAAAUUAGAGAGAGAUUGUAACCCAAAAUCAUCAAAUACAAAUAUUUGUUUGUGCACGUCGUUCUUGUCUCUUUCGUUUCAGGAAUUUUCCGUGUUCACAAAAUUGUUUUUGAGUAAAUAAAGCUUAUGACAAGGGCUUUGAUUCAGCACCAUUCACAUAAAUAUCAAAGCUCUAAAGAAAAGGGUAAUAAUUUCACCCACUGUAAAUAAAUAGAACUUGUGAUAGGACUUUAAACCAGCAUCAUUCACAUAAAUAUGCCAAAAUAGAAAAGGCAAUGAUUAAGUCUCCAUCUUUUUUUCUUUUUCUUUUUCUUUGUCUGCCACUUUCUUUUAUUUCAUCCUUUUUAUUUUAUUUUCAUUUCAUAGUUCUAAGUCCUUUUAGUUACCCAGGAAGUAAUAGUAACAAUAAGUCCCAAUUGGUGUUCCUCCUCCGGUGAGUUUCGAAAAAGUCGAAACGGUUCCCAUAAGUUUUGGAGUCAAGAGUAGUGUCUGCAACAUAUAAGAAGAUCAAACCGUUUGAUUUGGCUCAAAUUUUAGUAUGAUAUGGAUAGCAGGAUACCGAACAACUUUUGUGAAGAAACAAUGAUCUGAGUACAGAAAAAGGAGUUUCGGUAGUCAUAAGAUGGUUGUCCAGUUUUCUGUGGAAUUGGAAACUGGGUUGGUGUUUCAGGCAUCUGCGACAAUCGCGCCGUUGAAUUUUCUGAAAAUUUGAUAUGUUAUAUUUACUGGGCGGAUGAACAACUUUCAAGAAGGAAAUAUCUCAAUCCAAGGUCAGCAAGUUGGAGUUCAAAUGUUGUUUACAUGGCUGUCAGAUUUUCUGCCAAUAAUAAUAAUAGUUACAUAUACAUAUGCACAUACUUACUAAGAAAUAUGAAUAUAUACUAGCGAUUAUGCAUAUAGCUUUUGACGAUGAUUAGUAGUUGAUGAACCAAACCGUUAAAUACAAUUAUAUAUAAUUUAUGGAAGAAACUUGGCAACGGCAUAAUCAAAUCAAAAGGGCACUUAACAAAAGUGAAGAACCUUACCUCCAAUCCCUGAAUUGAGUUAAUCAGACACCAAUUAAACUCUAACAACCGUAAUUAAGCCGAAGAACAUCUCAUUACACAAAAUUAAAACCUAACUUGAUUAAAUCCUCCAAUUGGGAUUUCUAUUUGGAAGGAAGUUGUAUAAUAAAUAUCUGACAGCAUCAAGAUUCGUGGUACUGCGGAAGAAGAGUGAGAUUUGGGUUGAGAGAAUGAAUAGAACAUGGGUUGUCUAUUGAGAAGAGGCCCACCUACUCGUCAAAAAUAUUUGCAUCUCUUUCCUCCCAAUCCCAUCGCAGCUUCUCAUCUCUCUCUCUCUCCCUCCGUUUUUCUUUUUUGUUCCCCCGGAAGAAGGUCGGUUCCCCCUUCCUUCUUUUCUUUUUCCCCCAAUGGCUUUUUGUUUUCUCUCCCCCCUCCCGAGCAGAGAGAGAAGAUGGAACAAAAAAGGGGCAAUGAAGCCAAAUAACCAAUAGAUUUAUCUAGAAAAGAAGGGAUUUUACAAAAAAAUGCCCUUGACUUUAAACUCCCAUAAAAACACCCUUGACUUUAAACUCCCAUAAAAAACUCAUUCUGAAACCAAAUCUCGUUUUGCUUGCGUACACGGGUUCCUAGCGAUGAAUACUAUAAUAUUAUACUUAGUAUGACUUUGUAAGGUCUACAAAUUUUUAAUGAUUAUUGACCAAAAUUCAAACUUCGUAAUUAGUUUAAUUAAAAUCUAAAGUUAAUAUAAAUUCUCAAAAAUAAUAUAAAAUCUCCUUAAUACCAAUACGUAGUUUGCAAUAGUGAAAUCCAGGAACGGGAUUAACCAAAUGUAUAUUUACUUUAACAAAAUUAGUCAUACAAAGAUAUGAAGAUGAAACGAAAAGAUUUUCUUAUCUGUGAGAUUCCAACAGACAGAGGUGAGAGGUAGGUAGUGCUUCAUCGGAUUUAUGGUGUGUGCUUUCCACUGACACAAGAGCUUCUCGUGCUGAUAACGUGUUGUAAAGUCGACAGGUAUGUGUGCAGUGGAAUAUAAAGUAAAUAAGACACAAUAUUUACGAGGUUCAGCAAGGGUGCCUACGUCCUCGAGGCAGCAGUAGUAUUUUCUUUCAUUAUCUGAAAUAAUAGGAGUACAAAAUAACUCUCAUUAUUUUCUCUUUUCUCUCUAGUCUGGCUCACUGGUAAUUUCCUCCGCAUCUCUCUUCUUUCCUUUUCUUUUCCUUUUCUCAAUUACUCCUUUUUUUCCUCUAAAUGUUUUUCUCUCAUCUCACUUCUUCCUUCCUCCAUAUGCUCUCAUUUUAUAAGCAAAAGAUUACUCUAGCAACAUUAUUCACUUUACCAACUUUCCUCAAAUUAAUAGUGAAAUACUUUGCAUGAAUAGUAAUCCAUCCGUUUUUCUUCAUAUGAAUAAUAGUCCAUCUGAUUUUUCUUUGGAUGAAUAGUAAUAAAGUAUUCAUUUGGGCCAUCUACAUAUUAUAUUACAACAUUGAAUAAUUAGUAUAUGUUUUAUUCCCAACUGCAUAGUUGUUGUUUUAUUGAUAGAAUCAUAAUAUGGAAAGCAAAUUAAGGUACAACCCAAAUUACAUUUUUACAGUCCUAACGGAUAGUAGCUCCUUAUUUUUUUUAGGUAACUUGGGCUCUGGAGAUUAUACUUUCAAAGGAAACAUCACAAUAAGUCGAUAUUUUAGGCUUAUAAGGCCAUGGGUUCUACUAGUGUAGAAACUAUAAGAUCUUUUAUCAUACCAUUAGCAUUAGUGUAUCCAUCUUCAUGCUUGUACAUAGCAUCCAUGGUCCGAGCAAAAUUGAGAAUACGAAUUAGCAGGGGCAUGGGGACAGCGGUAGGGUGGAGGCACGCUUCGUUUAUGUCCUUCCAUGCAUUAUUCACUUGUCUUUGAAGUUCGGUUAUCGCUUCUUCUUCUGUGGCCCCAUAUUUCUUCAUGUAACAGUUCACAGCUGAGAUAAAAUUUUCUUUCUCUUGCUCUAACUAGUGCAUGAGGAGUAAGAUAAAAAGGACCAUUAAUUAGUAUAAGUAUUAAUGCAAUCAUAAUAGUUGUGCUUGUCAAGAUUUCAGUUAGGGGGCUAUCAGUCCACUACUAAUGGGUCAAGCAGUGAUAACAUUCUAACUUAACCACUUGUAGCCCAACAGGUAUAGAGUUUUGUCACAAAAGCGUUUGGUGCAAUUAGAAGUGGAACUACUUAUAUGAGUUAUAUUUUAUUGUUUUUUGUGUGAGACUUUUUACAUUCGACAAUAUUCAUUAAUACUAUUUACAUAAACGAUUAAGUACCUUGUGUUCCGCUAUGUCAUCCAUGAGUCUGGUAACUCAUUAAUACUAUUUACAUAAACGAUUAAGUACCUUGUGUUCCACUAUGUCAUCCAUGAGUCUGCAAACUGUUGUUGCAGCCUUCACUGCUGGAGGGGAAGUUAACAACCAAUCAAAUGAGUCUAUUGUAGCUUCUUCCAUUCCAACAAAGGAUGUGGUUAUUAGCAACUGGUAGCCACAGGUCACGAGUGAAACAGAUAUGUAUUCAUCCAGCGAUGGCAUGUGCUUCUGGCGGAACAAUUUGGCUUCAUCGAAGUAGCCUCUAACUUGUUUUUUCAUCUGACACAUACUAGAUAAUGAGAUUACAAUAAUUCUUUAUCAUUUCUACUGUUAAUUCUUGAUAUACAAAGAUUAUAUUAAAACAAUUAAUUGUUUCUAUGCAUAUUCUAAAGUAUUUGCAGCACGUUUCUCUGGCCUUGUAACAACUUUAGACUCUAAACUAAGCAUAUAUUGAGGAAUAGUACCGCUUCUCUUGCAUGGUGGAUGCGAUAUAAUUUCCCAUCGUGUGCAAGCUUUUCAUGAAUUUCACUGUAUACAUCCAACAACGACCGAUAGCAGACUUUCAUAUUCUCUGGAAGUUGAUCCAUGGCUGAGACGUCCCACCUGAUCGAGUAAUACAUAAAUCAGUUGUGUGUAAUUAGGUUAGUUUUUCCUUUUUGAUCGGACGGUGAUGUAAGGUUAGAUACUUUAUAUAUAAGAGAAUUUUAACUAAUGAUAUAUUCAUACCUCUCAAUAUAUAGCUUCAGUAAAGAGCUCUAGUUGUUCAUUUGUACCAUAUUCAUAAAUGUCAUCGAGAAGGGAUACUAUAGCAGCAACUUUGCAUGAUGUCCUCCUAGCAAAGGAAUAUUGAGGCUGAAAGUAGACUGACAAACCCCAGCAGAAGUAGAUCUCAAUCAAUCUGUCUCUUGCAGAAGGUAGCUUGUUUGGCACGUCCAAGUCCUUCCACCAC
rnacentral:lncRNA from 1 species